rnacentral:lncRNA from 1 species
AGGCAUAUCAAAGAUAGGCCAAGAAGCUUUUGCUUUUCUUGAUGAACAACAACUCUAUGAAAAAAAUACAAGGUCUUAUGUUAAAACAACCAACAAAAAUUACCUUUAUUAUAACCAAUACCAACCCCAAAAAUCUCAUGUUGUUCAAUUCAAACCAAUUGAAGAAAGAGUUAUGAAUAGUCAUCAAGCUUUGAAGUUACAUGGAGGGGUUCUUGUUUGUGAUUAUUCCAAGAGAAAGCCAAAACCUAUGGCUUAUUACUAAGCAGAAGCGAGUUCGGAAUUGAGAGUUCAUGAGUUCAGAAUUAUAUAUGUAAUAAUCUUAUGUACCAAUAAAUGUACAUAUAUAGUACGUAAUAGGCUUAACUGAAUCUGCAAAACCCGCUCUAGAUUCAUCUAUGUUAAUGAGUGUCUUGAGUCUUUUUCUUUUAGUUUAUCAACAUGUAUACCAUAUGGGUGAUGUUAUAUAUUUCACUUUUAAAAGCUAAAUUAUGCUCAUGAUUUAAUUAGUCUGCUUUCUAGCAAUAUAAUAAUUUGAUAUUCCAAAUAUCAAUAAUGAUGGUUAAGGCAUGCCAAGAUCGAAAUGUAAAAUUAUUGUCCACACAUAUAUUGUCCCAUGCAACGACAAUGAUCUAUAUGAUAAUUUGAUCAGCCUAUAAGCGUCCGCGUAUCAGUUUACUAUCUUUAUAUGUGGUUUGAAGAUAUAUAUACACAAAAAGGAGCGUACGUGCUUUGGUAACUAUAAAUACUCGAAUGAUGUGGAUGACACGUAGAUAAUUAUCGAAUUGACUUAAAUAUAUUCGAGAGGAAAAUUAUUGGUUUACGAACGAAAUUUCACAUAGAUAAUUUGCCAACCUAUAAGCGCCCGCGUACCAGUUUACUAUCUUUAUCUGUAACUUGAAGAUAUAUAUACACAAAACGAAGCGCAUGUGCUUUGGUAACCAUAAAUAUCAAAUGAUGGGGUGACACAUAGUUAAUUUUCAAAUUAAUUUAAUUAUAUUCGAGAGGAAAAUUGUUGGUUGUAUGAACGAAAUUCCACAUUGAUAAUUUGCUAGCGUAUAAUAAGCGUCUGCGUAUCAGUUUAUUAUCUUUAUUUGUAGCUUGAAGAUAUAUAUACACAAAACAAAGCGUAUGUGCUUUGUGGUAAUUAUAAAUACUUGAAUGAUGUAGGUGACACAUAGUUAAUUUUCAGAUUGACUUAAUUAUAUUCGAGAGGAAAAUUGUUAGUUGUACCAACGAAAUUUCACAUUGAUAAUUUGUCAGACUAUAAGCAUCCACAUACCAGCUUACUAUAUUUAUCUGUAGCUUGAAUAUAUAUAUAUACAAAAAGAAGCGAAUGUGCUUUGGCAAUCAUAAAUGUUCGAAUGAUGUGGGUGACACAUAAUUAAUUUUCAGAUUAACUUAAUUAUAUUCGAGAGAAAAAUUGUUGGUUGUACGAAUGAAAUUUCACAUUAAUAGCUAAAAGAAAAUAGAAGGUGUUGUGUAAUGAUAAUUUAAAUUUAAUGACCGUCCUUUCAAAAUACUUAACAUUAAACUUAAUUAAUAGUAUAUUCUAAAAAUAAUUCAAAUCGAAUAUUUGUUAAAAAAUUUUAUAAAUUUUUACAUAAUAUAUUUAUAUUCUGAAAAUAUGGGUGCUUGGGGUGGCAGCCGCCAUUGCGAUUGAGCAUAUAAUUUGUGAGAUUUUCCCAAUUAUAUUCUCCAAGUUGCAUACGUACAAAUAAUCCAACUAUCCAAAUGAAAUAAUGUUCUUAAUUAAAUAAUUAAAUAUUAAUCACAUAUUGUAUAAUAUCUAAUUGAGAAUAUACAUACAACUUGUGAUAUUUGUCUAUGGGUGUCAAACGGGUCGGGCAGGCUGGGCCAACCCGAAAUUGGCCCUUCUAUUUUAACUGGGUUGAGGGUCGGUUUUCGUGCUAGAUGGGCCGGGCCGGGCCGGUCCACCACAAUAAAAAAAUUAAAACUCAUUCUAACCCAGCCCACUUAACCUAACCUGGUCAAACCCACCAAAAUCUGGUCAAACCCGGUUAAAAAAUCGGUCAAACCCGGUCAAAAAUAUAUAAAAAAAAAACCUUUCUUUCAAUAUACAUUGCAUAUACCCACCUAUAUACAUUAUAAAUACAUUAAAUAAUAUAUAUACACNNNNNNNNNNNNNNNNNNNNNNNNNNNNNNNNNNNNNNNNNNNNNNNNNNNNNNNNNNNNNNNNNNNNNNNNNNNNNNNNNNNNNNNNNNNNNNNNNNNNNNNNNNNNNNNNNNNNNNNNNNNNNNNNNNNNNNNNNNNNNNNNNNNNNNNNNNNNNNNNNNNNNNNNNNNNNNNNNNNNNNNNNNNNNNNNNNNNNNNNNNNNNNNNNNNNNNNNNNNNNNNNNNNNNNNNNNNNNNNNNNNNNNNNNNNNNNNNNNNNNNNNNNNNNNNNNNNNNNNNNNNNNNNNNNNNNNNNNNNNNNNNNNNNNNNNNNNNNNNNNNNNNNNNNNNNNNNNNNNNNNNNNNNNNNNNNNNNNNNNNNNNNNNNNNNNNNNNNNNNNNNNNNNNNNNNNNNNNNNNNNNNNNNNNNNNNNNNNNNNNNNNNNNNNNNNNNNNNNNNNNNNNNNNNNNNNNNNNNNNNNNNNNNNNNNNNNNNNNNNNNNNNNNNNNNNNNNNNNNNNNNNNNNNNNNNNNNNNNNNNNNNNNNNNNNNNNNNNNNNNNNNNNNNNNNNNNNNNNNNNNNNNNNNNNNNNNNNNNNNNNNNNNNNNNNNNNNNNNNNNNNNNNNNNNNNNNNNNNNNNNNNNNNNNNNNNNNNNNNNNNNNNNNNNNNNNNNNNNNNNNNNNNNNNNNNNNNNNNNNNNNNNNNNNNNNNNNNNNNNNNNNNNNNNNNNNNNNNNNNNNNNNNNNNNNNNNNNNNNNNNNNNNNNNNNNNNNNNNNNNNNNNNNNNNNNNNNNNNNNNNNNNNNNNNNNNNNNNNNNNNNNNNNNNNNNNNNNNNNNNNNNNNNNNNNNNNNNNNNNNNNNNNNNNNNNNNNNNNNNNNNNNNNNNNNNNNNNNNNNNNNNNNNNNNNNNNNNNNNNNNNNNNNNNNNNNNNNNNNNNNNNNNNNNNNNNNNNNNNNNNNNNNNNNNNNNNNNNNNNNNNNNNNNNNNNNNNNNNNNNNNNNNNNNNNNNNNNNNNNNNNNNNNNNNNNNNNNNNNNNNNNNNNNNNNNNNNNNNNNNNNNNNNNNNNNNNNNNNNNNNNNNNNNNNNNNNNNNNNNNNNNNNNNNNNNNNNNNNNNNNNNNNNNNNNNNNNNNNNNNNNNNNNNNNNNNNNNNNNNNNNNNNNNNNNNNNNNNNNNNNNNNNNNNNNNNNNNNNNNNNNNNNUAAGAGUACUAAAGUGACACAUAUGAUUAUAUUUCAUGCACGGAUUUAGCAUAGCACCAACCAAGUAAAUAGGGGGUAUCGGGAAAAAAUAUUUUUUAAAUUUCGUAAACAUGGCGCCAACAGCUUCUUUAUAACCUUCUUUAUUUUUAUAUUCUUUGAGCAAACCAGAAAUAUCGGCUAUAUAUGCCAAAAUAUUACAAACAGUAGAAUAAUAAGCAUCGGAAAAUUCAACCGUAGCUACAUAAAAUUUUUCUAAAAACUUAACAAGAUCAUUAAUUACAACCCAGUCAGAAUUAUGUAGCAUGCAAUCAGCAGAAUCAGCAAAUGAACCGCAAUGUUGGUUAAAAGCUAGUGUAAUAGGAAUUCUAUAUUUAUAACAAGUUUUUAAAAAUUCAUACGUAGAAUUCCAUCUAGUAUCAAUUUCCUCAGGCAUCAAAAUCGGUGUAAGUCCAUUUUCUUGACAUUUAACUUUAAAUUCUCUAAUUCUCGAUCUACGAUUAUUUCCUUGACUAAAACCAAUGGCAAGAUGAAUUUUUUCAAUAUAAAGCUCAAAAAACUCAAGACUAUCUUUUACAAUUAAAUUAUAUAUUUGACAUGUACACUUAAUAUGAAAAAUUUCAGGCAAGGACGGAGAUAGCUUAGAUUUUAAUUUUUUUUAUAGCAGUCUUGUUGUUAGAAGCAUUAUCAAAAGUAAUACAUAAAAUUUUAUUUUCGAUACCAUAAUAUCCGGUAAUUUUAACAAUAGAAUCAGCAAUAAAUUGUCCAGUAUGUUUACAAUCUUCAUCAUAUAAAAAAGCAAGAAUACGUUUUUGCAUCACGAAAUUACUAUCCAUCCAAUGACAAGUAACGGUUAAAUAAUCAUUUUUAUUUACAGCACGACCAAGAUCAGAAGUUAGGGACAAUCUACAUUGAAUAUUUUUUAACAAUGUUGAAAAAUAAAAACAAUAUUGUGAAUGAAGUCUAAAAAUAUCAGACCGACAAGUAGUUCUAGGAAUACCAUUAGACAUAGGAUAAUAAAUUGCUUGUAUAUAACGAAUAAAGGCAUCAAAGAAGGAAAACUAAAAGGCAAACAACCCACAGCUACCAUUUUAGCUAUUUCUUUCCGGUCCCUCAAUUUAUUAUACUUCUUCGCUACGUGACCGGUUGCUGGGUCCAUUCUAGUUUGCGUUGGCCCACCAACAUCCCCACCACCUUGUGCAAUAUUUAACUCUCUUUUGGGAUCUUCAGCUAUAUGUCUCAUUAACGUACCCGUNNNNNNNNNNNNNNNNNNNNNNNNNNNNNNNNNNNNNNNNNNNNNNNNNNNNNNNNNNNNNNNNNNNNNNNNNNNNNNNNNNNNNNNNNNNNNNNNNNNNNNNNNNNNNNNNNNNNNNNNNNNNNNNNNNNNNNNNNNNNNNNNNNNNNNNNNNNNNNNNNNNNNNNNNNNNNNNNNNNNNNNNNNNNNNNNNNNNNNNNNNNNNNNNNNNNNNNNNNNNNNNNNNNNNNNNNNNNNNNNNNNNNNNNNNNNNNNNNNNNNNNNNNNNNNNNNNNNNNNNNNNNNNNNNNNNNNNNNNNNNNNNNNNNNNNNNNNNNNNNNNNNNNNNNNNNNNNNNNNNNNNNNNNNNNNNNNNNNNNNNNNNNNNNNNNNNNNNNNNNNNNNNNNNNNNNNNNNNNNNNNNNNNNNNNNNNNNNNNNNNNNNNNNNNNNNNNNNNNNNNNNNNNNNNNNNNNNNNNNNNNNNNNNNNNNNNNNNNNNNNNNUUAAAUAUUAAACAAUUAAUACAAUAAAUAAAAAUUAAACGUAAGAGAUGAAACGACAAUACCAAAUUUUGGAAGUAUCCGAAGGUUGCGACUUUAGAAACUUCCGCUCGUACUUUGUAAACGAAAAAUUAAAAAAUUAAAGUGAACAUUUUAAGAAAUUAAAUAUAUUGAAUAUUUGAGAACUGAGAAUUGAGAUUCGAGAGAGAAUGAGAUUUGAGAGAGUGAAAACUUGUGUGAAAAAUGAUUUGAAGUUGUAGGGUAUUUAUAGAAUUUUUUUUGGGGUUAAAAAAUAUUUUUUAAAGUUAUUUUUUUUUUUAAUAAAUGGGUCCAAACUAGCCGUUUGGACCCAAAAACGGCUAUAUAGCCGUUGGGCCAAUGACUAGUUUGGCCCAAAAUCCCAAUUUUAUUUUUUUUUAAAAUGGUAUCCGGGUCGGCCCGACCUACUUGACACCCUUAGUUGCAACUAUAUAGUUGAGAAAGAACAAAAAAGAUAGCUUCAAGCCUUCAACCCUUGCGAGUAUCGGUCAAAGAUUGAAAGAACCUUUAAAUUUUAAAAACUCCAACAUAAUAAUAUACAUCACUUUUAAAACUUAAAUUUUGUACCCGAAACAACAGUAUAUUUAUGUAAAUUAUUUUUGUUUUAAAUUUAUGUUGUCCCCACAUGACAGGUUGUCGUUUGUCCCCAACCCAUACACAUAGAUCCAAAUUCGAUUAUGGAAGUGAUGAAGAAAACAACAAGCACUAUGAUCAGCCAAAUCCUCUUUUUUUAGCCUAUGGAGGGAAGAUUAUCUUUCUACUUCAUCUUCAUUUCUUAAUAGUUGAUAAACACUUCAUUUGAUAGUUCAUUUGAACUUGUAAUUGACGGCGUUGAACUUCAUUAUGGUUCUUGAAAACUUGUUCCUGACACGUUGUCCCCCACAUUGUAAAUUAUUUUCAUUUUAAAUUUAUGGUAGUCCCCCACAUGACAGGAUGUCUUAUCCCCCACCUAUACACAUCGAUCCACCUCUAGCUAGCUAGAUGACAUUUGAUCACGUUUACAUCCUAGGUUCAAAACAUUCUUCUUCUUAAAAACUAUCAUGUGAUCAUCACACUGUUGAGUGCGUUUAAAGAUUCUGAAAAUUUCAGGUACCACUGUUUGCAAAAAGAGAAUCAUUUUAUCUUGGGAGGAAAGAUUCCAUAACCCUGGGCCUUGAGGGGAACAAAUUCCUUCAGGACACACCGUGCAUCUGGUGAGCUUGAUUCUACAAAUUUCUGCUUCAUCUUCAUUUUCUUAAUAGUUGAUAAACACUUCAUUUGGUUAUUCAUUUGAAGUUGUAAUUGAAGGCGUUGAACUUCAUUAUAAUUCUUGAAAACUUGUUCCUGACAGGUUGUCCCCCACAUUGUAAAUUUUCUUUUUAAAUUUAUGGUAGUCCCCCACAUUACAGGUUGUCCCCCACCCAUACACAUCGAUCCACCUCUAGCUUGCUAGAUGACAUUAAUGAUCACGUUUACAUCCUAGGUUGUCCCCCACCCCACCUAUACACAUCGAUCCACCUCUAGCUAGCUAGAUGACAUUUGAUCACGUUUACAUCCUUUGUCAACAAAAAUGACAGUAUAUGACACGUUUAAAAAAUUCCCUUUUCUUUAAUAUUCCAUCCCUUGGCAACUUGCGCCACCACCACUGACACUCCCAUCAACCAACUAUUGAUAGACGAUGUACUCGAUACUAAUGGCAAACCCCUCAACGCAAGCCAUUAAUAGGUACUGAAUACUUCCGGCCUACUACACUAAGGGCAUUGGAGGAGUACGUCUUGCUAAUCUUAACGAUCAACAACAAACCACUACUAGUAGACAAAAACAUAUAUAUUUUACACAUAUCAUACAUAAUAUACAAAAAAAUAUAUACAUUCAAGGACUAUGCUAUUUAUGCUGACGAAUCGGCCAAAAUAACUACAUUCACUAGUCAAAUCUGCUAUAAAUAUAUACUGUUUUGUAUCAAACAUAUAUGUAUAUUUUUCGUAUAUCGUAGAGUAAUAUACAAAAAAGUUAAUUUCUCAUUUUCUUUUUUUAAUAUGUUCUAUUAUUUGUGAUGGCAGGACCAAAUUGUUGUGUGAACUCUUCAAGAACUGAUCUUUUUCUUGAGCAUGAGCCACAGGCAACAACGACAAAAAACAUGGUCCAUAUAGCCCAAAGUAAGUUUGCUACUUCAAUGUAGAUGAAUACGCAUAAAAGUUCAGGUUAAUUUAACCGUAUGAUCACUAAGCUUUACUACAGUAACAAUGAAGUAAGAACGUUUUUGCUUUUGUCGAAUUAAAGUAACUGAACCAUGUGUGAGUUUGUCUAAUCUGCAAAUGACCGAAAGGUUAAAAUUGACCACGUGUCCACCUUGUCACUCUAUAAAUUCCACCUCAUAAAUAAAAGAGAUAUUUAUGAUUGAACAUUCUUAGCAAAACUUUUGACUUCGCCAUUAAGUCCAAUUAUAUUGAUUAAUAGUUUUUUUUUUUUUGGAUAGUGACAAGAAAAGGAACCAUAGAAAAAUUUGACUAUGGAAGUGAUGAAGAAAACAAGAAGCACUAUGGUCAGCCAAAUCCUCCACAAAACAUAAUGUCAAAUAUCCCAAAUGAUAUUCCUAUUUUUUUAGCCUAUGGUGGGAAAGAUUAUCUUUCUGAUGUUAAUGAUGUGAAGAUUUUGUUAAAUAAAUUGCAAGAUUAUGAUCCAGACAAACUUGUUGUGCAAUAUAGAGAAGAUUAUGCACAUGCUGAUUAUGUUUUUGGUACAAAUGCUAAAGAAGUUGUAUAUAAUCCUAUAAUGACCUUCUUUAAGCUUAAUUAAGAAGAUUAUUAUAAGGUUGAUGUAUAAUUAAUUUGUACUAGUUGUGAGUCAAAGUUGAAUUAAGCAGCAUUGUACUUAAUUAUGUAUGUUUAAUAAAUGUUUAACAUAUAAUCAGUUUAUUAAACUUAUCAGAAUAUUUCAUUUAAAUACUCAAACUAUAAGUCAUUUAAAUACUCAAACUAUAAGUCCUGUUCGAAUUGCGCACCUCAACUCCUACUAAAGUAUUUCAGUUAGACAUUUUCAAUUCAAAUUAUGUACAUGCUGACUUUGUUUUUGCUACAAAUGCUAAAGAAGUUGUAUAUAAUCCUAUAAUGGCCUUUAAGCUUAAAUAAGAAGGUAAUUAUAAGGUUGAUGUAGAACUUCUUCUUGUUAUUCAUUAAGUGGAUAGUACUAAUUGUGAGUCGAAAGUUGAAUAAAGUAGUAUUGUAUUUAAUCAUGUUUGUCAAAUAAAGGCUUGGUACAUAUCCAGGGUUUUUAAAUGUGUAAACAAAAUAAAUUUCAGACUUUAGCAAGUUAAUUACCUUCUUUUCUGGAUUUGUUAUUUAGUUUUUUCUCUCUAGAAUUUUAAAUGUUCAUUGACAUUUUCCUAUGAGAUAACCGUUUCAAUGUUAUUUAAGGAAAUAAAUCAAGUCAAAUAAUUAUCCAAAUUAUUUAAGAAAAUAAAUCAAGUCUAAUAAUUAUCCAAUAUUGUACCUUAUUAAUAUGUGAUUAAUGAAUCCCUUAAUUAUUAAAUUUUUCAAAAAAUAUACUACUAAAAGGAAAUUUACUACAUAAAUCACCUAGAAAUUUUUAAAACCAAAGAAAAAUAAAAUCCUUAUAAAAUGAAGGGAUAUAAAAAAUUUUAAAACAAAAAAAUAACUCGUAUGAAGGAAAUUUUACUACGUAAGUUGACGAAACAUUUUACUACCUAAUCUACAUAUACAAGAAAUUUUACUACGUAAGUAUGGAAAACUCUGAAACAAAAAAAAUGAAUUUCUAUAAGAUUUGAAGAACAUGCCAAUAGUGAACCCAACCUUUAUAUAUAUUGGUUUACAAAAUACACAUCUCAGCAUCACAUAUACAUAAUAAUAUGAAACAAAACUUGAAAAUAUAAAGAUAACACAUCAUACACAUACCUAAUGUUCUUUCAUAUAUAAAACAUUGCUAUGUAUAUGGGUUGAAAUACACACAACUCAUCUUGUCUAAUCGAGUUAUAUCAUAACUGUGCUAUGUAUAACACUAUUGAUGCAUAAUAUAAACAUAACUUUGUAAUAUAUAUGACCUGAAAUUAAAUAACCUAACAGUGUCUGUUUCAAUACAUAUACAUAACAAAUUUAUGUAUAUGGGUUGAAAUAAAAACGUUAAACAAAUGACAUAAUUACAAAUAUAUACAUAACUCGCCAUGUAUCAUAGUUCAAAAUAAAAAUAAGGAUUUACUAAGUAAUCUGACCAUAUUCAUAACAAAUUUAAUGUAUAAUAAGGCAUCUUUAAGACUAUACAUAAUUAAUUUAUGUAUAAGAUUGAAAUAACAACAAAACACUCUUAUAUAACAAUGUAUAAGAAUGCGUAAAUUGAUAAAAAUAAAUAAAUAUUUAGAAACAAAUCAAUAUAUAUCUGGAAAACGCAAUCGUGAUGAUUUUGUACUUUUUAUCUUACUUGAAAAUUUAGCAACAGACUUUUUAGAGCUUGUACGAGCAACUUCCCAUGACUUCUUUAUCUUUACGGGAUCGUUUCAGCAUUUUGAUCUAUUUUUUCUAAAACUCAGAUCAGAAUCCAUUACUAUGCUUAAGUUUUGAGAAUUUCUCACAUUCAACAAGUAACUCAUAGAUUUUUGAUUUAAUAAAGUUGAAAAAAUUAAGAAAUUAAACUAACCUCAAAAAUAAAUUGAAGAAGAUGUUUAUAUUAAAUACUUUGAUAAGAUAAGGUUUGUAAAAUCAAACCACGAAAUUCCUUAAUUAUGGUUGCUUGAUUUUAGGCACAAAUAAUGGAGGUGUGAUACGUCUAUGGAUAUGUACAUGGAGGUUGGAGAGAGAAAGUGUAAAAAUGAGAUAUUUGUUAUUAAUUUUGAUAGAUGAAAUUUUAUGUAAUAAUAGAAAGUUAGGACGUAUAUGUUGGGUUAUUAAGAGGUGCGAAUGAAAAAUAAAAAGGUGGUAUUUUUUUUCGGAAAGACACUAAGAGAAAGGAUGCAAUUUGAAUAGGCACCUUUUCGGAUUGAAUGAUUAUGACCUUUCCAAUGGGUUGUAACUUUUCGAAAAGAUGCAGCUUUCUGAAGGGAUGCACCUUUCUUAACCAUUGCUUCUCUUCAUGAAGCAACACCUUGAUGACUAUAAAUACCUGAAUUUUUUUCAGGUAAAGACAAUAAUUUUUGGUGUUGAAAACAUUCUUUUUCUUCCUAAAAACUCUCUUGUGAUCAUCAAACUGUUAAGGGCGUUCGAAGAUUCUGAAAAUUUGAGGUGCUGCUAUUUUCAAAAAGAGAAUCAUUUUAUCUUGGGAGAAGAGAUUCCAUAACCUCGGGUACUAGAGGGAAAUAAAUUUCUUAAGGUCAAACCGUGCAUUCGGUGGACUUGAUUCAACAAAUUUUUGCUUCAUCUCCAUUUCUUAAUAGUAGAUAAACACUUUCAUCUGAUAGUUCAUUUGAACUUUUGUUUGACGAUAUUAAACUUCAUUCUACUUCUUGAAAACUUAUUCUUGAACUUACUUUGAAGUUUGUAUAGAAAACAUACAAAUUUUGUACACGGAACAACAAUCUUAAGAAAUUUAUCUUGAUCUGUAUUGUUUGGUUUUACUGUUUUUCAGUAAAUAUUUUGAAUUUCAUAUUGAUAGUUCUUCAACUGUUUGAAUUUGUGUUUAAAGUUCUUGAAACUUUAUUUUGAUAGUUCAUAAGAUGGUUGAACUUGCGCUGAAAUUCUUAACAUUUAGUUUUGCUAUUUUCCAAAAAAUAGUUUAAACUUCAUUUUGUUGAUGUUUAUAAGUUGGGUUGAACUUAUUGUUAAAAUAUAAGAAAUUUGCACAAUAAGGUGUAAUUUUGAGUAUGAAAUCCGAUGAUUUGGAAGUUAUCCUAAGAUUCUAGAGCAGGAUAAUUUGUAGUGGUUAUGUUUUAGCUUAGAUCAAGAAAAUUAACACGAUAUUAAUAUGACGUGAUUAUAGGUUUGAUCCAAGAAAAUGAUACGAAUCAUUCGGGUGACAAAUUAGGUAUUUCGACAAGAGUACUGUGAGUAGUAAUAUUGCCACAAUUUAUGUCUCUUAAAUUGCAUAUUUAUACAUGUUUUGAUGAAAACAAGAGUUAUUGAAUGCUUUGAAAAAUUUGCACGUGGGACAAGUUCUUUACUUGAUAUGAUAUUGAGAUGGUUAUUUGAGACAUGAUAUUAAUAUUGUGAAAAUUCUUCACUUACAUGAGAAGUAUGUAUUUUGAUAUGUUUUUAUUCAAGUUUACAUGUAACAUGAUUCGAUAUGAACUUUAAAUGAUACGUACUGUUCUGAAAGAUAUUUUUAUAUGAAUAUCCUAUUGUUUAGAAAGAAUUUAUGAAUGGGAGUAGACCUUGAUUAAAUACCGUAUCUAACGGCGGGAUCGUUAGACCUGAUGCACCCUGUAUUUACUAAUGAAUGUUACAGCUCUCGCUAGUGGGAAGGUAGAACUAGCAUACUGAUAUGAUAUUUGACUCCUUUAUGAGGGGUCUACUGUUAUGGGUUAUUCUUAAUGAAGAAGAACGUCACACUGAUUACAUAAUUCAUUCUGGGAAACCUCCCAGAUAUAUAAUAUUUGAUAUGACACGAUGCUUUUUAAAGUUUAUUACUGAAUUAUUGGUUCACUUGGCUUACAAGAAAGAAUGAUAUUGUUUAUCGUUACUGUUUUCUGAAAGAGCAUUAGUUCAUGAUGUUUUAUGACUUGUCCCCAUUUUUAUCUGUAUUUUACCCAUAUAUGAAUUUUGGAAUAUAUUCUAAAUCCAUUAUAAAAUAUUUCGUCAUAGCAGUAAGUAUUUGUGCCUGUAGUUUCUUGUUCGUGGUAUUUCGGUGAUAUUUAUGAUUUCGAAUAAAUAAUUUAUAAUAUUGCCUUGUGGGUGUCUUGUUUUCUUUAUUAUCUAGCUAUGUGUUAUCCCAUUUUGUUGUGUGCUUUUAUGUUUUUUUUUAUUUGUUGUACUAUUAUCUGUCCUGACCAGUUGAGGGUCUAUCGAAAACAACCUCUCGAUCUACUUAAUCUGAGAUAGUAGUAUAGAUUGCAUAUACUUUAUGGGAAUACAGUGGCUAUGUUUUCGUCGUGAUAAGAAAUAAAACAAGUGUGCAGAAAGCACACGCUUUCAUUUGUUUAACUUGGUAAAGUAGAAGCCAAGUGCUAAUGCAUAUGAAAUUUGGAAUAUAUUAAAAAAAAUUUGGAAUAUAUCAUCAUAUUAAAAAAUGAUGUAAAUCUUCAUCUUCAUUUUAUUUUUUGAAAUGCAUGUUUCAUCAUUGAAAUAAUGUUGAUAUAAUAGUAUAAAAUAAUUAUCUUUUCUUGAUAUGUUAAAAGUUACAUGUAAAAGUGAAAAUCUAUCUUUAAAAAUAGUGAACAAGUAACGUGAGCAGAUGAAGUAAAUGACUUGUCCACAUCUAUUUUAGGUAUACCCAUUUUCCGAAAAAUUAAACUUUAUAUAUUGUGAUAAAAACAUAUAAGUAUAAUUUUUGUACGAAAAUGUCAAUCAUUUAGUAAAAAGAAACAAAUUAAACGUGGAUGAUGGUUCACAUAAAUUAGAGCAAAACAUUUAAUCUUGUGUAUCUAUAAAUAGAAGAGGUUAGCGAUAUACAAAUAAUCAUCAAAACAAAUUAACAUCCGUAAAGAUGAAGACCAUAUUACUCUUUCUUUUCCUUGCAAUAAUAUUCCUUCCCUUGGCAACUCCCUUCAACCAACUAUUGAUAGGCGAUGUAGUCGAUACUAAUGGCAAACCCCUCAACGCAAGCCAUUAAUAGGUACUGGAUAACUCCGUCCAACAGCCCUAUGGACGGUGGAGGUGUAAGCCUUGAGGAUCCUAAACAGGAAAAGAUUGUGGUGUCAUCUCCAGUAAACAUCCAAUUCUAUUUAGAUUAUCCUUUGUGUUCGAACCUAUCCGUGUGGAAGGUCGACAACCUUAAUUCAAAACUUCCACACACCAUAAGCACAGGUGCAAAGUUGGGAAAUCCCAACGAUGUGAGCAGUUGGUUCCAAAUUAUGCCUAUAGGUGGUGAUAGAAAGUAUAAGCUAGUGUUCUGUACCUCUGAAGAAAUUUGCCAAGACAUUGGCGUCGUCCUACAAGGUGGAUAUCAACGUCCCAAAGCCCUUUGUGUUCAAACUGGAUGAUGGAAUUGUAAAGGCAGCAGAAGCUAGCAUGAUCUCGUCAUAUUAUGAUGCCUAGAUCUACUACUCUAUGUAAUGUAUAAUGCAUAUAUGCAGGGACUUUGUCCCAUAGCAUAGCAUGGAUGCAUCUAGUAAAACUUAAUAACAAGGCCUUAGUCAUAUUAUUCCAUUCUUCUUUUUCAUUUUAGCAAAAUAAUUUGAAAUGAGUAAAUAUCGCCGAUCCUUAAGCGAUAGUUAGUUAAUCAAAGAAAACAUUAAUUUACUACAAAGAAAAAUAUACUAAAAAACAUAUUAUUGAUGUAAUUUGGUCAAGUGACCUACAUAUUGAAAACUAAUAUAAAAACAAAAUUAAAAACUAUUGGGAGAAAAUCUCCCCUUAAACAAGACUCUUUAAACGGCAAUAUUGUGGAUGCUACUGUGUUAUUGUAUGAGAAAGGGAGUCUUCUAUUUAUAGAUGUCCAAAACCUUUCCUCCAAGAAAGAGGUUUGUCAAAUAUGGAAAAGUUUUAUAUUUUCGUUUCAGGAAAAGUAAGAGUAUUAAUAGUUACUUUUAUUUUCCUUACAAGAAAAAACAAAACUUAAAGGCAAAACUUAUAAUGUAUUUCUUUCUUGUCUAUUUUGAUAUGCUUUAGUACUUGAGUCGAGAGUCUAUUGGAAACAGUCUCUCUAUCUUCAUAAGUAGGCAUAAAUUGCGUACAUAUUACCCUUUCAGUACUUCAUUAUAAAAUUUUCUGAAUAUGUUAUUAUUGUUGUUGCAUCAUGGAUGAUGUUAAACACAUUUAUACAUGAUCUAAAUGUAAUUGUAAUUGGAAUAUUUUAUAAGGAGCUGAGGAUAUGUUCAAUUGAAACAUAGCACAGUUCAACUAUCUAAAUAAAAUAUUCUGACAAAUUUAAGAGGUUGAAUAUGUAUUAAAUCUUUAUUUAACACACAUAAUUAGACACGAUACUACUUUUUCAACUUUGACACACAAUUAGUACUAUAUCUACUUAAUCAAAUAACUGUUGGGUUCAAAAUUGAGAGGGCAUCAUGCGGAAGUUAUUAGUUUGCAAACCAUGGAGACGAUAAAUCAGACAACAAGGUGAACAAUACUAAAAAGAUAUGUUAUUAAUAUGGUUUGGUCAAACGACCUACAUAUAAAAAACUUACAUUAUGGUAUUACUUUUAUUUUUCUUCUAAAAAAAGUAAAACCUAAUUUUAGUAAGAAAAUUAGGGCAAAAGUCAUAACAAUAACAACAAUAAAUUCUACAUCAACAUUAUAAUUACAUUCUUAAUUAAGCUUAAAGAAGGCCAUUAUAGGACUAUACACAACUUCUUUAGCAUUUGUAUCAAAAUGAAAUAUCUUAACAAGUUUAAAGAGUCUCAAUAUGUACCAAUAGGGGUGGGCAUGAUAUGGUAUAAACCGAAUUAUCAUAUCGUAUUAAAAUUUUUGAUACCGUGAUUUUAAUAUUAUGAUAUUUGGCAUGAUACACGAUAUACAUUUUAAAUUCUUCUGAUUUAUGAUAUGGUAUUCGGUAUUUAUAGAUGACAUACCGAAAUACCGAAUACCAUACCGAAGUAUAUAGUUACAUAAACAACCUGAGAAUCCUGAUGUACUCCACCCGGGACAAUCUUACAAGUGUUUCCUUGGAUCACCGUAGUCAUAACAUAUAUUCUCCUUGUGCUCAAGUUGACUGAGAAAUAUCUGAACGAUCGGAAAUGCCUGCCCUAUAUAUAGGGUGGUGUCUGUCAAUCUGAUACGAUAAAAAAUUGGUAUAAAAUAGUCCACAAACAAAGGGAAACCCGAGAGCUCAACAAACACUAAAUCUCGGUUCCAACAACAUCAAGAAACAAGGUGUAAAUGACACCAAAAGCACUAACAACAACAAGAGAUAAACAACAAUAACGAAAGGAACAACACUACAAUAACAACAAUCCAACGGUUACAAGAUUACAAGAACAACAAGAACCAAACGGUUCAUUAGACUACACAACUAGUACAUUAUAUGUAAAGAUAGGAAGUGAGACAUACACUAUUACAAGGUUAAGAACCCAAAGAUUUAUUAAAUAUAAGGAACCCUAAGACUACAAUAGCAACACCACACUCUUACGUGACACAAGAGGGAUUCCACCGCUCAAGCACCAACGUUUCCAAGCAAUACACAAUCACAAGUGAAUCCACACUUGUUCAUGUCCUAGUUUAGGCCUAGAGACCCUCUCUCUCAAGAGAUGUAUUCUUUCAACAAUAUUCGACAAAAACUAAUGAACUAAAACCCUAUAUUGUUCUAUUUAUAGUACUUUACAAAUAAAAAGAUAAAAUGAAAAAAAGGCCCUUUAAUGACCAAGUAGGCAAAUAGGCACCAUGUUCAUCUUCAUGAUCGUGCUUGUAUCAUCCUCUCCAUCUUGAGAGGAAUUUGACCUCAAAUUCAUGGCACUAGCCAAAUGAAAAUGGCUUCAAAACAGUCCACAAAAUAAGCAGAAAUCGAGAACACAACAAUUUCAAGUCUCGGCCAACGUCUUCAUUUUGCACCUUGGCUCCCUCUCCAUCUUUAGUUUUGCCUUCAAUCUCAUCUUACUCAAUUAAGUUUAGACAAGAAGUUUCACUACAAAACAACAAACGGGUUAGUUAUAAAAGAAAGGUCCUUACACUCUCUCUUUAUUUCUUUGUUCUCGGAUUCCUCAAACUUAAUCUCACAAGUGUUGUAUGCUUGCUUGUACUCUGUGAGGUGUUGAGAGGUGAAUUCCAAUGUUUUCAACGACUCCAAAAUAAAGAAAAUACACAACGACGUAAACACAAAGAACGUUUUCAAACCAACUCACAAUCUAGUAAGUGGUUACUAGCUUGUAAGUUAGUAUUGGAAUCAACAAAAUGAAACUAGAAGAUCAAAGUUGAGCUUACAAUUUGUUGUGUGAACAGUAAUUGGUGAUGUGUCAGCCCCCAAUUGGUCACGGGCCCACACAAGUUUUAAUCGCCAUUCUUGGAAUUUUUAGUCCUUAUACUUUUGGAAUGGGAGACAAUUAGUAUUUUGAGGGAAAAACACAAGUCUUGUAAAUCUUUUCAAGUUCAACUCAAAAAGGUGAGAUUAGACUUGUACUAGUUUCGACAAAACAAGGCUCCUAGAAACAAGGAAAGUGGUUGAAAAAGUUUUUGUCAAGUCAGAAGUGAUGUGAGCUAGUCCUUUCACCAACAAGUCUUCCAACUUUGUCUUCACCUUUUCUAGAUCUGUUAACUACUUUAAGUUGGUCAAGAUAACAGAAGUGAUGAAGAACAACAAGAACACAACAACUUCUUAAGAACAACAAUAACAAAACCUUCAACGCCCACUCCAACCUCCACAACAAGUCCACAAAUUUCAGUCUAGGUCUUUGUUCACAACACAACUUUAACAAGUUUUUAAGCUCAAAUAUAGAUCUAGAUACCUUUAGUGUUAGUGAAUCAAGAAACAACAAUAAUAACAAAGAAAUCCUAGACCUAGACUCCACAAAUUUCGGCCAAGACUACAACAAGAACACUACAAGUUUCUCAGCCAUGAACAAGAACAAGAACAAGAACACUUCUUUCUCUUUUUAUUUUUUGAUUUUUCUAGCAAGCCCGAGAUUGAUUUUGUUAGAACAAAAUCAACCAUAAGUUCUGAUACCAAAUGAUACGAUAUAAAUUUGGUACAUAUCAAAAACAAGCCAAAAAUAGUCCACAAACAAAGGAAAACCCGAGAGCUCAACAAACACUAAAUCUCAGUUCCAACAAUAUUAAGAAACAAGGUGUAAAUGACACCAAAAUCACUAACAAAAACAAGAGAUAAACAACAAUAACGAGAGGAACAACACUACAAUAACAACAAUCUAACGGUUACAAGAUUACAAGAACAACAAGAACCAAACAGUUCACUAGACUACACAACUAGCACAUGAUAUGUAAAGAUAGGAAGUGAGACAUACACUAUUACAAGGUUAAGAACCCAAAGAUUUAUUAAAUCUAAGGACCCCUAAGACUUAAAAUAGCAACACCACACUCUUAUGUGACACAAGAGGGAUUCCACCGCUCAAGUACCAAUGUUUCCAAGCAAUACACAACCACAAGUGAAUCUACACUUGUUCAUGUCCUAGUUUAGGCCUAGAGACCCUCUCUCUCAAGAGAUGUGUUCUUUCAACAAUAUUCAACAAAAACUAAUGAACUAAAACCCUAUAUUGUUCUAUUUAUAGUACUUUACAAAUAAAAAGAUAAAAUGACAAAAAGGCCCUUUAAUGACCAAGUAGGCAAAUAGGCACCAUGUUCAUCUUCAUGAUCGUGCUUGUAUCACAAUCUGUGUGGACAGGUUUGCUAGAUGGGAGAUAAUCUCCAUAUCCAGACGAGGUACCACUAAAACUUGUUGAGCCACAUGGUUCGACAACUAACUAGGAAGUAUGUCAAAAAGGCGCUUUUGAAAAUUAUUAAUUAGCCAUUUAGAAAAAAGUUCUUAAAAAUUUGCCAUAUACUCUAUUUAAUCCACAUCAUCACAAACUUUUCAAACUCAAAAAAUUCACCCACAAGUUUUGUAAUACUACACUUUAACUCAAUAUUUUCAACUUAACAAAUUCAUCCACAAGUUUCUAAUAAUUCACUUCAACCCACUCCAUCAUCCACCAUUACAUAAUAGAAAAAUAUCUAGGUUUUCAAAAAUAUUAAAAAAAAUAAUUCCAAAAGCUAAAAAUAGAAGGUUGUUCUUUCCCUCCAAAAAUCUUCGAUUCCAACGUUAUUUUCUGGUGAGCAGCUCUAAAUCAGUCUACAAAUAUCAUAAUCUUGUCCAUUACAUCCAUUGUUACCUCAUUUGUUUGCUAUCUUCUCAAACACACUUUUCACCAUUGUUAAAAAGCUUUAAAUCACUCACAUUACUCAAAAACUCUUUAGAAAGUACAUUACAGUAGCUCAGGUGACUCCAAGUUCAUUUCUCCAUUCGAUAAACCCAACGAUCGUUGAUAUUAGAAGCAAUAUUUUCAAUUUCAAGUUUUUUUACGGAUAUUUGCCCAUUCAUCAACCAUGCAUACAUUCCGACAUAGACCCUCAACAUAAUCUACCAUCGACCAAAGCUUAAUUCAAGUAUGUCUAUUGUAGAAUUUGUUUUGGUUUCUGAUAAUUUCAUGGGAGAAUGGGUGGAUACUCCCAAAUGUUGAAAAUGGAGAUCUUUUACCAAGGUAACACUACCCAUUGUUGUUCACCUUUACAGUUCAUACGACAAAUUUAUUGCAAUCGUAAUGCAAAGCGGGGAUCUAGAUUGCUCACCGAAUGAUAUGGUGAUUAGUUAUCUAAUGCAUUUGAGGAAAAAAGUGAAUCCUACAAUCAUAAAUAAUGAUGCACGUGUGUUGAUGUACAUGAUGGAUGCUGAUGCAGAUGGCUUUAAGCCUAUUUUAAGGAUAAAUUUAGAUAGAGGUCCUUCGAAGGACUGAUGAAUUCAUCACCAUCUCCACCUUGGCGCCUGAAAAUCGACGACUAUUUGAAUAAUUACAAGAACGAUGACGAUCAUACAAUUAAUAUGGAAGAUGAUUCUAUGCAUAUGGAAGACGUUUCAUUGAACUCGCAAGAUACGAAAGAAGACUGUGGAACGGGAUCCCAACCAGGACAUUCCUUCGCCGAUGGAACCAAUCUCUAUUAUGAUCAAACAUUUGCCGACAAGAAAGAGCUCAAAAUGCUACUAGAUGGAGCAGCGGUAAGGCAUUCUUUUGAUUAUCGUACGGAGAAGAACUUCACCAAUUGUUGAAGGCAAAAUGUGUAUGUAACGCCUCGUAAAAUUCGUGCAAUUCAACGUCUCUUAUUAGCAUGGGCAUGGGAUAAGAAAACUUGAAAAUAUUCUAAAUGUAAAAGAGACUUAGUCUCAUUUGUAGAUCUUAACCUUCGAGAAUCUCAUUUUCAGUCCUCCCGACCUCCGUUUUUACAUUUUUUUGUUACGUUGCGAUGGGGCAAGCCUAUAGAACAUCUCGGGUGAGUUUCAGAAUUUUUGGACAUCGUUUAGGGAGUAUUUGAUUUCCAAAAUAGUAGCACCAUGCGAUAUGCAUGCGUCUCAUGGUCCAUCGCAUGGUGGCAUCAUGCGUUAUAGCAUGCGUCGCAUGCUCCAGUACGGUGGGAAAUAGCAUGCGACGCAUGGUCUGUUGCACGCCUGAGAAUUUUUCAGCAUUUAAGUGUUGUCUCAUUAAAGGUAUUUUAGGUAUUCUCUAUUCCUUUUUCAGCCUGAACACGAAAUCAAAGCCCUAGAUCACCUCAUUGUUGAUAUUUCUCUCAAGAACCACCAAGAACACUCUCUAGGGUUUCAAACUCAUAACUCAAAUAUCUUAAGAUUCAACCGUGGUUUUUCGAAACAAAUUGAAGAAUCGGAAUCCCCACAAUGUAGGCUUCAAGAAGUACCUAUUAUUUUCGCAUAUAGAAGUACGUGGGGUUAUCCUAAAAAUAUCAUGGGCGAGAAAUUCAUGUUUUAAAAAUGGGGGUUUUGAAAUUAUGAAUAUAAUCAUGUUUUAAAGGUUUCAAUAAUAUUGAUUUGGUCUUUAGGCCUCUCCUCGAAGUGAUUUGAUACAUUAUAUAUGUACAUGCAUGUGUUUCGAAAAGAUGUUAACUUGAGAGCAUGAAUUAUAUAAAAUUCCUCUCUUGAUAUGAUUUUCUUUUAGAUUUUCAUUUGACGUAGAUUGUUUGAAAUCAUCUUGAAAAGCAUGACAUAAAAUGUUUUGAAAAUUGUUAUGAUUGGAUAUAAUUUUGACUUGCAAGGAGAGGGUUGUUUAUGUUGAAAUAUGAUGAAUAUGAUGAAUAUCAUGGUUGAAUGAAAAGAAUGAUGUGAUACUGAUAGCUUGCAAGUCGAGUAUGAUGAUACCCUAUAGAAUAUGAUAUGUGAUUGAAUUAAAUGAAGUUUGAAUGCAUUGAUUUUACAUGAGAUAGGUGGAUGCCCGAAGAAGGAGUUUGAGUGAAAGAGCUCAUCGCUGGAAACCGUGUUUGCCGACAAGGGAAAAUUUGUACCCUACUUUGUGAUCUUGUGUACCUGAUAUAUAUUAUCCCAAUUUGGGACUAUGGUUAGGAGCCCUGCUUUGUGAUCAACAAAUUUGUCCAAUUUCUUGGGCUCAACUAUCUUGGUCUUUUCCCUGAUACCUGUCAAAGUGCAUUCCCUGCCUUGAUAUUGGAACUUCAUAGUAGGAGUUUGAAAGUUCAUGAACAAGUCACCUAGGGGCUUGAGCCAUUUCACUCCCAAAAUGAUUUCACAUGAACCUAAGGGAAUGGGAAGGAAGUUGUCCUCAAAAGAGGUAACCCCCAUCAGCCAGUUGAACCCCUUACAUGCCUCCACCGUUUGCCUAAUCCCUCCAUCAUCCACAUUGAUCAGUUGUGGGCUAACAGUCUGACUUAGAAUACCCCAUUUCUUGACUAGCUCUUCUUCCAUGAAAUUGUGUGUGCUACCUGGAUCAAUGAGGAUGUUGAGUGGGCCAUGAUCACAAUAACCUGUCACCCUCAUGGUUUGUUAACCAGUUACUCCUUCUAAAGCUUGCAAGGAUAUUUCACAAACCUCCUUUUCUGCUUCUAAUUCCUUCCCUGGUUCAGGUUUGGGAUCCUUGCAAUUAUCCACCACCACCACCUCAUAAUCUUCAUCUACCUCCAAUAGAUGGAGCCUGUUGGAUGUCAUACAUUUGUGACCAGGUACGAACUUUUUAUCACAGAAAAAACAUAACCCUUCUGCCUCUUCUCACUUAUUUCAGCCUGAGUCAUCCUUUUACUUCUCUCUUUAUUGAAACUUAUAGCUGGUUUCUUCUUUGACCCCAUAAUUCUGGCAAGAGUAGCACUAUAACCCCCUUUUUUAAAUGAACCCCCAUCACUAGUCAUAUGAUUCCUUGAUACUCUCACCUGAGCUUGAAACUGGGAUUCAAUGUUCCUAGCCAGCUGAUAUGCAUGAGGUAGUGUGAAUGGCCUAUAACUCUUCAAAACAAAUCCAAUAUCCAUUUUCAAACCAGUGAUGAACCCACUGAUGGCAUGCUCAGGCAAAAUAUUUAAUCUAGCCAUAAUCCUGUCGCAUUCUUUCAUAUAUUCCUUCACAGUACCAUGUUGCUUUACCAACUUAAACUCUGCCAUGGGAUCCUCGUAUUCACCCCCGAAUCUGUCCAUUAACACAUAUAUAUACUCCUCCCAGGUUGGAAAUUGAAGGUAUAGCCUACUCUUAAGAUAAAACAGGUGCCAUUCUAUGGCUAUGUCAUCAAAAUGCAGAGUAGCUUCUCGAACCUUCUGCACUACAGGGGUAUCAUCAUAUGCAAAGAACUGGUCGGCCUUAUACAUCCAGGUUCGAAGGUUAGUACCAUCAAAAUGAGGGAACUCUACCUUAGUUAGACAAGUCAAGGAUCCAUUAUGGUGGCUAGAUGAAGGUGGAUUUGCAUCAUGAUAAAAUCUCCCUCCUCCUUAACCUGUGGAAGGUAUUUGUCCUGCAUUAGUGAAAAAUUGUUGACCUCUACUGUAACCUUGUUGCUGGUAGUUCUCACUUACUGGAGUUUGGAAUUGUUGGGAAUUUUGAACACCAUAAUGAUAGCCAGCUGGUGUUGAAACCCUGGUGGAUUCCCCGUAGAGACAGAGGUAGACCAUAUCAUAGGGUUGCCAGAGGGAGUGUAGAUCUCAGCUCCCUCACUGAUGGAAUUCCCUUUACCUUGAUCUCCUUUUUGGAUCCCGUGUAUGGACUCGCACAAGCUGUUAAUGGCCCUCUCAUAUUAUUCCUCAAUCUGAUUCUGCCUUAGGGAAAAAUUGGCCAUCUCCAUUGUCAUUCGAUCAAACAUCUCUUUAAUCUCCUUCAUCUCGUCAGACAUGAUUCCCACAGAGCUCAGGAUAGUAGCUAUGAUACCAAAUGUUGCAGAAUGAAUUUUUAACAGGUAAAAAUGCAAUGGAACAGUGAAGACUAAAGGAAAAACAAGAAGAAAAUUACUUGUAGGAUAAUAAAAAGAGAAGAUAAAUUAAGCUAAAGAAAUUUUUCAUUCAUAUUCUUUUUCUGAAAUAGCUAGUACUAUUAAUAGGCCUUGGCCAAGCACCUUCUCUAACACAUAGUACUAAUUACAAAUAAGCCACUUAGGGAUUACAAAGAAAUACAUAACAAACCAAGAGGACUAACCUGUAAACUUCCUUUCUAAUUCUAACUAACUCUUUUUUCAGCCGUUGAGAAUUGCAACAGGAUUCCAUUUAAAAGGCCGAUUUUCUUAGGGAUUUUACCGGUAAGAGCAUUACUUGAGACAUCGAAUCCAGUGUUGUAGGAAUACACUGACACAAGAAAUCGCGUCUGUCCUUUGGUGACUAUUUCUAACAGAGCACCGGUGAACUUGAGGGAGUAAUAAUAACCUAAUAUGGUCGUCUGAUUUUGUGUUUUUGUCAUCUUUUUCAGUCCUUCAAGAUUCUCAGGAAUCGGACCAGACAACUUGUUCCUAGACAAACUAAUAAAUUGUAGAUUUUCCAACUUCAUUACCCUUUCCGGUAUAGAUUCAUUGAAUGAGUUUGAUGCAAGCACAAGGAUACGGAGGUGGUGUAGGUCACCGAUGAACUUUGUUAUCCUCCCUUCAAAUCUAUUGCCUACCAAUUUCAGGAUCUUCAUUUCUUGAAAUUUCUCAAGCACUACUGGAAAAGAUCCUUCGAACUGAUCCCCAUUGAGGUCAAGGUAACAGAGGCUUGUAAUGAGUUCAAGUUUUUUCGGAACACUUCCAGUGAGCUUGUUUUGUCCAAGAUUAAGGUAAAUCAGAGACUUGCAGUUACCCAAACUGCGUGGAAUGGUGCCAUACAGGCUGUUAUUAGAGAGAUCAAGAACCUGGAGAACAUUAGUUGAUUGGCAAAAUGAUUCAAGUACUGGACCAUGAAUUUUGUUUCCGAAUAAUGAUAUGGACCAGAUUGCAGAAAUUUCUCCUAUCUGUGUUGGAAUUGACCCUAUGAAAUUGUUAAGUGAUAAAUCGAUGACAUUAACAUUCUUGAGCUGAGUAGAGAUAGGUCCUUGAAGUUUGUUUCUGGCUAAGUUUACUAUUGAUGGGAAAAGUGAAGAUUUCAUUUGAAUCGUUGGAGGUAUAUGUCACAACCCGAAAUAGGGCAUGGACGUGAUGAACAUCCUAAACCAUGAAGGCUCGAAACGUCCUUCUCUAUCUGGUAAUCAUGCACAACAUUCAUAUAAUAAAAUAAGAUGCGGAAACAUAAUCUGCUACGGAAACAUGGUCAAUUCUGAAUUCAACAUAAGUGUGGAAACUAUAAAUCUACUACAUCUAAAUAACAUCUAAUUCAGUCUGCGAAAUCUCUACUACAUAAAAAUCUGACAACUGUCUGAAAUUGGGACAAGGCCCCCAGUAGACCCAAACGAUAAUAAGUGUCAUAAUAUGAAAAGGCAGGCCUUCUGGAAUAUAGAAGGCUCACUAACUGGGCACUGCAACUCUAUCUGAUAAAAUCUACUACCUUUUCUAGACCCCUAGACUGAGCCUCAGAACCUGGAGGGAGGAGGGGGGUCAAUACAGAUGUACUGUUACGCAAAGUAAUCCAAAAUAAAGCUUUUAUAUAAAUAAAAUAAGGAGAGAGCAAAUUAUCAAAACAUCAUGCAUGAAAUAGUUCUAAAACACAUGGGCAUGAUAAAUCAUUUGGGGCAAUGCAGUUCUGUUCUUCGUAUUAAUUCUGAGCUAGGUGGUACACCCCUACAAUUCUAAAAUCCCACGGGCUGUAUGGAAUCCUCCAUUUACUUGGAGGGGAAGCCCCUAACCCAAGUGUGCUACAAGGGUUGGAGUUUCUAUUCUGAUAUGCCACACGACACUAGGCCAGCAUAAUAUAAUAUACCCGGAUCAGCAAAUCACGAUUUCUGGCAAUGAGUUGUCUGAACUCAUGCCUUCUUCGGGGAACCACCUAAGCUCUCUUUAUGCCCAAUUUUAUCCUGUUCUGAAUCAUGCAUUUUUCUAGUUUCAACAUCUGAAAAGUCNNNNNNNNNNNNNNNNNNNNNNNNNNNNNNNNNNNNNNNNNNNNNNNNNNNNNNNNNNNNNNNNNNNNNNNNNNNNNNNNNNNNNNNNNNNNNNNNNNNNNNNNNNNNNNNNNNNNNNNNNNNNNNNNNNNNNNNNNNNNNNNNNNNNNNNNNNNNNNNNNNNNNNNNNNNNNNNNNNNNNNNNNNNNNNNNNNNNNNNNNNNNNNNNNNNNNNNNNNNNNNNGUCAUGUGCUUUUGGCAAAAUCAUGCACUUUUUCAUUAUAUGAAUAUUUUCAACAUUUAUCAAUAUGUACAACCCUCUCUUUCGAAUUCAAAACCAUAAAUCAAUUUUUAGCAUUAAUCAAGAUAUUUCAUAUCAUGCUUUUCAAGAUACAUUCAAAACAAUCCAUAUCAUAAGAAAAUUGGAAAAAAUCAUACCAAGAGAGGGAUUCAUGUGCGUCAUGCUCGCAAUUCAUUCAUAAAUCAUAAAACAUAUGCAUACGUAUAUAUAAAAUUUCAAAUCAAUUUGGGGGAAGGUCAAAAGACCAAAACAAUACCGUCAAGAUUUCUAAAACAUAAAUGUAUUCAUAAAUCUGAAAACCACUUUCUUAAAAUCAUGAUCUCUAUACCCAUGAGAUUUUAGGAAAACCCCGCGUACCUCGAUUAUGGAGAAUAAUGGAUGAUUCUUAAAGCCUAUGGUUUGGGGAUUCCAAAUCUUCAAUCAAUUUGAAAACCCAUGGUUGAAUCUUGAUUUAUUUGGGUUUUUAGUUUGAAACCCUUAGAAGUGUUCUUGAGAGAAUUCGUGAGAAUGUGGAUGUACUUUGGAGAUUGGGGACUCAAUUUCGUGUUUAUGGCUGAAUAAGGAUGGGAAAAGGACCAUUUUGCCCCAAAAAUGGAGUGUUUAAGUCACUUGGGUCAUAAUGUAUGCGGCGCACACCUUAUCGCAUAAGAUAGGUUGUGCGGCACACACUUUAUCGCACACAUUAGGGUGUGCGUCGCACACCUUAUGGCAUAAGUUAGGGUGUGCGUCGCAUGCUGGGGGACACACUCCACUUUGUAAGGCCAUAACUUCUUGCUUGGGUAUCGGAUUUUGGCGAAAUUGGUAUCAUUGGAAAGAUAAUUCGAAGACCUUUCAUUUGGUAUAUAGUUGGACCUCUAAUUCUAUAUAUACAAAGUGUUAUGGUCGAUUGAAGUUGACCCAUAUUUCGACGCUCACUAAAACUCGAACAAUAGGAAAUCAUUCAACUUGAGCUUGAGUUAGGGGACCUCUAUGAUCUCAAUUUAUGCUCAAAUAGGUUACCACAAUCCAUAAUUGAUUAGCAUGCCAAAUUUGCAUAGGAUUUAAGGCUUUUGGAUCAUCUACGCAUAGAAAUAACUUUUUUCGUUCUAGCCCGAAAUGCGGGGUGUUACAUUAUCUCCCCCUUGGGAUCAUUCGUCCUCGAAUGAUGGGUAAGAAUGUUGAAUCUUAAAGAUAUGGAAUAAUGCAGACAUGAUGUGUCUUCUAAGAAAAGAUAUAACUGAUCUAAAACAUUUAAACUUCUAUCAUGAAACUGAAUUCUGAGCUGACUUGACUUUACUUGCUUUAAGGAGCUGAUUCAUGCUGAGAAUUUAGGAUUCCCUUGAAACGAUCAUGAUGAAAUCAUACAUAUUGAAUUGAGAAAUGAUAACUUAUGCAAGUACGAAUCAUGAAACAACUGGAAUUAGAUUGUAUAAGGUUAUUACACUGUUUGAGCUAACAUACUUGGAAAAAUUUGAAAUUGUGUGCUGAACUCUUAUGAACAGAGUCAUGACUAAAUUGCUAAAUCCGAAACAUGAUGCUUGGACUGAACUGAAUUCACAAUUUACAUGGGGAAUAGAUUAUCUCCUGGGAUGGUCACACGCAUGAUACUUCGGUUAGUAGGACUGAGUAAAAAGGUGAAAAAUCACAGUAACUUGCCUGCCCGACUGUUAAACUAAAUUGUUGGUUAUACAGGCGGAAUUAUACUGGAACCUAUACUUAGCUGGAGUAUUUCUUCACCACUCUUUCUAAAGAAGUCAUAGUAGUGUUAGGGAACAAAGAACCUUGGGCAUGAUUUACACGAGGCACCCAACCAAGGAAUCACAAAAAUGACACUACUCUAUAGCAGGGAAUAGAAUUACCAGGCCCUAGGCCAUGCAAUUUCUUACUUUCAAGCUUAGCACACUUCUUGAGUAUCCCUUAACUACACUAUUCUCUUUAAUUACCAUACUCAUUGAUUCAAGUUAUAAUCCUCAUAAAUCUUUCUACAAAUGUCUAAAGAGGCUUAAAUUCUUUCACCGUGAUCAAGCCUAACUUCAAAUCACAAAAGACAACAUGCCAUACUACGACACUAGUCUAAACCAUAUGAUUCAACCUUCUAUAUCUUUUUAAAUAUCACACCCUAAUAAUAACGUGCUUUACCACUUUAAUGACCAACCCUGAACUCUUACUAUGGAUUCGCUAGCGUAUAUUGCAUUCCUCCACUUACAUCCCAACAUGUCAUUCAAGCCUAUCCUUAUAACCACAUACGAACUUUAAGGCAACAUUAAUCAAGACGUACUUCAUAUAUUCUCUAAACCACCAUCAAUACAACUCCCACGCGUUACCCCAAGAACAUACACACACAAAUUUCCACUAACCAUCACAUGUAUCAAAGGCUUUGCCCCAAAUCUUACUUCAUACUUAUGGCCUCAUCCAAAACAAGCAUACAAUGAUCUUUCAUCAACAAGAACCAUUCUCUCAUCACCACUAUCAUUACAUAAGGAGUCACCAAAAGGUUAGAACAUAAAACCUUGAAGCAUGGAAGGAUAUUAUAUGAGACUUGACACUUAGCUGAGGCCUGAGGAAUAACAAAUCAACAUCAGGGAUUUAUCAAAGUAAAUCUGAAUUGAGGGCAUACUCGCCAAUCAUUUGGCGUAAAGCAUGAGUUAUGGAAACUGAGCACACUAUAACACGUAAAUACAUGAGUCAUGAGCUACAUGACCUCAAUUUGGAGUUCAUAACAUAUGGAAUGUGAUUCCGACUACGGAAUGAACUGAAACUCCUCUUUUUAGAACUGGAAGAGCACGUGAUUCUCUAUCAUAUACAUGAACAUGAACUAUGAUCUUGGAAUUGAAACAAGAGGCAUGAGUAGGUAUUGGGAUAACUGAAAAAUACUGAGAUAAGAAUAGGUUGAGUCUCACCCUCACUUUCUGACGUUCUAUAUCAUACUACAUUACUACAAGAAUCUGAGAGCCUUACUUGGUUAUUCGUUCUAUCAACCCCCCCUUAGCUUAAAGCCAUCAUCUUAAGUUUGAGAGAUCGCUUACUAGAUUCUAAAUGAACUACACUUACUACACUCUAGGGUCUGGAAAACGACAAUACACAUAAUUAAUAGAACUUAACCUAAAUGACUACACAUGAAAGUGGGAAAACCCACUGCUAAUAUUACCUUCCGAGAUACACUCUAUCAUUCUAUAGCCUCAAUAGUCAUCAUAUAGUACUUGAAAACUUACUAACUUCGAAUCUUCAUGAGUAUCCCUAUAGUUGAAGUGCACACCAUCUAGUGCUUCUACUAUUAUUUCUAUUAGCUCAGUCUUCAAAACUCAAACUUAGAUUCUAACACUUAACAUGGAUAUCCCCAAGCCUUUGAUGAACCAUAGUAAUUCCGUCACAGUAUAUCAAUAUCGCGACUCCAAACUUAUAUCUAUAUACUAUAAGAAUCAAGAUCAUAUAAGAAGGCACCACACUAUCAAUCAAAACUCCUUAACUUGGCUAUCUAGCACACCAUAUACCAUAUAACUAGUCUUUCUCCACCUAGGAACUCAAUAGUACCACUUGCCACACAGAACAUGUAAUAGUCUUAAAAUAUCGCAACUCCAUAUCACCUUGGGCAUACUUCUACCUCAUACAUACAACAUCAUACUUCAUUAUGAAUCAAAUAAACUUAAGCUAUUGCAUACACUAUUCAAACCUAUUAGAUCAAUUCCAUAUAACUAGUACAUUAAUUAAGAAAUCAUCACAUCCACCUUCAUAGCCAUCAACUGAUCAAACUCAGUGUCUAGUGCUAAACAUGAUUUACAACCCAACCUUACGCAUAGUUCUCACUUGGAAACCAUGAAAUAAACAUCACGAAACACUGGUACACUAGAACUUUAUAACAAUAAUAAUCGAUCAUGACCUUACAGUUUUCCUUAUCAUAACUGAUUAGCACACACUAUUUCAACACAUCAAGCCUACUAAUUUAUUCCCACAAAACAUACAUCAUUAAUCUCAUGACACUAUUCUUACAUCCACAUCCUACAUUAAAUUCAAGCCAAUGGUCUAGCAUCAAUCAUCUACUACCAAUGAAGAAGGAAACAUAAUGUACUAGUCCGUCAAAUUUGAACAUUCUAUCCAAAUACCUCAAAAAUCUACUACAUACCUUCUCACAAAUAGUACUAGUUUACAACUACCAACAAAAAGAAGGUCAAGGGAGGGGGAGAUAAAGUAUCAUAAUAGACAUGGUCAACCUUAAUCUUAUAUUAUAACCCCAUACAAUCUUAUAUACUUAUACGGCUUUCUCACAUCACACUUACUUACCCAAGCAUAUAUUUAGACUACCUUCAAAUUCCACAAACAACCAUGAGUCUAUAGUUAUAAAUUACUGGCUCAUCUAGCCAUUUUCAUACAUCAAGCAGACAACAAUUUACCUUAACUAAUAACUCCUUCUCUACCUUCUAUUAAACUAACACACAACGACAUAUCACUUCAUUACCAUCUCAAUCUCAUACGAAAAGAUUCGACCACACAUAUAUCCAACCAAUACAAGAACAACAAGAUAAAUAACAAGUUGCUAGUAAAUUAAAAUAGGCCUCUCACAGCUUCACUAGACUUUCAGUUUCAAAAACACAAUAAUAACAAGAUUACAAGUGAUAGAAACUUGACACACAAUAUCAAUGAUAUAAAAAAUACACAUCUUACUCUGUAUAAAUAAAAAAUCUGAGUAAAAAACUUUCCCCCUCAGACUAUCAUACAAUCCACACCUGCUACUAGCUACCACAUUAGCCUAUCACUAUAAAGGGGUAAAUUAUCCUCAAACAUCGGUUAUUCAACUAAAAUAUUUAUUUGCACAAAAGUUACCCUCACUCUAACUUCUAACUUUGUGACUUCACAUCACCAACUUUUUGGUCCAAUAUCACUACCAAUAGGUCAUGACACUGAUACUUAACUUAUACUACUACUCGGGUGGAAAUACAGUUCCAACAUCUUGCUACAUCUCAUUCCCUCUUAAGCAUGACAUCUGCAACAUAAUUUUUUUUUUUUUUGAAAAUGACUGAAUACCCUUAAUACCGCAGGAUGAAAAACAUGAUUUCAUCAGAACCAAAGUUCUCACUAGAAUCAAUACACUCUGAAGCACUAACAGACUUUUCUCAAGUCCUUGCACAAUUUCAGAAUCUUAUAUGGCUAAAUAAAAAGGACUAUACCAUUUAAACUCUAAACUUCUGCACUUGAUUCACCUCAACAAUGAGACACAUCUGAGCAUAUCAAAGAAAGGAAAGAAUUGACAUAACUUUACUUUCAUAUGGGCGACACCAUAGCACGAAUUAGAAUAUGAAAGAAGAACAUUCUAGCCUUAUUGCACGAACUAGAAUAUGAAAAAAGAGGGACAUUCCUAAACUCCUACUAUCCUCCUGCUUAUAAGUGUGGCGCGCUACCCACCCAUAAACAAGACGCGACCCGAUGCGAUUUUGCAGACACCCUGGGACCAUGAACCGUGCUCUGAUACCAAGUUUAUCAUGAUCCAAAAUAGGGCCUGGCCGUGACGAACAUCCCAAAACAUGAAGGCCCGAAACGUCCUUCUCUAUCUGGUAAUCAUGCACAACAUUCAUAUAAUAAAAGAAGAUGUGGAAACAUAAUCUGCUACAGAAAUAUGGUCAAUUCUGAAUUCAACAUAAGUGUGGAAACUGUAAAUCAACUACAUCUAAAUAACAUCUGACUCAGUCUGCGAAAUCUCUACUACAUAAAAAUAUAACAACUGUCUGAAACUGGGACAAGGCCCCCAGUAGACCAAAACGAUGAUAAGUGUCAUAAUCUAAAAAUGCAGGCCUUCUGGAAUAGAGAAGGCUCACUAACUGGGCACUGCAACUCUGUCUGAUAAAAUCUACUACCUUUUCUAGACCCCUAGACUGAGCCUCAGAACCUGGAGGAAGGAGGGGGGGUCAAUACAGAUGUACUGGUACGCAAAGUAAUCCAAAAUAAAGCUUUUAUAUAAAUAAAAUAAGGAGAGAGCAAAUUGUCAAAACAUCAUGCAUGAAAUAGUUCUAAAACACAUGGGCAUCAUAAAUCAUUCUGGGCAAUGCAGUUCUGUUCUUCGUAUUAAUUCUGAGCUAGGUGGUACACACCCCAACAAUUUUAAAAUCCCACGGGCUAUUUGGAAUCCUCCAUUUACUUGGCGGGGAAGCCCCCAACCCAAGUGUGCCACAAGGGUUGGAGUUUCUAUUCUGAUACGCCACACGGCACUAGGCCAGCGUAAUAUAAUAUACCCGGAUCAGCAAAUCACGUUUUCUGGCAAUGAGUUGUCUGAACUCAUGCCUUCUUCGGGGAACCACCUAAGCUCUCUUUAUGCCCAAUUUAAUCCUGUUCUGAAUCAUGCAUUUUUCUAGUUUCAACAUGUGAAAAGUUUGAUUUCAAACAUGCAUUCUAUUCUGUUUUGAAUUAUCAUGGCAUAAUCUGAAUUGGUGUCGUCACACCAAGACUUGCAAGUCCUAUUUCUGAGCCAUAAUGCAUCCUGCAUAAUUCUUAUAUUAAAACACAGUUCAGACCACCCAAACAUGCAAACAAUAUAAAAGAUUUUAUGUUUCGAGAACACAAGUCAAAACUAUGCUGAGAUUGUUCAAGCAUAUGGUGGUCAUGUGCUUUUGGCAAAAUCAUGCACUUUGUCACUAUAUGAAUAUUUUCAACAUUUAUCAAUAUGCACAACCCUCUCUUUCAAAUUCAAAACCAUAAAUCAAUUUGUAGCAUUAAUCAAGAUAUUUCAUAUCAUGUUUUUCAGGAUACAUUCAAAACAAUCCAUAUCAUAAGAAAAUUGGAAAAAAUCAUACCAAGAGAGGGAUUCAUGUGAGUCAUGCUCUUAAUUCAUUCAUAAAUCAUAAAACAUAUGCAUACAUAUAUAUAUAAUUUCAAAUCAAUUUGGGGGAAGGUCAAAAAACCAAAACAAUACCGUCAAGAUUUCUAAAACAUGAAUGUAUUCAUAAAUCUGAAAAUCACUUUCUUAAAAUCAUGAUCUCUAUACCCAUGAGAUUUUAGGAAAACCCCGCACACCUCGAUUAUGGAGAAUAAUGGAUGAUUCUUGAAGCCUAUGGUUUGGGGAUUCCAAAUCUUCAAUCAAUUUGAAAACCCAUGGUUGAAUCUUGAUUUAUUUGGGUUUUUAGUUUGAAAUCCUUGGAAGUGUUCUUGAGAGAAUUCAUGAGAAUGUGGAUAUACUUUGGAGAAUUGGGCACUGAAUUUCGUGUUUAUGGCUGAAUAAGGAUGGGAAAAGGACCAUUUUGCCCCAAAAAUGGAGUGUUUAAGUCACUUGGGUCAUAAUGUAUGCGGCGCACACCUUAUCACAUAAGAUAGGUUGUGCGGCACACACUUUAUCGCACACAUUAGGGUGUGCGUCGCACACCUUAUGGCAUAAGUUAGGGUGUGCGUCGCACACCUUAUGCUGGGCGACACACUCCACUUUGCAAAGCCAUAACUUCUUGCUCGGGUGUCGGAUUUUGGCGAAAUUGGUAUCGUUGGAAAGAUAAUUUAAAGACCUUUCAUUUGGUAUAUAGUAUUCCCUCUAAUUAUAUAUAUACAAAUAUUUAUGGUCGAUUGAAGUUGACCCAUGUUUCGACGCUUACUAAAACUCGAACGCUAGGAAAACUUUCAACUUGACCUUGAGUUAGGGUACCUCUAUGAUUUCAAUUCAUGCUCAAAUAGGUUCCCACAUCCAUAAUUGAUUAACAUGACAAAUUUGCAUAGGAUUUAAGGCUUUUGGAUCAUCUACGCAUAGAAAUGACGGUUUUCGUUCUAGCCCGAAAUGCGGGGUGUUACAGUAUAACUCCCUCGAAGUUAUUCAUCGAUAAAUCUAGUACAGAUAGGGCUGGUAGAUUGAACAACCAGUAUGGUAUGUCUCCUCUCAUUUUGCAAGAUGUAAAUUCCAAAAGCGUGGGCUGGAAAGUUUGCAGAAUGGGUUGAUGCUGACAUCGUUUUCCACCGACAAUCCGUUAAUUCCAAAAGAAAGCAUACCCAAUUUAGACUUCUGGAUCAAAGACAGUGGCAUAUUACCAUUCAGGUUAUUAUUCUGAACAGAAAGAUACGAAAGCUUAGGAAGCUGAAGUAUGCACGAGGGAACGCUUCCUGUUAGCUCGUUCCAUUGUACAUUCAGGUAAUCCAGUGAGAGGAUUUGACAAAUCGAAGUAGGAAUAUACCCUCGUAAACCAUUCUGGAUCAGAGAUAAGUAUUGAAGGCUUAUCAAACUGGACAUGGAUACAGGAAGCUGUCCUGUGAUGUUGUUGUCAUUGAGCACCAAGAUACGUAAUUUCUUAAGUUUUGUAACUGAAGAAGGUAUAGACCCUUGGAUCGAGCAUCCAUCAGCCUGGAAAAAAGUUAGCGAAGUUGAGUUGCUUAAAGAAGGAGGAAGCGUUCCGCCUACAUGAGAGAAACUUACGUCGAGAAACUUCAACUUUGACCCCGAGGCUGAAAACAUCGAAACAAGAUUUAUGGUCAUAGCAGGAUUGCUAGAAACAUAAAGUUGUUCGAGUUGAGGAAGGUAAGGGAUAUGACCGUCUAAAUUGUUGACACUAAAAUCAAGAGCUGAGAGGGUUGUGAGGUUCGAUAAAAUAUCAGGGAUCGUGGAUGUUAGAAUGUUAGAGCUCGUAUCUAGAACAGAAAGGUUAGUAAAGUUAAGUAAUUGCCCUAUCGGAAUUCUUCCUGAAAUGUUGCAGUUAGAUAAUCGAAGCAAUAUGAGAUUUGAAAGACUCGAUACUGGUGUAGCCCAAUGAAAUGAUUCCAAGGCCUUUGAUAGAUCAACACCAGUCAUUACGAGAUAUCUGAGAUGUCGGAGUCCUUCUAACCACCUUAGAUUUGGACUAGACAGAUAUCCAUUGCUUAUAAAAGAUAAAACUGAGCCAACAUCUAACUUCGGUUGUAAUGUCAAGCUAACAGAAACAGAAGACAAAUCGGGUACUAAAUUAGCACACGAUGGAUCAAGAGACCGUAGAGAUGUAAGGUUUGAGAAUUGUGUACUGAUGGAAUCUUGAAACAUGGCAUUCGACAGAUUGAGAUAAGUCAACUUUGUUAAGUUCGAUAUCUCAACAGGUAACUUUGUGAACACGAAGUUGUUGAAACUCAGGUCGAGAUAUUGGAUAUGAUCAAGAGUGAAGAGCAAUGGAUAUACAGUACCUUUAAGGGAAAAAUCGGACGUGUUGUUAGAAUUUGAAACAACUUCCUUAUUGACAUUGAUCAUGACUUCAUCGGGAUGAGGAUUCCGAAGAUUGACAACUACAACACGACCUGAACUUGAGCACUUGAUUCCUUUCCAACUGCAACAGUUUUCGCCUUUCCAUGAAGAUAACCGAUUAGAUGGAUCAGUCAGCAAGGAUUUGAAGCUCAUUAGGGCUGCUCUUUCUCCAUCAUAGCAACCACCAACGAGCGACGGUAAAAUAGAGUAGCAAAUAUAAGGAAAACUUUCUUUAACCACAUGAUUUCAAGAUGAUAAACAAUAUCCUAGAUUGUCAAGUAUUAGGGUUCAUGGAGAAAAAGGCAUUAUUUGGUUUAGACUUAUACUAUUGAAUUGAAAAAGAUUGCAUUCCACAGUCAAUAACUUGAAGUAUAAUAAUGCAUAAUUCACCAAGAGCUUGAUUUAAUUAAGAAAAAAUGGACUGUGUUUGGUAAGUGUCUUCAUUUCACUAUUACUACCAAAAAUUAUCAAAUUUUUUAAAAAUAAGUUGGAUGACUUUGACAAAGUCCUCUAUCACAUCAUCUAGAUUGAAAAAUUGGCAUGCCUUAAGUAUAGAUUUUGGAUUUCAUUAAGGAGAAAUGAAGGGAAUUAAUAGGUGUUUUUGAAGAGGGGCUUUUGUGCUUUUCUUGUGGUGGAGGACUCGGAUUAGGGUAGAGGGUUAGCGGGUAGGAGUUCGGCAGUUAUAGUAGAGAAGACUUCUUUGUUUGUAUGUGCGCCUAGAGUUUCUUGUUCGUUUUUCGGUGAUUUCUAUGAUUUUGGAUAGAUAGUUUAUAGUAGUACCUUGUGGGUAUCUUAUUUCCUUUAUUAUCUAGCAGUGCAUUAUCUCAUUUUGUUGUGUGCUUUUAUGUUUUUUGUUUGUUAUACCGUUAUAUGUCUUGAGCCGGAGGUCUAUCGGAAACAAGCUCUCUACCUCAUAUGAGGUAGUGGUAUGGACUGCGUAAUACGCUCGGUAUGUUGUUGUGUAUGUAACUGCGUAAGAUCAUUAUUUAAGAGUUGCUGAUACAAUAAGAAUGCAACAGCAGAUAUCUGUGAAUCGUCUGUGAUUGCUCGUGUACUAGUAUAUGUGUGAUUUUCCGCACUAUAUAUAUGAGGCUCCUUUGACAUACUUUACGAUUUUAAGAUAUGUUUAGGCCAUUGAGCCAUAUCUUUCACUUAUUUAAAGUAACAUAUGUAUGUUCAUGACAUAGACAGUUGGCCGGUCCUCGAUGAAAGUUAGAGGCAUUGGGUGCUGGCCGCGUGCACUUCCAGAUUUGGCCUGUGACUUCUUCUGUGAUACAAGUCAAUUUUUCGUUACAAAACACCACGCGGAUGCCAAAAGUAAGUAAAAUCUGUUAGUAUGACACACUUCUAAGUAGCCUACGUUCAUUUAUACAAUGCGUUAAAGUACAGUUUAGUUAAUUACGAUACGUUAAGGAUGUAAGUAAACUUUAAAAAUGUACAUCGAAUAUGUUUUAUGUGAAAAGCUUAGUGUGUAUGGAAGAAGUAACAAAGUCAAAAAAAUAAUUGAGACAGUUAUAUUAAUUUUCAAACAUAGUUCUAUUAAUUUUUCAAAUUUACAAGAGAUUUGGUAGAUGAAUUUGUCAAAGUCAGUCACAUAUUCUUCAAACAAUUUGAAAAUUGCUGGUACUAAUAUAGAAAUUUACACCAAAUAAUGCUAUUUUAUUCAUGAAGACAUUAUAAGAAGCAAGCAUUUAACUUGUAUUAUAAAACAUUAACACUUGAAAUCAUGUGGUUAAAGAAAGAGUUCCUUAUAUUUGCUACUCUAUUUUACUGUUUUUCGCUCGUUGAUGGUUGCUAUGAAGGUGAAAGAGCAGCACUAAUGAGCUUCAAAUCGUUGCUGACUGAUCCAUCUAAUCGGUUAUAUUCAUGGAAAGGCGAAAAUUGUUGCAGUUGGAAAGGAAUCAAAUGCUCGAGUUCAGGUCAUGUUGUAGUUGUCAACCUCCGGAAUCCUCAUCCGAUUGAAGUCAAAAUCAAUAUCAAUAAGGAAGUUGUUUCAAAUUCUAAAAACACGUCCGAUUUUGCCCUUAGAGGUACUAUAUCUCCAUUGCUCUUCAAACUUGAUCGUAUCCAACAUCUCGACCUGAGUUACAACAAUUUCAUGUUCUCAAAGUUACCUGCUGAGAUAUCGAACUUAACAAAGUUGACUUAUCUCAAUCUGUCGAAUGCCAUGUUUCAAGAUUCCAUCGCCAUGCAAUUUACAAACCUUACAUCGCUAAGGUCUCUUGAUCUUUCAUGUGCUAACUUAGUACCUGAUUAUUCUUCUGUUUCUGUUAGCUUGACAUUUCCACUGAAGUUGGAUUUUGGCUCAUCAUUGUUAUCUUUUAUAAGUUACGGUUAUUUGUCUAGUCCAAAUCUAAGGUGGUUGGAAGGACUCCGACGUCUAAGAUAUCUAGUGUUGACUGGUGUUGANNNNNNNNNNNNNNNNNNNNNNNNNNNNNNNNNNNNNNNNNNNNNNNNNUGUCACUUCGUUUGUCCAACUGCAACAUUUCAGGAAGAAUUCCGAUAGCGCAGUUUCUUAACCUUACUAAUAUUGCUAGUCUAGAUAUGAGCUCUAACGUUCUAAAAUCCUCGAUACCUGAUCUGCUAUCGAACAUCACAACCCUCUCGGUUCUUGAUUUUAGUAGAAAUGAUUUAAAUGGUCAUAUCCCUUACCUUCCUCAACUCGAAGAACUUUCUGUUGCUAGCAAUCCUGCUGUUACCAUAGAUCUUGUUUCAAUGUUCGCAGUACCGUGGUCAAAGUUGACAUUACUCGACAUAUGCUUCACACGGGUAGGUGGAACGAUUCCUCCUUCCUUAAGUAACUCAACUUCGUUAGCCUUUUUCCGAGCUCAUGGAUGCUCGAUACAAGGGUCGAUACCUUCUUCAAUCACAAAACUUACAAAAUUAAGUGUGCUGAUGCUCAAUGAAAACGAUAUCACAGGCCAAAUUCCUGCAUCCAUGUCCAGUUUAACAAACCUUCAAUACUUAUCGCUGUUUCAGAACCGAUUAGAAGGUAACAUACCGAUUUCGGUUUGUCAAAUCUCCUCCCUAGAGUACCUGAAUUUAGAAUGGAAUGAUCUAACAGGACGUCUUCCGUUGUGCAUAAUUCAGCUUCCUAAGCUUUCAUCUCUUUAUAUUCAGAGGAAUAGGCUGAAUGGUUAUAUGCCAUUUUCUUUGUUCCGAAAGUCUAGAUUGGAUGAAAUUAGUUUAGGAACUAGCGGAUUGUCAGUGGAAAUCGAUGAUCCAGAUCAACCCUUCGCGCAAACAUUCCAGCCCAAGAUUUUGGACUUCACAUCUUGCAACAUGAGAGGAGAAAUCCCGGAUUUCUUUUCAAAUUUUACGAGCCUCGUGGUUCUGAAUUUGGCUAACAACAGUCUAUCUGGUGCCAUACCACCGUGGUUGUUCAAUCUUCCCGCUCUCUCUAUACUAGCUUUGCCUAUGAAUAACUUCAUCGGAUUUAUACCUCCAAUGAUUCACCUGAAAUCUUCUCUUUUCCCAACAAUGAUAAAUUUAGCCAGAAACAAACUUCAAGGCCCGAUCCCUCCUCAGCUCGAGAAUGUUAAUGUCAUCGAUUUGACACUUAACAAUUUCGUAGGCUCAAUUCCAUCACAGAUAGGAGAAGCUCCUGGUAUCAGGUCCAUAUCAUUAUCCGGAAACAAAAUUUGCGGUUCCUUACCUGAAUCAUUUUGCCAUGCAUGUAACGUCCUCCAGGUUCUUGAUCUGUCUAAUAACAGCUUGUCAGGAACCAUUCGACGUAAUUUGGGGAACUGCAGGUCUCUCAUUUACCUUAAUCUUGGACAAAACAAGCUCACUGGAAGUGUUCCAGAAGAACUCGAACACAUUACAAGCCUUCGUUACCUUGACCUGAACGGGAAUCAGUUCGAAGGAUCUUUUCCAGCAGUGAUUGAAAACUUCCAAGAUUUGGAGAUUCUGAACUUGGCAGGCAACAGAUUUGAAGGGAAGAUACCUAAGUUCAUUGGUGAUCUACGCAGCCUUCGUAUCCUCGUGCUUGAAUCAAACUCUUUCAAUGAAUCUAUUCCUGAAGGGCUAAUGAAGUUGGAAAAUCUACAAUAUAUUGGUUUGUCCAGGAACAAUCUGUCCAGUCCCAUUCCUGAGAAUCUCGAUGGUUUGAAAAUGAUGGCGAAAAGGCAAAAUGAGGCAACCAUCUUAGGUUAUGUUUGCUCACUCAAGUUCACCGGUGCUCAGCUAGAAAUAGUCACCAAAGGACAAACACAUUGGCUUGAGUCAGUGUAUUCCUACAACACUGGAUUCGACCUCUCGAGCAAUGCUCUUACAGGUAAAAUCCCUGAAAAGAUUGGCCUUUUGAGUGGAAUACCAUUUCUGAAUCUCUCACGUAACAAUCUUUCCGGAACGAUCCCAAAGACUAUCAGUGAAAUGAUCUCACUCGAGUCGUUGGAUCUCAGUUACAACCAUUUCACAGGUGAAGUUCCAGUGACAUUGACAUUGUUAGAUUUUCUUCAACAUCUCAACAUGUCUUACAACAAUUUGAGUGGAAAAAUUCCAAGAAAUCCACAUUUUGACACUUUGUAUCAAGAUGGAACAACAUAUAUUGGGAACAAAUACUUAUGUGGUGCUCCCGAUGGGAUGGAUUGCAGCAACCGUACACCUUCUAUCACCCAAAAAAUAGAAGAAAAAUAUGAUCAAGAAAAUUUCCUGUUUGUUUUAGUUAUAUUCUUUGGCUACGUAACAGGAAUUUCUGGAUUGUUUUUGUUCUUAUAUUUGAUGAAGGACGAUUGGAGGAGCAUGUACUGGAGGGCGAUAGACAGAAUCGUGUUAAAAAUAGUGAAACAUGUACCAUGAACAGAAGUUGUAAACGAUGUUGAUUUCUCUGUUGUAUACUUAUCUGAUACUGUAAGAAGAGGUUUGAUCUAUUUCUUUUGGGUUUCCCUGGUGUCCUGUAUUUGUACUGGGGCUCGACUAAAUCCGUAUUGUCGGUAACUGUUUCUGUAUAACAUGUUUAUGAUAUUAAGUUCUUGACGAUUCUGGUUAUAAGCGUUGUUGGUACACUAAGCAUGAGCAUGUAGUUUCACUUCAUGAUGCAUAUACUUUGGUGAUGACGAUGGUCUGUGGGUGAGUCCGGCUUGAGGGACAAACGUUAGCUUUGUGUCCGAUACACUAUGACAAAGACAUCGGGUUUACUUCCAGUGUACCAUAAUGAUAAGUUUUAAGGCUCGAGUUCAUCUCACUAUGAGGGUAAGACAUUGUGUUUGUGUAUUAUCAUGAAUGAGUUCAAUUGUAUCUUACAUCUCUUAUUUAUAAUACAUCACGUAAUCGUAGUUAAUACUUUCAAAUUUAACUACUGCUUCCUUCUCGAUAUCUUGUUACUUCAGCUAAUCAACCUUCUCGAUGACUUCUCGUUCAUAAAAUUGUAUCAAUGCACAUUAACGAUAUGAUGAUGAUGAGAGAGACCAAGCAUUUUGUGACGGUGAGACAUGGGGUUUGAGUCCCAACUUUUUCUUGUUAAACGCCACCGUUAUGAGUGUGCAUUGUAAUAUGCAUGGUGAACUUGGACUCAAAAUACUGCUGUCAGUGCAGUAUUUAGUAUACGUACAUAUCAUAGCUUACAGUUCACUAUUUUUGACACAAUUUUGUCUACCGCCCUCCAAUGCCUGCUCCUCCAGUUGUCAUCUGUCAAAUAUAACAGCAGAAAUACACCAGAUAUUCCUGUUACAAAGCCCGAGAAUAUAACUAGAACAAAAAGGACAUUUUCUUGAUCGUAUCUGUUCUCUGUUGCUUCAUUGGUAGAGGGUCUGUAGUUGUUGCUGCAGUUCAUCCCAUCAGGAGUACCACACAAGUUUUUGUUCCCGACAUAUGCUGUUCCAUCUUGAUACAAAGUGUCAAACUGUGGAUUGGUUGGAAUCUGUCCGCUCAAAUUGUUAUAAGACAAGUUGAGAUACGCGAGAAAAUUCAAGUGUGUCAAUGUCACUGGAAUUUCACCUGUGAAAUGGUUGUAACUGAGAUCCAAUGACUCAAGUGAAAUCAUCUCUCCAAUAGUCUUUGGGAUCAGCCCGAAAAGAUUAUUAUGUGAGAAAUUCAGGAACGGGAUUCCAUUUAAAAGGCCGAUUUUCUCAGGGAUUUUACCGGUAAGAGCAUUACUUGAGGCAUCAAAUCCAGUGUUGUAGGAAUACUCUGACACAAGAAAUUGCGUCUGUCUUUUGGUGACUAUUUCUAGCUGACCACCGGUGAACUUGAGGGAGUAAAAAUAACCAAAGAUGGUUGUCUGAUUUUGUGUUUUCGUCAUCAUUUUCAAGCCAUCUAGAUUCUCAGGAAGGGGACUGGACAGAUUGGUCCUGGACAAACCAAUAUAUUGUAGAUUUUCCAACAUCAUUAUCCCUUCCAGUAUAGAUUCAUUGAAAGAGUUUGAUGCAAGCACAGGGAUACGGAGGUGGUGUAGGUCACCGAUGAACUUUGGUAUCCGCCCUUCAAAUCUAUUGCCUGCUAAGUUCAGCAUCUCCAAAUCUUGAAACUUCUCAAUCGCUGUUGGAAAAGAACCUUCAAACUCAUUUCCAUUCAGGUCAAGGUAACGAAGGCUUGUAACGCGUUCAAGUUCUUUUGGAACAGUUCCGGUUAGCUUGUUUUGUCCAAUAUUAAGGUAAAUGAGAGACUUGCAGUUUGCCAAUUAGGUCGAAUGGUGCCUGACAUGCUGUUAUUAGACAGAUCAAGAACCUGGAGAACAUUAGCCGCUUGGCAAAGUGAUUCAGGUAUUGGACCAUGGAUUUUGUUUCCAGAUAACGAUAUGGACCUGAUACCAUGAACUUCCCCUAUCUGUGUUGGAAUUGAGCCAACGAGAUUGGUAAGUGACAAAUCGAUGACAUUAACAUUCUCGAACUUAGAAGGGAUAGGACCUUGAAGGUUGUUACCGGCUAAACUAAUUCAUCGAUAAAUCUAGUACAGAGAGGGCCGUGAGAUUGAACAACCAGUACGGUAUGGCUCCUGAUAGACUGUUGUUAGCCAAAAUUAAAAUCACGAGGCUCGUCAGAUUUGAAAAGAACUUUGGGAUUUCUCCUCUCAUGUUGCAAGAUGUAAAUUCCAAAAUCUCGGGCUGGAAAGUUUGCACUAAGGAUUGAUCUUGAUCAUCGAUUUCCACAGACAAUCCACUAACUCCGAAGCUAAUUUGAUCCAAUCUAGACUUUCGGAACAAAGACAGUGGCGUAUCACCAUUCAGGUUAUUCUUCCGAACAUAAAGACACGAAAGCUUAGUAAGCUGAAGUAUGCACGAGGGAAGACGUCCUGUUUGAUUAUUCCAAUUUAAAUUCAGGUACUCGAGGGAGGGGAUUUGACAGAUAGAUAUUGGAAUAUUCCCUUGUAGUCUGUUCUGAAAAGUGAUAAGUAUUGAAGGCUUGUUAAACCGGACAUGGAUACCGGAAGUUGGCCUGUGAUAUCAUUGUCGUUGAGCAUCAUUAUUCUUAAUUUCUUAAGUUUUGUUAUAGAAGGAGGUAUUCACCCUUCGAUCGAGCAUCCAUCAGCUAGGAAAACAGUUAAUGAAGUUGAGUUGCUUAAAGAAGGAGGAACCAUUCUACCGACCCGAGUGAAGCUUAUGUCAAGAUAUGUUAACUUUGACCAUGGAACAGAAAACAUUGUAACAAGAUCUAUGGUCAUAGCAGGAUUGGUAGAAACAGAAAGUUCUUCGAGUUGAGGAAGAUAAGGGAUAUGACCGUCUAAAUCGUUGCCACUAAAGUCAAGAACCGAGAGGGUUGUGAGGUUCGAUAGAAUAUCAGGUAUCGAGGAAGUUAGAACGUUAGAACUCAUUUCUAGAGUAGAAAGACUAGUAAGAUUAAGUAAUUGCGCUGUCGGAAUUCUUCCUGAAAUGUUGCAGUUGGACAAUUGAAGUGAGAUGAGAUUUGAAAGACUUGAUAUUGUUUUAACCCAAUGAAAUGAUUCCGAGGACUUUGAUAGAUUAACACCUGUCAAUACGAGAUAUCUGAGACGUCAGAGUCCUUCUAACCACCUUAGAUUUGGACUAGACAGAUAUCCAUAGCUUAUAAAAGAUUAACAGUGAACCAGAAUCUAACUUUGGUGGUAAUGUCAAGCUAACAGUAAGAGAAGACAAAUCGGGGACUAAAUUAGCACACGAAAGAUCAAGAGACCUUAAAGAUGUAAGAUUUGAGAAUUGCAUGUCGAUGGAAUCUUGAAACAUAGAAUUCGACAGAUUGAGAUAAGUCAACUUUGUUAAGUCCGAUAUCUCAACAGGUAACUUUGAGAACAUGAAGUUGUUGAAACUCAGGUCGAUAUGUUGGAUAUGAUCAAGAGUGAAGAGCAAUGGAGAUAUAUUACCUUUAAGGGCAAAAUCGGACGCGUUGUUAGAACUUGAAACAACUUCCUUAUUGACAUUGAUCAUGACUUCAUCCGGAUGAGGAUUCCGGAGAUUGACAACUACAACAUGACCUGAACUCGAGCAUUUGAUUCCUUUCCAGUUGCAACAGUUUUCGCCUUUCCAUGAAGAUAACCGAUUAGAUGGAUCAGUCAGCAAGGAUUUGAAGCUCAUUAGAGCUGCUCUUUCUCCUUCAUGGCAACCACCAACGAGCGAAAAACAGUAAAAUAGAGUAGCAAAUAUAAGGAAAACUUUCUUUAACCACAUGAUUUCAAGAUGAUGAACAAUAUCCUAGAUUGUCAAAUAUAACAUAUAUAUAUAUACCUGUUCUUCCUAUACCCCUUGAACUAAAUUAUUCAUAAAGAAGACAUUAUUUGGUGUAAGCUUCAUUCUACAGUCAAUGACUUAGCUUUGUUUAAUGAAAAAAGAAAUUGGGAUAAAGAAUGUGGUUUUGACUUUGACAAAGUUCUCUAUCACAUCUCAUCUAGUUCUAUUGGUGUUGAAUACUAUUUUGGUCAUCUCCAUGCCUUUUACAAGUGUAUAGCUAUUGCUUUUUGUGAUACUAAUUUCUCGGCAUGUUUGUUGCAUUUGUGUGUUGAGUCAUAGUACGCGAUUUUGUAAAAUAAUAUCUAUAUAGGAAUACUUACCGCUCCACCACAAGAGUCAUUGGUAGAAGUGCAUAGCGAAAUCGGACACAAAAAGACUGCUGUCAUUGCUAGUUCUAUUCAACUGCAGAAAUUUAGUGUGUGCAUAUAUACAUAUCAUGGUUUACAGUUCACUACGAUUUACUUUUUAAAAUAAAACAAAACAUAAUAUUAAAAGAAACAAUUAAACAAAAGACUAUCUAGAAAAAUCUCAUAGUCUAACUGUUAAGAUUUGUUUUUCUCUCCAACAGAUUGGUAUCAGACUUGAGGGACCUGUGAGAAGAGAGUGAAUAAAAAAACACAAGUUCUUUCUAAAUAAUCAUUCUUUAAACUGUUAUCUUAAUAGUUUAUAGAAAAUAAAUUUUGAAACAAGCAUUCUACCUCCACCUGUCUUCAAUGGUAAGAAUUAUCAAGCUUGGGAAAUUAGAAUGACGGUUCAUCUUGAAGCACUGGAUCUAUGGGAAGCAGUAGAGGAGGACUAUGAAGUAACUCCUCUUGGAGAUAAUCCAACAGUGAAUCAGAUGAGACAUCACAAGGAGAGAAAGACAAGGAAAGCCAAAGCCAAAGCAUGCCUUUUCUCUGCGGUGUUUCCUUCAAUUUUUACCAGAAUUAUGCAAAUGAAGUCCGUUGUAGAAAUUUGGGAGUAUCUUGAAAAGGAAUACCAAGGAAAUGAAAGAGUGCAUAAUAUGCAAGUGAUGAAUCUGAUUCAGGAAUUUGAAAUGAAGAGAAUGGAAGAAUCAAAAACCAUAAAAGACUAUGCAGAUCAGCUACUUGACUUAGCCAACAAGGUGAGAUUGUUUGGUAAGGAUUUUAUUGAUGAAAGAAUUGUUCAAAAAAUUCUUGUCACACAUCCUGAGGAAUAUGAAGCCACAAUCUCUUCUUUAGAGAAUUCUAAAGAUCUGUCAAGCAUUACCUUGACAGAACUUGUUAAAGCUUUGCAGGCAUUGGAGCAAAGGAGAAUAAUGAGGACAGAAGGUUUUGUUGAAGGUGUUUUUCAAGCUAAAUCACAGAACGAGUCAUACGAGGAAAAGAAAAAGAACCAGAAGCAAAGGCAUGACAAUAAUUACAACAAUCAGGAAGGAAGUAAUCCACCCUGCCCUCAUCGCAAAAAGACAAAUUACUCUUAACAGAAAUAUUGGCAGAGACCGGAUGUCAAGUGUAACAAAUAUGGUCAACUAGGCCAUAUGGAGAGGGUAUGCAAGUCACAAACGCAACAAGAGGAAGCCAAGGCUGCUAUAAAUCAAUAUGAAGAAAAGCAAUUGUUUGUAGCAACUUGUUUUACUAGCAAAAGCACUUCUAAAAAUUGGUUGAUUGAUAGCGGAUGCACAAAUCAUGUGACCAGUGAUCAAGAGAUCUUUAAAGAGCUAGAUAGAUCUGUUAAUUCUAAAGUCAAAGUUGGAAAUGAAGAAUAUUUUAACGCAAAAGGCAAAGGAACAAUUGCAAUUCAAAGCCCUACAGGUUUGAAACUUACAACUAAUGUUUUCUUUGUUCCUGAUCUUGAUCAAAACCUCUUAAGUGUUGGAGAGCUAAAAAUGGUUUCAAAGUGUUGUUUGAAGAAAAAAUAUGUGUCAUCAAGAAUUCUGAUAAUAUGGAGAUGUUCAAUGUCAAGAUGAUAGGAAGGAGUUUUUCCUUGAAUCUAUUGGACGAGGAGCAAGCAACAAUUGUCAGGUUGGAAAAUGAUUCCAAGUUAUGCCACAAAAGACUCGAACAUUAUCAUCAUGAAGCCAUACUCUUCAUGAAAAAAAAUCAACUUACAGAAGGUCUCUCGAGCAUUGAGAAAAUCUGUUUGCUUGUGAAGCUUGUCGGUAUGGGAAGCAAACAAAGCUUUCUUUUCAAAAUUCAUCAUGGAGGCCAAAGAAUAAGCUGCAAUUUGUUCACACGGACAUAGGAGGACCUCAGAAAACAUCAUCUUUAAAGGGUACUUUUGUGGAAAAUUAGAGUGGUUGCAGAAUUCAGGUGAUAAGAACAGAUAAUGAAACUGAAUAUACUUUGGAAAACUUCAACAACUUUUAUAAUGAAGCUGCAAUUUUAAUUGCAAAUAAUCCUGUUUCUCAUGGAAAGGCAAAAUAUUUCAAGAUCAAGAUUUAUUUCUUGAGGAAGGUGCAAAAGAAUGGAGACAUAAACAUGGUGCAAUGCAAAACUGAUUUUCAGAAUACUGACAUUUUAACUAAGUCUCUAUCUAGAGCAAGAUUCAAGUUUCUUAUAGAAAGACUUGGUGUUACAGAUCUUGAGUCAAGGAGGAAAUGUUAAGAUUAGUGCCUUAAAAGCUGCAGAUUAGUUGUACCAGCUGCUGUAAAUACAUUUUUAAAGUAGGAUUUAAAUUUAUUAUAUGAGGCUGCAAUAAUGCAGAAUCAUCUUUAUUACCUGUGCUUAUCUUUAGGUCAUAAUUAUUAGAAAUAAUGGUAGCUUAUUUUACUCCUUUUAUUGAGUUUUUUCAAUUAUGUUCUUAUGUAUAAAUGUGGCAGUGGUCAAUGAAACUUUAUCAUGCUUUCUGCUCUUUUUUUUUCUUUGUUACGAUUUGUUUUUCUCUCCAACACUAACACUCCUCCUUGAGAUUUUUCUUGGAUACUCCCAGCAUAGCCCUUAGAACUUUAAAUUUCCCUUUAGGAAGAGCCUUGGUCAAAAUAUCUGCAAUCUGCUGAUCGGAGCUGCAAUGAACAAGAUUAACUUUGUCAUCCUUCUUUGCUUGCCUGAUAGCGUGAAACUUCACAUUUAUAUGCUUGCUAUGACCAUGUUGCACAGGAUUUUUGGCCAUAGAAAUUGCUGACUUGUUGUCAACCUUAAUGACAAUAGCUUCAAUUUGAUUUUGCUCUAGAUCACGUAGAAUUUUUCGUAACCAUAGAGCCUGAUUAGUUGCACCAGCAACAACGAUGUAUUCUGCUCCUGUAGAUGAUUGAGAUACCACAUCUUGCUUCUUUGAAUUCCAUGAGAACAUGCCUGAACCAAGUGUAAAAGCAUAUCCAGAAGUGUUUUUCAUAUCAUCAACACUUCCUGCCCAAUUACUGUCUGAAUAAUCCAUCAAUUGCCCUUGCUCUUCCCUUUUAAACCAAAUACCAUAUUUAACAGUUCCCUUGAUAUACCUCGAUGUUCGUUUAGCGAUACGAACAUGAACUUGACUUAGAGAAUGCAUAAACCUCGACAAAAGACUUACCGCGAAUAUGAGAUCAGGCUUUGUUGCUGUCAAAUAUAGCAAACUACCAAUUAGACUUCGGUAGACUGUUGGAUUAGCCCUAUCACCUCCUUCAGACUUCGAGAUCUUUUCAUAGUGAACUAAUGGAGUCGAUACAGGCUUACACUUCUCUAUCUUGAAUUUUUUAAGAACAUCCCAUGCAUAUUUUCUUUGAGAAAUGAAGAUUCCAUCAGUAGUAUUAAGGCAUGUGGAGUUUUGAUGAUAGACAUGUGAAUGAAACAUGUUGUGAAAACUGGUCCAUUCAAGUAUACAAAGAAAAGCUGCAGGCAAGGAUUGUUGAUAAUAUGAUACUGUGCAUAGACAAUAGUGGAUAAGUAAAAAUAUUCAGGAACCUUCUCAAACACUUAUCACUUCAGUAAAGUGAAAGAAAAUGCAAUAUUUAGAAGUUGAGUUGAUCUAGAAGUCCAACAGUGAUAAGAGUUCUGCAAGGAUAAAGGAUAAAUCAAAAGAGUCCUAUUCAACCAGGGGAGGAGAAAUGACUACAAUAAGGAGUGAAGUUACUUGAUAGAAUAAAGAAGAAAGAAGCAGAAAUAAAGAAGGACUCGAUUACAGGAGAAAUUAUUAGGGUGCAUAUAUACAACAAAGCAUGAUCAAGUAACUUACUCAAUGCAUAGAAAAGAAAAUCAACAAUCAGCAUAAUAGUUCACAUACUUGAAGAAGAACCUGUUUCCUUACUUAGAAAGUCGUAGAUUGUGUAGUAGGUAGGUUCCUUGAGUUAUAAUGAGUCAUUGUUCUAGUCUCAGUGAUCUAUAAACUGAGUUAGAAAUUGUGUCUUCAAGUUGGGAACUCGAAGACUUGGGAACACUUAUCUUGGGAAGAUUUGUGUUUCUGUAAGAUAGGAGUUAGAAGUUUUAAUUUCUAGUUAACAAGAAGUCUUGUAUUUCUGUUGAUUGUUGAGGCUCAAGUAUCAUAGUGAAGUUAGGGUUAAAUCCUGUAGAGGUACAGGUCGUAGUUUUUUACACCUUUCUUGAGCCGGGUGUUUUCAAUGUAAAAACACUAUGUUCAGUAUUUACUUCUGUGAACCACAUUUACUUACUUAUUCCACAAAUAGUCAAAUUAGUAGGGCUCAUAUUCUAACAAGUGGUAUCAGAGCAAGUUUUUCUUAAAUAAGGCAAAUACCUAAGAAAAGAUCAAUAUGGUGAAUUCCGCACCUCCUAUUAGUCACAGUGAGGGUCAGUCAACUACUAGACCUCUAUUUUUUGAUGACUCUUAUUUUAUCUGGUGGAAAGCAAAAUGGUGGAAAGCAAGAAUGGAGAUGUUCAUUCAAGGUGAAGAUUAUGAAUUAUGGGAAAGGAUUAUAGAUGGUCCCACUAUUCCAAUGAAGGCAGUUGAUAGUGAACAAGUUAAGAAAGUUAGGAGUGAAUUUACUCCAGAUGACUUGUUGGCUUUGAAGAAAAAUGCAAAGGCCAAGAAUAUCUUGGUUUGCGGACUAGGACCUGCUGAAUACAACAGGGUAUCCACUUGCACUACUGCCAAGCAAAUUUUGGAUGCACUAGUAAAUGCUCAUGAAGGCACUUCUCAAGUAAGAAAGUUCAAGAUCUCUCUCUUUUUCACUGAGUAUGAGGCAUUCAAAAUGAAGAAAAAUAAAACCUUGCACAAAAUGAUGACUAGGUUUACCACUUUAACAAAUGAGAUGACUUCCUUAGGAAAAGUCAUCUCUGAGGAAGAACAAGUUGAGAAGGUACUGAGGGUAUUACCAAAAUCAAAAUAGAAUAUCAAGGUGACUGCAAUCAGAGAGGAGAAUAAGGAUCUUAAAGGUAUGACUCUAGAUGAACUAGUAGGGAACUUAAGGAAUUAUGAAAUGAAAAUUGAUGGAGUCAAAGAACGAGCAUUACCUGAGAAAAUCUUAGCAUUGAAGGCUUCUGAGAGUGAUGAUGAAUUUGAACUUGAUUAGGAGAAAGUUGCCUUCAUAACUAAGAACUUCAGCAAAUUCUUCAAAAAAAAAAGGGAACAGGUAUUAAGAAAUGUUCCAAUGACAAUCCAAAUGGGUUCUAAAAAUGUAUCAAAACUGAUCAUCAGAUUAAGGACUGUCCAGACUGGGAAAUUGAAUGGAAAAAGAAAAGGGCUGAAAAGGAACUGAAGGCAAAAAGGAAAGAGGAGCAUGCAAUGAUAACAGCCUGGGAAUCUGAUCUAGAUGAAGAUGAAGUUGAUGAAACAACAUUCAUGGAUCUUGGGGAUUCAGAUCUAGAUUAAAAAGAUGAGGACUCUGAGAUAAGUAUACUCGAACUCAAAGAAAAGCUGAAAUUGUUCUCUAAGCCAAAACUUAUUUCUUUGAUGAAUGCAUUGAUUGAUGAUUUCCAAGAGUUAACCUCUGAUAAAGAUAAAUAGUUCAAUAGUUUGGCAAGUCUUAAAUUUGAUCUCAUUAAAUUAAGGGCUUGCUCAAAUACAGUUGACAAGGAAAGUUGCAUACUCAAGAAACAGGUUGCAGAACAUGAGAUUUCAAAUAAUAAUCUCAGGUCUGAAGUUCUCAAAUUAACUCUCACUGAAAAUAGAAAGAAGACCAUGAGUAAAGAACAGGAAACUGUUGAACUUGAGCUUGUUAAAUACAUACAAGAAUGUCAUGAUUUAACUGAAAAAAUAAAUGAGUUGAAUCAGGAAAUAUCUAAACUUAAAUUGGAUCUUGAAAGGGCUAACAGCUGGACAAACUCCUCUAGAAUUGUUCACAAAUUUAGUGAGAAAAAUUUCAAUGAAAAGGCAGGUUUCGGAUUCCACAAAAGUGUUGAUGAUCUAAAAGAUUUAUGUUUCCUUUGUGGAAACCUUGGACAUCCCACCACUGAAUGUCCAUGUAGCUGCAAAAAGCAGAUUAGCCAGUCAAAGCCUGGCUAACAGAUCUUCUCAGACCAAAAGAAACAAAACCAGUUCUGGUUAGAGAAACAGGUUGCACUACAUGUUGCCAGCAUGGACUAAGAGAAAUUUAAUUCAUCCUUUCACUCAUAAAUCAGGACCCAAGUUUGUUUGGGUUCCUAAGGCUAAUCUUUGAAUUCUUUUAUAGGAGAAGACGAAAGUAAACAAAAGGCAUUGGUACUUAGACAGUGCUUGCUCAAGACACAUGAUUGGUGAUAAGAAAAAGUUCUUUUCACUCUCUAAAAUAAAUGGAGGAGGAGUCUCUUUUGGUGAUGGAAAAAAGGAAUCAUAACUGGAAUUGGAAAGACUGGCUCAUUUGAGUCAAAGGCAUUGGAGUAUGUCUAUCUUGUAGAAGGAUUAAAGCAUAAUCUGCUAAGCAUCUCUCUGCUGUGUGAUAAAGGUAAUAAAGUUACUUUUACUGCUGUAGAAGUCAAGGUUAAAAAGAUGGAUACUAAGGAGGUUGUGCUCACUACAAGGAGAUACAAAAAUGUAUACAAAGCUGACAUCAUGACACUACCAGAACCAGAGCUGACUUGUCUGAGUGCUAUAGAAAAUGAUUCCCUCCUUUGGCAUAGAAAACUUGGUCAUGCAAGUCUGAAAUAACUAAACAUACUUUCAUCCGUAGACAUGGUAUUGGGAUUACCCAAGACCAAGUUCAAGGAAUAAAAACUAUGUAGUGCAUGUGUAAGGGGGAAGCAGGUAAGAUCCUCUUUUAAGUCAAAGAACCAUGUUAGUACUACCAAGUGCCUUGACCUGGUUCAUAUAGACUUAUGUGGACCCAUAAGACUUCAAAGCAGAGGUGGAAAAAGGUAUGUGUUUGUAAUUAUUGAUGACUAUUCCAGGUUUACUUGGACUUUGUUUCUAGCCUCUAAAGAAGAUGCCUUUGAAAUCUUUGAAAUCUUCAUUGAGACAAUUGAAAAGAAACUGGGUACUUCUUUAGUUUCCAUAAGGUCUGACCAUGGUUCAGAAUUUGAAAAUGUAAAAUUCUUGAAAUACUGUUCAACAAAUGGUAUAGAUCACAACUUUUCAGCUCCUAGAACACCACAACAAAAUGGAGUGGUGGAAAGGAAAAAUAGAACCUUGGAAGACAUGGCUAGAACAAUGAUGCUUGCAACAAAUGUUGCUAAAAACCUUUAGGCUGAGGCAAUAAGUACUGCAGCAUAUAUCAUAAAUAGAUACAUAUCAGGCCUUUGUUAGAAAAGACUCCCUAUGAAUUACUAAAAGGAAGAAAGCCUAACAUCUCUCACCUUAGAAUCUUUGGUUGUAAAUAUUUCAUACAUAAUAAUGGAAAUGAUAAUUUGGGUAAAUUUGAUGCUAAAAGUGAUGAGGGAAUCUUCUUAGGAUAUUCACUUCAUAGUAAGGCUUAUAGGGUUUUAAAUAACAGAACUAACUGUGUUGAAGAAAGCAUGCAUGUAAUCUUUGAUAAAUGUUGUGUUAAGACUAACCUGCAGGAAGGUAGUGACACGGAGGAACAGGUUAUGCAACCCAUUGCAUCAACAAGAGCCACAAAAAAUGGAGAUAUUUUGAUAGGGGGAACUGAAGAUGAGGGUACAGUGAUAGGGGGAACUGAGCAUACCCCUGCUCAGAACAUCAACAAUGAUCCUGGUAGCUUAUUAAACUUGAUUCCAAAAGGAUAUAAGUAUCAAGGAUCACAUCCCAUUGAGAAUGUUCUUACUGAUCUCACAUCUGGGAUCACUACAAGGUCUGGAUUGAGAAAUAUGUGUGCCUUCAAGGCAUUCCUGUCAGAGAUUGAGCCAAAUAAAAUAACUAAAGCAUUGCUUGAUGUUGAUUGGAUCAUAGCCAUGCAAGAAGAGUUGAAUCAGUUUGAGAGAAGCAAAGUACGGCACUUAGUUCCUCUUACUAAAGACAGAUCAGUUAUUGGGACUAAAUGGGUGUAUAGAAAUAAAGUUGAUGAGUAUGGAACAGUCACAAGAAACAAGGCAAAAUUGGUGGUUCAAGGAUACAAUCAAGAAGAAGGAAUUGACUUUGAUGAGACUUUUGCUCCUGUCCCAAGACUUGAAGCUAUAAGAUUACUUAUUGCCUUUGCUACAUACAUGGAGUUUAUCCUUUAUCAGAUGGAUGUGAAGAGUGCCUUCCUAAAUGGAAUUCUCAAGGAGGAGGUGUAUGUUAAAUAACCUCCAGGAUUUGAAAGCAAGGAGUUUCCAGAUCAUGUGUACAAAUUGGACAAAGCUUUAUAUGGAUUGAAACAAGCUCCAAGAACUUGGUAUGAGAGACUGUCAAAGUUUUUAUUGGAUCAUGGACAUACCAGAGGUAAAAUUGAUAAUACCCUCUUUUUGAAAACUAAUGGGAUGGAUUUGUUAGUUGUGCAGGUGUAUGUGGAUGAAAUUAUUUUUGGCUCAACAAAUAUGAAUCUGACUCAUAAGUUUGCUAAAAUUAUGAGUUGUGAAUUCGAGAUGAGCAUGAUGGGAGAGCUGAAUUACUUCUUGGGAUUACAAAUAAAACAGUCAGCUUCAGGAACAAUGAUUCACCAACAGAAGUAUGUCAAAGAGCUUCUCAAGAGAUUCUCCAUGGAAGAAACAAAAAAGAUAAAUACUCCUAUUGUAACUGCCACAAAGUUGGAGUUGGUUGAAACAGGUUCAGAUGUAGAGCAAAAGAUGUAUAGAGGUAUGAUUGGGCCAUUAUUGUACCUCACAGCAAGCAGGCCUGACAUUGUGUUCAGUGUAGGACUAUGUGCCAGGUUUCAAGCAAAACCCAAAGAAUCACAUUUAAAAUCUGUGAAAAGAAUCUUUAGAUACUUGAAGGGAACCAGUGAUCUUAGCUUAUGGUACCCCAAAGGUAGUAACUUUAAUUUGGUGGGUUACUCAGAUGCUGAUUAUGCAGGAUAUUUGGUGGAUAGGAAAAGCACUCCUGGAAUGGCUCACUUCCUUGGAUCAUGUUUGAUUACCUGGCCAACUAAGAAGCAAAAUUCAGUUGCCUUAUCUACUGCUGAAGCUGAAUAUCUUGUUGCAGGUUCCUAUUGUGCUCAAUUGCUAUGGAUUAAGCAACAACUCCUAGAUUUUGGUAUAGAUGUUGGUUGUGUUCCUAUUUUUUGUGAUAAUACGAGCACUUUUAACGUAGCUAAAAAUCUUGUUCAACACAAGAGAACCAAACAUAUUGAUAUUAGCCAUCACUUUCUUAGAGAUAAUAUUGAAAAAGGUCAUAUAUCCAUUAUGUUUUGUUCUAUUGAGGAAUAGAUUGCUGAUAUUUUUACUAAGGCAUUGAGUAGAGAACACUUCGAAAAAAUUAGGUUAGCCUUGGUGAUGAUUAAAAUUGCAUAAGUCUCCCUCAAUGCUUGACUAGAAUAAGUUGACUUUACAUGUGAUUAUUGAUUAAUUCAGUCUCACGCAUUAAGUUGUGUAUCCUAAGUCCAAGAUUUUAGAAUGUGUUGACUCAUGUAUGUGUUGAUCUUGCAGGAAGCUUGGAUUACAGAAGCAAUUUUGUCUAUUUUGUCAUUCAGGUAUGAUUACUAGUACUUCAAAGUAACCUCGAGAAAAACAAGUUGCUUUCCUGGUACCUCCUGAUCCAUUUAAACCACCAAAAUACAAAGAGUCCCUCCUUUUUUCAAAAAGCUGCCACUCUUNNNNNNNNNNNNNNNNNNNNNNNNNNNNNNNNNNNNNNNNNNNNNNNNNNNNNNNNNNNNNNNNNCUAAAACACUCAUUACUAUCCCUCUACCACAUACAGUCCCUCACCCUUUCAACUUCCUUACCUUCUCCUCUUAAAUACACCUUCUUUUGUUUUGAUUCUACACUCAUACUUCUCUCCAACCUUCUCAUACUCAAGAACACCUUCCCGUUUCAAAUAUGACAUCCCUCUCUUCAUCUUCACCCUCUUCUUCUUCCUCCACUGACUCUGUUGAAAAUUCCCUCACCGCACUUAUCCUUCAUCCAAACAUUACCUUACCGCCCUUAAUUCCUUCUCCAAUCUCCCAGAAAUUCACAGAUUUCUCUACCUUCACAAAUUUCCCAAACCCUUUUUCCCAAAUUCUCUCAUCUACUUCUUCCUUCUCGAUACCCCUUCUUCCUCCUCCUAUCCCGCUCAGAAUUGUUAAUGAGGAUGAUUUUCUUAAUGAUAGGGACGAUCUUCCUAUUGCAUACUUAAUCCCAAGAAGGUUUAGAUCUUAGGUCAAGAAAAAACCCUCUGUCCCAGCUAAAGACACUGUUAGUUCACCGUCCCCUCCCAUUAUCUCUACUUCUCGAACCCCUCAUACUAGAGGAAAGAAACAACGUGAAGAUGCUAAAUUGUCUGAAGCUCUUAGAGCUAACAAGAGAAAACAUGUAGUAAUUUAUGAUACCACUCCUCCUCCUGUCUCUUCUCCUACAUCUUCUCCUGAUCUUCUUCUUCGAUCAGUCANNNNNNNNNNNNNNNNNNNNNNNNNNNNNNNNNNNNNNNNNNNNNNNNNNNNNNNNNNNNNNNNNNNNNNNNNNNNNNNNNNNNNNNNNNNNNNNNNNNNNNNNNNNNNNNNNNNNNNNNNNNNNNNNNNNNNNNNNNNNNNNNNNNNNNNNNNNNNNNNNNNNNNNNNNNNNNNNNNNNNNNNNNNNNNNNNNNCCUUUUUUAAAAACCCCUGCCACUCGUUCCCAUCAGGACUAAAACACUCAUUACUAUCCCUCUACCACAUACAGUCCCUCACCCUUUCAACUUCCUUACCUUCUCCUCUUAAAUACACCUUCUUUUGUUUUGAUUCUACACUCAUACUUCUCUCCAACCUUCUCAUACUCAAGAACACCUUCCCGUUUCAAAUAUGACAUCCCUCUCUUCAUCUUCACCCUCUUCUUCUUCCUCCACUGACUCUGUUGAAAAUUCCCUCACCGCACUUAUCCUUCAUCCAAACAUUACCUUACCGCCCUUAAUUCCUUCUCCAAUCUCCCAGAAAUUCACAGAUUUCUCUACCUUCACAAAUUUCCCAAACCCUUUUUCCCAAAUUCUCUCAUCUACUUCUUCCUUCUCGAUACCCCUUCUUCCUCCUCCUAUCCCGCUCAGAAUUGUUAAUGAGGAUGAUUUUCUUAAUGAUAGGGACGAUCUUCCUAUUGCAUACUUAAUCCCAAGAAGGUUUAGAUCUUAGGUCAAGAAAAAACCCUCUGUCCCAGCUAAAGACACUGUUAGUUCACCGUCCCCUCCCAUUAUCUCUACUUCUCGAACCCCUCAUACUAGAGGAAAGAAACAACGUGAAGAUGCUAAAUUGUCUGAAGCUCUUAGAGCUAACAAGAGAAAACAUGUAGUAAUUUAUGAUACCACUCCUCCUCCUGUCUCUUCUCCUACAUCUUCUCCUGAUCUUCUUCUUCGAUCAGUCAUGAAACCUAAUGCUGUCAGAGCAAAAUCUUCCAAAUCUUCUGUGUCUACGCCUGCUUCAAAGGCUUCCUCCUCUUCAAAAACCUCCCCCACUUUCAAAGCUUUUCCAUCCAAAGUUUCCCCCAGUUCUUCUACUCGUUCAAAGAAACAGUUCAGCAAACCUGUUUUUUCUGACUCAUCUGACUCUGACUUCAACCUGUUUCUAGACAAAUAUAGAUGAUAUUAAUUAAUUAAUUAAGUUGUGGAAUUAUUGGUAUAAUCCGUGAUUAGUCAUGCAAUCAUGAUGAUAAUUAAUCCUAGGAUAUUGAAAAACAUAAUAUUCCUUAGAAGAAGAAAAAACAAUUAAUAAUAUCCAUAUAACUCCCUGAUAAGAUGCCAAAUGGAUUAGCAUUUAUUUACUUUUCUCUUUUUCUUUUAUUUAAAAUAUACAUAAAAAGAGAGAUUGGAAAGAUCAUAUAUAUAUAUACUUUUAUAAGACAUUUUUAACUAGUGAGUUUAUCAUAUGUUCGGGAUUCUGCCUUUUGAAGACAAAAGAGAGGUUAUUUCAAUAGAUUAUCGACUCAAGUAAAGUAUUUUAAAGCAAGUUUAGAAAGAAAGUAUAAUGCAUAAUAGUGCAGAAGUAAAUUGUGUAGGAAGAAUAGUAACAAUAACAAAUAAUACGAUAAUAGAAGUAAAAUAUAUAUAUAUAUAUAGAAUAACAAGCAGAGAAUUAGAUAAUAGGAGAUCAGUAAUAGUAGUAAUAUUGAGAAAAAAAAUUAGACAACACUUGAUUACCUACGUCACGAUCCAAGCCCUAAUCGUGACGGACAUUCCGAACCAACGAAAGCCCGAGAAGGCCCCUUAUCGCAUCAUCAUAAGCAUAGUCAUAAUAAAGUAUUGCAGAACUUUUGGCUCAUAAAAUAUGAAACUCAAUUGAAAUAAUAAACCAAAAUCCAAGUCUUGUAAUACGACAUGAAAACAUUUACCCAACUCAAUCUACGAAGCUUCUAACUUUAAGAAUAAAACCCCUAGGUCGGGACAUAGCCCCGACUAUAUCAUAAAGCAAAAGAAAGACGAAAAUGUGGAUGAAAAGAUCAAAAGUCUUCCGAAGAAUGGAGGUGGACACCCAAACAUACAGGGUGAUACAAUCUAUCAAACUUCUACUUUAAUCCUCGAUAUAUAUAUCAUUUUAUCUAAAAUCAUAUUCUCGGUAAACUACAAAUAUAUCAUAUUCUCUCUAAUCUUCGACACGUAAAAAAAUAAUUUCUCUAAUGGUGAAUUAAUUAAUUUAUUUUAAUUAGUUUGGAUUAAUGGAUUACUAACUAGCAAAGGAAGCUAAGAAGGAAUCUAAUUCUUUUUUUUAAACCAACAUUCUUUUUUUUUUUAAACCAACCGACCGUGUAUCUUUUGCUCUUUUCUUUUUUAUUUAAUUGAGCAAAUAAAUUAAUGUUACUAAUUGUCACCAUCUCCACAUGAUUAGUCUUAAUUUUAACAUAUAAAUAGUUGAUUUAGGCUUCCUAAUCACAACAAUGUGAUAAGAAUAAAGUAAUUAUAGGUUUAAUUAGUUGUCAUAGCUAGUCAAUAUUACUGUAUUUUAGUCAAAUUAAAUUAAACAAAGACCCAUGCAUGGAAUAUUUAAUAAUUUGCACCGAAAGUAUAUAUGUAUACAUAAUUCCAAUUUGCAAAAGAGAAUAAAUUCUAUGUCAUUGUUGUAACUUCAUUUUGAAUUGAAUAGUAAAAAUUAACAUAAAAGUUAUUUCAUUCUGUUACAAUUUAUGUGACACUGUUUUUUCAUAAUUUGUUAAAAAAAAUAUCACAUUUAUAAAUUUAGAGCAUUCAUCUGAUACCUCUAAUGCGAUUAUUUACAGCGAAAAAAUUAUUUAAGAUCAACUUGUUUUAGAUUAUAAAUUUUCACAAUCUUCCGUUCUUCUUUAAAUAUCACGUAUUACUAAGAACGAGAAAUUCCAAUGGUUCUUGUCGUUAGAAAUAUGAGAUUUCCAUCAAAAAGUACUUCGUCGGAAGUGUUCUCGAUAAGGCAAAUUUUCUCGACAAUAGUAUUUGUUUGAUAGUGGUGUCUAGUCAAACGAUAUCACAUCAAUUGAAACAUAAAAAAUAUUUUAAUUUGCAAAAAUGUCAUUGUGGUAGGAUGACAAGUACCCCGUUAUAUUUAAUCAGAAAUCUCUAGUUCGAGUUAUGGGAUUAGAGUCACAAUUAAGUGCUUAUCUUUAGUGGCGAAGCCAAAAUUUUCACUAACGGGUUUCAAAAACUGAAAAGUAAACAUACAAACUAGCUGAAGGUGGUUCAACAUCUUCUAUAUAUACAAUAACAAUAACAACAUACCCAGUAUGUUCCCACAAAGUGGGGUCUGGCCGGGGGGGGGAAAAAAAGGGGAGGGUAAAGCUAAGUGUACGUAAUCUAUACCACUAGCUACCUCAUAUGAAGUAGAGAGGUUAUUUCCAGUAGAACCUCGGCUCAGGACAGAUAACAGUAUAACAAACAAAAAAAUAUAAAAGCAAACAAAAAAAAGAGAUAUCACACCGCGCUAGAUAGAUAAUAAAGGUAACAAGACACCAACAAAGUAAUACUAUAAACCAGCUAUUCAAAAAUCAUAGUAUUACCCCAUGACCUAAAGGUGGCUCCGCCCCUGCUUACUCCUUAAACAGAAAUUUUCCAAUCCGAAUCUAGAUUUUAUCGAGUCCAAAAGAAAAUAUCGAACAACAUAGGUGACAAAAAGAAAAUGUUGGAAAGGAAAGAAUUAUUUGACAUUAUCUUUUUUAAAGUUUGCUCCUUUUUCUUAUUAUUUAGUUAAAUGAUGCCUAUAAAUAGGAGUCCUAUCCAUUAAUUCUCACAAUAAACACAACCAACAAGUCAUUCCUUUCUACAAGUAAACAAAAUACCAAAAUUUUUACACACAACAAAUAUUAGAAAUUAACCAAAUCUUAAAUCAAAUGGCAACAAACAAAAAAGACAUAUCAAAGAUAGGCCAAGAAGCCUUUGCUCAUCUUGAUGAACAAGAAUUCUAUGCAACAAAGGGAAAAAUUAGGCCUCAAAUUCCUUCUUCUUGUUCUUCUAAUGUUGUUGUUACAACAACAAAUAAAAACUACUUUUCUAAUUAUAAUCAAUAUCAACCACAAAAAUCUCAUGUUGUUCAAUUCAAACCAAGUGAAGAGAGAGUUAUGAAUAGUUAUGAAGCUAUGAAGUUACAUGGAGGGGUUCUUAUUUGUGAUUAUUACAAUAGAAAACCAAAACCUAUGGCUUAUUAUUAUUAAGCAGAAGCGAGUUAGGGAUGUAAAGUCAGUGAGUUCAGACUAAUGUGUGUGAUCAUAUAUUACCGAUAUGUACACAAAAUGUUUAGUAUGUAGUAGGUCCAACUGAAUCUGCAGAACCCGCUCCAGAGCUGCGUGUUGCUUUCUUUUAGUUUGUCAACCCAUCUUUUGUAUAUGUAUAGUCGAUAAGCUAUUUGUACGAGUAUAAUUAUGGUCUAGUAUAUGAGUGAUGUGAUAUACUUCACUUUUAAAUGCUAAACUUUGUUCUUCUAUAUAUCGUUUUUUUUUUCCUUUUUUCACUUUUUUGCGCGAAUCCAAAAUUUUUACAACAUGGCCGGUACGCACUACUAAUAAAAGAAAAAAUAAUGUAUUAAGUGAAAAUUGAUCCUUGUUUCUCAAGAAGUCAAGGUAAGUAACACAACUUUUCAAUCAAAAUGCACCACUAAGCCGUUUGUAGGGCGCUAGCAAAUAAUAUAUGUACCUACAUAAAUAGUUAAAAAGAACAGUCCGGUACAGUAAAACUUUUUAUAUGCAUAGUGUCGCACCCCUUUUUCGUCGAAGGGUCUCGAAGUCGAAGGGUUUUUUCAAUUAAAGUGACGAUAGUGAAUAGAGAUUAUUUUAUUUACAGAGUCGCCUCUUGGAAUUGAGUUGUCGUGUUCCAAGUCACCUUAUUGAAUCCUUAAUCAAAAGGAAAUUAAAUGACUCUUUAUUUUGGUCUGCGAAAAUAGAAGACUGGGUAAGGAAUUAUGUUGACUGAGAGGAAGGUGUGAGGCACCUCUCGAGUCCCGUGGUUCUAACAAGGUCGCUUUUUCGACUUAUACAUAACUUAAACUAUUUGAUAAAUUAUGUUUGAAGGCCUUGAUUCACUCAUUUUUACUAUACCAAAAAUAUCUGUCUAUACCUCUUGGAUUAAUCUUAAGGAAAUUAAUUUUAGGACUAUCAUUAACGAGGUACAAUAUCGCAUCCUCGAAUUAUUUUAAAACGUCUCGAAAAAAUGCGUAUGCCGCAUUUUUAGUCGAGAUAAAUAUAUUAGACAUGCCUAAAGCUUAUCUAGCGUUAAAAGGCAUUCGUUCGUCUUUUAUAAAUUCGAAACAAUUUUACAUUAUCUAUUUUUAAUUCUUUUUCUCUCUUUAUUUUGCAAAGAAUUUUGAAUUAUUCUGCAACUCAUUUCGCUCCCUUACAAAUAGGUUUUCCUCUCUUUUCAGUUUAUCAAUUAUGAUUUAUAUAUUUUUGAAUCUUUUUAAGCGAAAAGGAUUAAUCUUACUCUUGCGAACAAAUUAUUAAUAUAUAAACUUAACAAAACUACUUAAAAGCCAAAUUAACAUAAUCCAUAACAAAGUUAAUUAAUCAAACUACUUUUAACAAAAUUAUGACAAUGAAGUUAACAAGAAAAGAAAAGAAAUAAAAAACCUAACAAAUGUAAAAAUGUUAUUCACUUUUUUUCCUAUUUUUUCUUUAUCUUUUUUUUUUUUUCACGUUUUCUCUAAGCUGUUUUUUUUUUGUUUGAAUUUUUCCCCCCCCCCCCCCCCCCCCUUUUAUUUUUUUUCAUUUGUGUCAUUUGUCCACUUUUUUUUUUUCUUUUUGGUUUUCUCUAUUUUAUUUCUAAAUUUGUAUGUUCAUGGGAACGUUUAGUAUGCAUGCGCCUAUCUAUUUUAACCCCUUUUUAAUUACACUAUAAAACUUUCAUAAUCCAUUAAAAAAUUAAAAAUGACAAAAUAAUAUAUUGACAUUUAAAAAAAAAAGCGUUACAUUUUUUUAUCAUCCAAGAACUUUAAUAUUUAUAAUUAACGAAAUGAAUCACGAAGAACAAUAAGCAAACAAGUCACAACAUAAUAAUUGACAAUCACUGGAAAACUAAUUAAGAUUACAUUUUUUCUUUGAUUUCAAUACAAUAAAUAAAUUACAAAUAAAAACAUAAAAAAAAAAAAAAACUUUACAUAAAUAUUAAACUUUACAUCUUAAAUUAUGAAAUUAUUAAAAUAACUUUGAUCAUUAUGUAAUUCAUAAUAAAACUUACAAAAUAAAUAGAAAGGAUCUCAAGUAGAACCUGUGUAAUAAGUUAACUAAAGAUAAAAAAUCAAAAUGUCAUUACCGAAAAACUUGAACGGAAACCCAAACUGAAAGAACUCACCUUUUUUUUCUGUUGUUUUUCUCUAAAUUUUCUAACCUUUGCUUCACAUGUUCUUCUACUGCUUUUUUUUAAAAUGUUUUUAUUUUUGCUUCUAAAUCUUUUUACCCGUUUAGCCAUGAAUAUGUUUUCUUUUUUUCCAAAAAUAUUUUUCGGAGUUGGAAAUGAUGACGUUUGGCCAUGAAAAUUUGGAAAAUAAUUCUGGAAUUAAAUUUCGAAAAUGGAAAACAACUUUUUGUUGUUUUCCCUUUUCUCCACUCCAAUUCCAACUUCCAUUAUUAUUACAUAUAACCUUAAUCUUUAAAUUUUUACACAAACCCCUCUUAUUAACUAAAUUACAUAUUUUUUUAAAAGAGCAAAUUCAAUAAAAUAAUUAAUUCAAGUGAAAAUAAUUAAAAUAUUUCAUCAACAAAUUUAAGAAUAUAUAAAAUAUAUUUAUAUCUAUCAAUCAUAUUUAUCAAAAUAUAUUUUUUCUCUAUUCAAUCGAUAUUGGUUAGAUAAACUUAUUUAGCUCGUGCUUGUGAUAUUUUUAUUCAAAUUAUAGCAGAAUAACAAUCAUAAUAAUUAGUUUGUUGUUAAUUAUUUUAUCAAUUGAAGACAUGUAUAAAUUAUUUUCUCAACAUUUGGUUGUAUAUUAGUAGGUAAAUUAGUAGUUGGGUGAUUUUGAUAAUUUUUAAAAGUUGAGAGCAUAAAAUCAUAUUUAAAAAAGAUUUUUCAAAAGUCUAAAAAAAAAUUUCAAAAAGACAUGGCCAAACACAACUCCAACUCCAACUUCAUCUUCAACUCCAACUCCAACUCUGAAAAAAAUAAUUUUCAUAGCCAAACGGCUACUUAAUCUUCUCUUCUUUUCACUUUCUCUCCCUCACUAUUUUCUUUGUUUUUUCCUUCUUCCCCCCUUUGUCCGUGUGUGUGCGUGUUGUGUUAUUUUCUUAUUUUUUUUUUGGUGAAGAGGAGUUUCUAUUAAAAGACUAAAGGUUCGCUGCAAGAUAGCCUCAUCAGUCCGGCUCAAAAAUAACAAGAUCAGCACUGUAGUUUGUGCUAUUAACUUUUACAGAUAUGAUAAAGCAAGUUCCUAGAAUGUCUGCCCAGACAGUUUCAAGCGCAAACACAGGAGGAACUUCCAAAAUAUGAGUGUUUCCAAAAAAUUUCCUACGUGCUCCUUCCUUUGCAAGUGCGUCUGCUUCUCGGUUUUGCUCCCUAAAAUAGUGAUGCACUGCCGGACAUCUCAUUCUUAUCAGCAUAGACCUACAAAGAUCAAUAAUAUGGUCAUAGUGCAUAUUCCCAUGUUUUAACAUGUAAAUAACCUGUUGAGAGUCAAUGUUGAUUUCAAUAGGUAGAAGAUUGUUGUCAGCGGCUCUUUUAAGGCCCUCCAACAAUACUAGAAUUUCCAUUCGAUUGUUCGUUGCAUUGGAAUAACCCUUAUGGAAGCUGAGGAUCCAAUCACUAUUGCUAUUUCUAAUUACACCACCUAUGCCACCAAUACUCGAAUUCCCCAAGCUUGAUCCAUCCGUGUUAAGCUUGUAGUAGCCUUGAGGAGGAGGGUACCAUUUAAUAGAAAUGAUGACGGGAUCAUGUUGUUGGUUCGUGUGGCAUUUUGUUAGGUGGGUGUAUUCGAUAGCAGAAGCAUAAGCGCUUUGAAAAGAAGGGGACGAGUUGCAAUUAUUAAAAGUAUUUCCAUUUUUAAAAGUCCAAAUUUCCCACAAACAGAAGGCAAAGAGGAUAUCAUGGUCAAUGUGACUAUCAAAAGUUUUGUUGCGCACCCAAUUUUUAACAGUGUCUAGCAUGUUGUUCGCAUUGAUGGCAUCUAGGUUGGGGGAGUUGCAACUCAGCUGAUUGAAGAGAUUUGCCCAAAGCUGGGAAGCUUUGGGACAAUUCCAAAAAAUAUUGGGCACAUCAUCUUGGGUGUUACUGCAAUAGUAAUAGUUGGAAGAGAUUGGGAUACCUCUCCUAGCUAGAAUGGAGUUACAGGGGAGUCUAUUAUGGUUGAGCAUCCAAAAGAAGUGUUUCAUCUUGUUUGGGACAUUUAAGCUCCAAAGCCAAGAAAAGUUCUUUUGAUUCUUGGAAGGAAGGGAUUUCGAAUUGAUGAGCCUGUAAGCACUAUUGCUCUUAAAAAGGCCAUAGAUGGUAAGACCCUAAAUUGGGUAAUCAGUGGGGCUUUUAGUGGUUUGAAAAUAGUUGGACUGGAUAGAAGUGAUGGUGUUUUGAGGAAGCUCAAAAGGAAGGGUGGAGAAGUCCCAAGUCCCAUUUCGUCAGAAUUGAGAGACAGUGACUUGGUCAAGAUUCUUGGUGAGGGGCCCUUGGAUAAUGUUGUUAAGGGCAUCAGUGUUGGGAAGCCAUUUUUUGGUCCAGAAUUUAGCUUGCUCACCCUUAUAAAUGAUCCAUAAAGAGGCUUCUCUGCAAAUUAAUUUUCCCUUAAGGAUACAUUUCUAGGUUCUGAAAUCUUUCUUUCUGAGUGGUGAAGUUGUAUUUACCUAGCAGAACCCUAGACCAAAGGGAUUGAGGGUUCUUAGUGAGUCUCCAGGAUAGACCACAGUUCAUGGUGUCAUUUUUUGUGCAAGCCUUCUGGAUUCCCAAACCACCAAAGUGUUUGAGUUAUGUAAUGACAUCCCAAUUAAUCAUGUGCAUCUUUUUCUUCGAAACAGUAGUUCCCCAAAUAAAUUCCCUUUGGAUUUUGUUAAUUUGGUGGGUAAUUUUUUGGGGUAAUUGAAUGUAUUGCAUGACAUGGGAAGGGAUGCUAUUCAGGGAGGCUCUAGUGAGAGUGGUUCUGCCAGCCUGGUUAAGAAAAUGUAUCUUCCAGCCAACUAAUUUAGCUUUCAUAUUGUCAAUGAUGAACUUAAAGUCUCCAUUAUUAGGUGCUUUUUGGAAGAUAGGAAACCCAAGGUAUUUCCCAAAGUUGUCUUUAUGGUGAAUAUUGAGGAUGGAAGUCAGGUUAUUACAAGUAUCCAUGGAACAAUUUUUGGAAAAGAGAACCUUGGAUUUGUUUCUAUUGAUUUUUUAGCCAGAAAAAGCACUAAAGGAGUCAAGGGUCUUUUUGAUGAUUUCACAAUUCUUUUGGUUGGCUUUGACAAAGAGGGUAAGGUCGUCGGCGAAGAAGAGGUGGGAGAGUUUGGUACCUUUCCUGCUGAUGGAGAUGGGGGUCCAAUUGAGAAUGUCAACCUCAUGAUUUAUUCUCCUAAAGAAUAGUUCCAUGGUGAGGAUGAAGAGGUAUGGAGAGAUUGGAUCUCCCUGUCGUAUUCCUCUGUUAGGUUGGAAGAAAAGAGUGCUGGAAUCAUUAGUAAGAAUAGAGAUAGAGAAAGUGAAAAUGUAUGACAUAAUUAGGUUGGAAAGCUUUGGAGGAAAGUUAAAGAACUGCAGGGCUUGUCUAAUGAAAGACAAUUCGAGCCGAUCGAAGGCUUUUUCCAGAUCAAUUUUGAUGAUCAUGUUGCCCAUCUUUCCUUUCAUUUUGGUGAAGUGAGUUAUGUACUCCUGGAUCAUGAUUGUAUUAUCCGAGGCUCUUCUGUUCGCUAGGAAACUAGCUUGAGUGGGGCCAAUGACAUUAGCCAAGAAAGGUUUGAUUCUGUUGGCGAUAAUCUUAGUGAUGAUUUUAUACUAGGUAUUGCAAAGAGCAAUGAGUCUGAAGCUCUGAAGAGAGACAGCAUUCUGGAACUUAGGAAUCAGACAGAUGUAGGUUGUGUUAACCUGUUCCUCCAUUUUGCUACGAGUGAAAACUUUGUUGCAAAAAGAGGAGUUGGGGGGAGAUGAUGUCCCAGAACUUUUAAAAGAAGAGGGGGUAGAGGCAAUCAAGCCCCGAAGCUUUAGUAGGCUUAAAAUUGAACACAACUUUCUUGAUCUCAUUGACAGUAGGGACACUGUCCAGCAUGUCAUGAGCAUGAUCAGGGAUUGAACCCCUGGCAGAGGUUUUUUUUUGGGAGGCAUAGUGGGAGUAAGUGUGGCCAGUGGAGUACAGGUUCUUAUAGAAAGAAAUGAUGGUUUGGCUUAUAUCCUCUAGGCUUGUGACCCAGCUACCAUUAUCCAAUUUCAAGGAAUUGAUUCUAUUCUUUAUUCUUCUAUUGAGGGUAACCGUGUGAAAGAAUCUAGUGUUAGCGUCCCCUUCUGAGAGCCAGUUAAUCCUGGAUUUGAGUUUCCAGAAUUCAUGUUCUUGUUUAAGGGUGUCACUAAACUCUUUCUAAAGGGCGAUCUCAAGGAUUUGAAGGAAGGAGCUGGAAGGGUAGUGGCUUCUUUUUUGGAUACCCGCAAUUCUUGCAAGGAUUCUUUUCUUCCUAGUGAAAAUGUUUCCAAAAACUUCUUUGUUCCAGGGGAGGACCAUGGAUCUAAAAGAACCAAUGGAGCCAGUGAGGUUGCCUCCAGACAGGAAGGCUUGGUUUAUAAGGGAGAGGAACUGGGGGUGAGAGCACUACAUGGGCUCCAUUUUAAAAGGUUUGUCUCUUCUAGGGUGGUAGGUGAUGAGAUUAAUCAGGAAGAGGCAGUGGUCAGAAUGAGUCCUAGGAAGAUGGGUUACCGAAGCCUCAGGGUAUAAAUGGAUCCAACUAUCAUUAGCAAAGCACCUGUCGAGCCUUUCAAGGAUAAGGUUGUUCCUGUUCCUAUAUCUUUUGUUGGUCCAGGUAUACCUGCUACCUUUAAAACCUAAGUCAACAAGGCAGCAUUGGUUAAUGCAAUCCCAAAAACUUUUGGCCUUGUUGCUGCUAAUGGGGUUGCCCCCAUAUUUUUCCGCAGCUCUGAGGACUUCAUUAAAAUCACCCCCCACCAGCCAACUAGUAUUACUAUCACCAUUGAUGGUUUUGGCUAUAGUAAUCAGCUGGUUCCAGAGUAGUUUCCUAUCAUUAGGACUAGUGCUAGCAUAAAUGAUGCUAAGAAUCCAAGAAUGAGAAGAGGAAUUUACCUUGACAGCAGCAUGAAUGCUUUGAGGCGUAAUGGAAAUGUCAUUGAUGCUAAAGUGAUCCUCUUUCCAUAGCAAAACAAUACCACCAGAUAAUCCAACAACUCCAGAUUGAAGAAGACAGUCGAAGCUCAGGUCAUGAGUGAGAGUAUGAUGGUCAGCCAUCCUGGUCUCAAGAAGGGCUAACAUGGCUGGUUUAUGGAGAUCAACCAUAGCACCACAGUGUCUUUUGAACUCUGUGUUAUUGGUGUUAUAUAAGUGUAUAGGGUGGGUAGUUGAGAGAGUUAGGGGAUCGAGAAAAAGUUAGGGCUGGUUGGAGUAGUCUUUUAGGAUAAAAUUUCUUUUCUUUUUAUUUUUUAAAAAAUAAGAUAAGAUAAAAAAAAUUGAGAUAAAAUAAAAUAAUAAUAAUACUAUAAUAAUAAUAAUAAUAAUAAUAAUAAUAAUAAUAAUAAUAAUAAUAAUAAAUAUUAAUUAAUUAUGUUUUUAUAUUACAAUAAUGCAAGAAAAGUUUAUAACUAGCCUAAAAUAAAAUAUAGUUAAAAUAUUAAACUUACUAGAUUAUUUAUUAAAAUUAAAAAGGAAAAAUAUUUUUGACUUUCUUUUCGUAUUAUUUUUAUUAAAAAAUAAAAUAAAAAUACUUCAAAAAUGUAACUUUAUUUAUUUAUUUUUAAUUAAAACUUAUUACAAAAAUAAAAGCUAAAACAAAUAUUGAAAAAAAAUAUAAAUAUUUAAUGCUAAAACAAAUAGGUUAAAACUCGAGGAGGGUCAAAAAUCAUGUGUCUACACACAGGAUUUGGGGAAGAGCUCCACCUUACCUUACAUUUCUAUCGAAGACUAUUUCCGUGAGGCUUAAACCCGUGACCGAAGAUCACAUGACAGUAACGUUACCAGUUACGUUACUCCAAGGCUCCCCUUCUUAAAGAAAAGAUGUAAUACAAGGACUUCCCAAUAAUGCUAAGGUUGUUCUCUGAAGAGCAUGUUCAAGUAUUUAUUCACAUAAUUUAAUUUAUACUACCAAAAGAAUUAGAUCAGUAUAAACAAUGUAGCCAUCAGGAAAACAAAUCAGAUUUAAAAAUUCAUUUAAUUAAUUAGAUUAAGUAUUCAAUAUAUAUAUAUUCCCUUUGUUAUAAGAAGAUUCAUUUUCUACAAUUAUAUAUACACAUUCCAUUUUGCAUAUGUUCAAAUAGCCUAAAUAUUUAAAUGUGAUGUUCUUUUAAAUUAAUCACAUCAUUUACACGUUGUUCUGUUGCUAAAUAACUCGUAGCUACCAGAAUUCUUUGAUAAUUCGUUGCUAAAUCAUCGUUAAAUAAGCUUACCAAUAAAUUAUUUUGUAUUAUUUAGUGACAAAAAUUGUCCAUUACUUUUUUUAAAAAGUAUAUAUGUUGUAAUCAUGAUGACAAUUAAUUCUCUUUUUUACAAAAAAAAAAAAUCUCGUUUAGUGUCUGAUAUCGCGGUGGAGCUCCAUUAAUUUAAAUUCGUGUCCGAUAAGAAAGAUCUAAUUUCGGAUAUUGCGCUUCCUAUCAAGAAACUUUUUCAUAUCUAAGAUUAUUUUAAAAUGAAUUACUUAAUAUUAUUUAGCAACUGAAGUUAUCCAUCACUAUUUUCUUUUAAGUAUAUGUAAUCAUGAUGAUAAUUAAUCCUCUUUUUUUAAAAAAAAAAAAAAACAUUUCGUAUUUAGUGUCUCAUAUAGUGUUGGAGCUUGAUUAAUUCAAAUUUGUGUCGAGUAAGUAAGAUCUAUUCGACCAAUUCGACCAAGAAUUUUUUAUACUCAAAAUUCAAAAUUAAAAUCGCUGAUUAAAGGAGCAGAAGCUGCAUCCACUACACCGUCCAAUAUUCUUUGGUGGUAUAUAUGAUAAUGAAUCAUACAAUAUCGAAAAACAUAUAUAAUAUUCCCUAGAAAACAAUUGAUAAUAUCCACAUAACUAUGAUUAGAUACCUAAGGGAUUAAUAUUUAAUUACUUCUUUUUUUUUCUUUUGUUUAUAAAGUAUAUCAAAAGGAGAUUGGAAAGAUCAGAUAUAUAUACUUUUAGAAUAAACUUAAUUAAUUAAUUAGUUAAUCAUAUAUAAAUACUCAAAUUUGGGUGACACACAAUGAAUAUUCAUGUUACCCCAAAUGAAUCUUGGUGAUAAGUUACGUGAAACUUAGUUUGAAUGAGAGGGUUUAACGAACGAUGAUUUUUAAUACAUUAGGAUUUUUUUGAAAAAAUCAAUCUAGGUUCGUUUUUGAGUGAUGGUCACCUAAAAUUCAGGGGUAUUUCUGACACUUUUCUGUAUCCUUCCAUCUAAGAUCAUGUUAUCGGCAAACAACAAAUAUAUCAUGUUCUAUUUAAUCACUCUAAUCUUCGACACGUAAAUUAUUAAUUCCUCUAAUGAUGAAUUAAUUAAUUUUUCAUUAGUUUGGAUUAAUGGAUAUUACUAACAAAGGAAUCUAAUUUUUUUUUUUUACCAACAUUUAUACCGGUGUAUCUUUUUCUCUUUUCUUUUUUUAUUUAAUUGAGAAAAUUAAUUUUUGAUGUUACUAAUUGUCACCAUCUCCACAUGAUUAUUCUUAAUUUUAACAUAUAAAUAAUUGAAUUGGGCUUCUUAAUCACAACAAGUGUGAUAAGAAUAGAGUAAUUAUAGGUUUAAUUAGUUGCCAUAGCUAGUCAAUAUUACUGUAUUUUAGUCAAAUUAAAUUAAACAAAGACCCAUGCAUGGAAUAUUUAAUAAUUUGCACCGAAAGUAUAUAUGUAAACAUAAUUCCAAUUUCCAAAAGAGAAUAAAUUCUAUUUCAUUGUUGUAACUUCAUUUUGAAUUGUAUAGUAAAAAUCAACAUAAAAGAUAUUUCAUUCUGUUACAAUUUAUGUGACACUUUUUUUUUCGUAGUUUGUUAAAGGAAAAUGUCAUAAUUAUAUAUUUAGAGUUUUCAUCUUAUACCUCUAAUGCGAUUAUUUAUAGCUAAAAAAUUAUUUUAGAUUAUAUGUUUUUACAAUCUUUCGUUCUUUUUUAAAUAUCGCGUAUUGUUAAGAACGGGAAAUUCCAAUGGAUGUUUCCGUUAAAAAUAUGUGAUCGCCGAAAAAAAAUACUUCGUCGGAAGUGUUCCCGAUAAGCCAUAUAUUUUCUCGACAAUAGUAUUUGUUUAAUAGUGGUGUCUAGAAAAACGAUAUCAUAUAAAUUGAAACAUAAAAAAAUAUUUUAAUUUGCAAAACAUGUGAGAUGACCGUGAAAUUUGGUAGGCCAACCACAGAGGUCGUCGUGGUAGGAUGACAAGUACCCCGUUAUGUUUAAUCAGAAAUCUCUAGUUCGAGCCAUGAGAAUAGAAUUAUGAUUAAGUGCUUCUGUUUAGUGGCGGAGCCAGAAUUUUCACUAAGGGGAUUCAAAAUCCGAAAAGGUAAACAUACAAACUAGUUGCAGGUGGUUCAACAUCUACUAUAUAUAUAAUAACAACAACAACAACGUACCCAGUGUAUUCCCACAAAGUGGGGUCUGGAGGGGGAGUAAAGUGUAUGCUGUCUAAUACUAUGAAGUAGAGAAGUUGUUUCCGAUGGACCCCCGGCUCAAGACAGAUAACAGUACACCAAACAAAAAACAUAAAAGCAAACAACAAAAAGAGAUAUCACACCGCUAGAUAAUAAAGGAGACAAGACACCCACAACCUAAGGUAAUACUAUAAACCAGUUAUUCAAAAAUCAUAGUAUUACCCCCGACCUCAAGGUGACUCCGCCCCUGCUUACCUUCUAAAUAAUGUAAGGACCACUAUUUAACAUUAUCUUUUUUAAUGUGUCCUAUUUAACAUUAUCUUUUUUAAUGUGUCCUAUUUAACAUUAGUUUCGUUAAAUGAUGCCUAUAAAUAGGAUUCCUGUCCAUUAAUUCUCACAAUAAACACAACCAACUACUCUUUUCUAUUAGUAAUCAAAAUACCAACUCUUUACACACAACAAAAAUUAGAAAUUAACCAAAUCUCAAAUUAAUUAAAUGGCAACAAACAAGAAAGUCAUAUCAAAGAUAGGCCAAGAAGCCUUUUCUCUUCUUGAUGAACAACAACAACUCUAUGCAACAAAGGGAAAAAUUAGGCCUCAAAUUCAUUCUUCUUCUUCUUCUUCUAAUGUUGUUGUUACAACAACAAAUAAAAACUACUUUUCUAAUUAUAACCAAUAUCAACCACAAAAAUCUCAUGUUGUUCAAUUCAAACCAAGUGAAGAGAGAGUUAUGAAUAGUUAUGAAGCUAUGAAGUUACAUGGAGGGGUUCUUAUUUGUGAUUAUUACAAAAGAAAACCAAAACCUAUGGCUUAUUAUUAAGCAGAAGCUAGUUCAGAAUCUAGAGUCAGUGAAUUUAGAUUAUGUGUGUGAUCAUAUAUUACCGAUAUGUACACAAAAUGUUUAGUAUGUAGUAGGUUCAACUGAAUACACAUAACCCACUCCAGAGCCGCGUGUUGCUUUCUUUUAGUUUGUCAACACAUCUUUUGUAUAUGUAUGGUCGAUAAGCUAUUUGUAUGAGUAUAAUUAUGGUCUAGUAUAUGAGUGAUGUGAUAUAUUUCACUUUUAAAUGCUAAACUAUGCUCUUCUCUAGUUUUAAAAAGAGGGGCAUAUUUGCAUAUUUUAUUAGCGGUAGGGGUAUAUUUGACCCCAGAAUUUAACGAGAGGCAAAUGAAGCUAAUUUAUGAAAAUAGAGAGGUAUUUUUGACUUUUUCCCCUUUUCAAAAAAUGUAUCAAGUGGAAAUUAAUUUUUAUUUAUUUAGUUCAUCUAGGUAAUUAAAUACCUCAAUUUUCAAUCGAGAAUACCAUUAAUAUAAGUCUUUUUGUAGGGUGCCAACAAAUAAUAUAUAUUAGAUUAAUUCUAAAAUAUAUGUACGUAAAAUACGUAGUCUUGCAGAAAUACCAUGGGUACACACAGGGGCGGAUAUAUAUGUACUCAUGGGGGUGGCACGGCACCUGCAGACCUCGGUUGAGACACUGUAUAUAUCUAUGCAUAUAAUGCAGAAGAACUAAAUAUAUAAUAUACUUGCCACCCCAUGUACAAAGUGGCAGUUAGUUCCACUGACAAUAGGCAGAAAAUAUCACCCGAUAGAUCAGGGAUCGAACCCUGUUAAUAAGCUUUGUAUUUUUGGCUUCUUCCUUUGAUUGCACAAAGGGAAGCUACUCAGCACUUCAGCCCCCACUUUGUUUUUUGUGUCUUUCGCAAGAUGUGUGUCAUUGCUUGCACAAAGGGAAGCUGCUCAGCACUUCAGCCACCCUACUUCGUUUUUUUGUGUCUUUUUCGUUAGAUGUGUAUCAAGGGCUUAGUUGUCUUUUCAUUCCCCUUUUUUAGGUUUUUUUCAUUAAUUUCAUUUACUUGCUAUUUUUAAUUAAUUUAAAUGGGUUAUUUUUCUUUAAUUAAUUCCUACUUUUCUAAAACUUUCUCUUGAUUAAUCUCUUGAUACUAGUGUUUCAAGUAUUUUUGUGCAUUAAUGAGUAUUAAAUCUUAAACGGCACAUAAAUAUUAAUAAGAACAUAUUAAAUUUUUAAAAAAAGUUCAAGUAUAUAAAAUUAUGGAUAUUAUUAUGUUAGAGAUAUUAAAAUUUAAAGUUUUCGAUCGUUUGAACUAAGUGAAGAUGAUUAAGUUGAAGCUAUAAUUUUUAAUUCUUUCAAAUUAUAUAUCUGCAACAACACUCUCAGCAUAUAAAGGUAAUGGAAUAUGGAUAUAUUAAGAUAAUGUAUCAUGUGGUUUAUAUAAAUUUAAAUUUUAACAUGAAAAAUUUCUUUUUCUCUCAAAGCUUUGAAGAAUAAAACCUCUUAUAUCAAAAAAAAUUAAACUACUUAGAAGUUUUUGAUCUCAGAAUAUCUAAAAAAAGAACAUAACUCACUAGACAUAUUUGAUCGAUUUGUUUAUGAAAUAAAAAAAUGAUAAAUAACCCAAAUUGUAACCUAAAAUUAAAAGAAUCGACCCGCAAAUCCUACUUGGACGGCAUGACACCCGGUACCUCAGAAUCCUAGAUCCGCCUCUGGGUACACAUACAUCAUAUAUAAUUAUAUAGUAAACUUGCCCCAAAAUAUAUUUCUAGUUCAAUAUAAAUGACUUAUUGUCACUUUUUAUCAAUGAAAUUCCAUUUUGCAUGUUCAAUAAUUUAUCAAAUAAAUUUAUAUUAAUCUAUAAUUUUUUGCAACUCCUGACUAAUUUUUUUAGUUAAAUUUUUGUUACAAAAAAUCCUCUUUGGUGACUAAAGUCAAUUAGGAUAUUGUCAAAACCAAGAAAAUAUAUAACUGGAAAAGACAAAAGAGAAAAUAAAAUGUCAAAUUAAAAUUCUGAAUAUGGUGCCUUCUGUUUUUGUUAAUUUGCUUCUAAUUUUUUUUUAUUUAAAAAAGACCAUAUUAUACUACAAAAAGAAUUAGAUCAGUAUAAACAAUGUAACCAUCAGGAAAACAUAUCAGAUUUUAAAAUUUAUUUAAUUAAUUAGAUUAAUUAAUAUAUAUAUAUAUAUAUUACUAUCUAUAAUAAGUGCGGAUAAGAAGGCAUGUCUUCGACAUGCCUGUUUGUGUUGUCUGCUUCAGUUGCUUCAAUCGUAAUUUUACUAUAUUACUCCAAAUUAAUUACUGUAGGUUAUUUAAGUAUUAAAAUCUAUAUUACUAUCAAUAAUAAGUGCGUAUAAGCAGUCACGUCUUCGACAUGCCUGCUUGUGCUGUCUGCUUCAGCUGGUUCAAUCGUAAUUUUACUAUAUUACCCUCAAUUAAUUACUAUAGGUUAUUUAAGUAUUAAAAUUUAUAAUAUUUAAUAAAAAAAUAUAGAAUAGACAUAAAAUAAUAAAUUAAUAUUUGAUUUUUUAAAUUAACUUCAUGUCUUAUAUGAGGUCUAUUUAUACCUUUUUUACGAGUAUUAUUUACAGUAAUUUUAAUAUAUCACUUCUAAUUAGUUGUUAUAAGUCAUUUAAGACAUGUCUUCUUGGCUACUUCAAUCGUGAUUUUUUUAUAUCAACCCUAUUUAAUUACUACAGGUUAUUUAAUUAUUAAAAAUUUAUAAUAUUUAAUAAAAAAUAUAAAAUAGACAUAAAAUAAUAAAUUAAUAUUUAUUUUUUUAAAGUAACUUGAAGUCUUAUAUGACACACAUUUAUGCUUUUUCUCACAAGUAUUUUUUAUAGUAAUUUUAUUAUAUUAGUUUUAAUUAGUUGUUAUAAGUCAUUUAAGACAUGUCUUCUUCGCUUCUUCAAUCGUGAUUUUAUUAUAUCACUCCUAAUUAAUUAUUACGGUCACAUUAGAAAAUUAAUAAUAUUUAUAAAUGGACACAAAAUGACAUGUCAAUAUAAAACAUUUGAUUGACUGUCGAAAUUAUAUUGGGAGAAUACUCACAACAAUACCUGAAGGUUGACCGGAUUACCAGUUGAGCAUAUUUGAACUUUGCGGAGGUCCUAUUACACACCUAUACUUUUUUAAGUGGAAUUAAUUCCCCCCCCCCCCCCCCGGACUUUUUUAAAGUGAAUUAAUUCCCCCCAAAAACGUUGUACCCAAUAUCUACGGUAGGAAGUGUAGUACACCGCUGUUUCUUCCCUAUUUUAUCAGUUUUUAACAAUUUUUCACCAUUACAACCAUAUUAAAGAUUCCACAACUCAAAUUUCUCCUACAAAUCAAAUUUCAAAUGAUUUCAUUGAGUCAAUGUCCAUUCUUGUCACUUCAAGAAUGUUCUACAACUUCAAUAAUAUUUGUUUCCAGUUUCAAAUUAGUUCCACAACUUCAAAUUUGUUUCCAGAUUCAAAUUUGUUUCCAGUUCCACAAAUUUGUUUCCACAAUAAUUUCAAUCGAAAAUUAACUUCAAUAAUUGAAGAAAAGUUUUUGAUUGUAGAAGUCAAUUACUACUCCUAAAUAAUUAACUUCAAUAAUGGAGUCUUCAACGAAAGCGUACUACAUUAUUCAAUUUCAAUUCAACAACGGAGCAACCAUUUCAAGUUUCAAUUACGCCAACUCAAUGGAAUCUUCCAUUGAGUUUCAAAUUCCAAGUCCAUUCCAACUCAAAUUUCAAAUUCAAAUUGAAAAUUUUCUUCAAGAACUAUUCAAAUUUGUUCAUACUGAAAAUUGAAAAUUUGAAUUUGAAUUUCAAUUUCAAUUUCAAGAAUGGAAUCUUUAAGAAUUCUAGAUUUGAAUGGAAUGAACAAACUGAAAUAGAAUUCAAUUUCAAUUGAAUGGAAUCUUUCAUUAAUCUUCAAGAAUGAAAAUUGAAAUGGAAUCUUUAAGAAUUCAAAUUCAAUUCAACAAAUGGAGCAACCAUUGUUGAAGAAAAGAAAGAGAGAAGAAAGAAAGAGAGAAGAGAGAAGAAAAAUAAUAAAAAAAAAAAUAAAAAAUAAAAAAUUUUUAAAAAUUAGAAAAUUGAAGGGCUGUUGGGAAAAAAAAAAGGUUUAUAGCAUUUUUUUAACACUUUCACGUGCUCAAUACGCGUGACUUGCACGCAAUGGUGCAAGUGGCAGAUAUAUGUCAUUAAAAUAAGAAAAAGAAACUCUAGGGGGUAAUAGGACCCCCGCAAAGUUCAGUAUGUGCAACUGGUAAUCCAGUUAAACUUCAGAUAUUUUUGUGAGUAUUCUCCCAAAUUAUAUUAGUGCCACAUAGGUUGAAUUUCGAAAUUAUAUCAGUGUCACUUAAAUUGGAAUAGAAGAAAAAGUAUUAUAAAUCACAAUAAAACAUUUGUUUGACUAUUGAAAUUAUAUAGUGCCAUAUAGAUUGAUUUUUGAAAUUAUAUCAGCGUCACUUAAAUUGAAAUAGAAGAAAAAAUAUUAUAAAUCACAAUAAAACAUUUGAUUGACUAUCGAAAUUAUAUUAGUGCCACAUAGGUUGACUUUUGAAAUUAUAUCAGUGUCACUUAAAUUGGAAUAGAAGAAAAAGUAUUAUAAAUCAGAAAAAUUAAAAAUUAAAAUUAUCAAUAAUUAAUUAUCUAAAUUAUAUUCGUGCCACAUAAAUUAAGAUUGGGACCGUUCUUCAACAUAGAUAUAGAUAUAGAUAUAGAUAUAGAUAUAGAUAUAGAUAUAGAUAUAGAUAUAGAUAUAGAUUCCCUUUGUUAUAAGAAAAUUCCUUUUCUACAAUUAUAUAUACACACUCCAUUUUGCAUAUGUUCAUAUAACCUAAAUAUUUAAAUGAGAUGUUCUUAUGCAUUAAUCACAUCAUUUGCACGUUAGUUUGUUGCAAAAUAACUAGUAGCUACCAAAGUUCUUUGAUAAUUCGUCACUAAAUCAUCGUUAAACAAGCUUACCAAUAAAUUAUUUAGUAUUAUUUAGUGACAAAAAUUGUCAAUUAAUUUUUUUAAGUAUAUAAUCAUGAUGAUAAUUAAUCCUUUCUUUUUUAAAAAAAAAAAUCUCACUUAGUGUUCGAUAUUACGUUGGAGCUUCAGUAAUUUGGAUUCGUAUUGAGUAAGUAAGAUUUAUUUGGAGAUAACGCUAUCUAUCAGGAAUUUUUCCAAUAAUUUAAAAAUGAAUUAUUUAAUAUAUUUAGCGAUAGAAGUUGUCUGUCACUAUUUUUUUAGUACUAGUUUGGGUGUACGCGCCUCGAGCGUAUACCUCACUUUAUUGAGUUCAAAUGUUAUACUAAAUAGAAUAUUUGUUUAAAUAAUAAAGAUGAAUACAAUAAUUAAAUUCAACAUUUAAUUAAACCUAACCUUUAUCAAAAAAAAAAUUGUCAAAGUGAUCGACAUUCAUCUAUCACCUGUAAACUGCAACAAAAUAAUACGAUGAACAAACUAACAUAAUUAAGUCUAACCUUUACACAAUAAUUUUCUCAAAGUCGUCUGACACUCAUUUACCACCUGUAAACUAUAACAAAAUAAUACGAUAAUAAUGGAGAUAUCAAAAUAUAUAAUACAACUAAACCGUACCUUUACACAAAAAAAUUUCUCAAAACAGAGAUAUAAAAACAAUACAAUUAAACCUGACCUUUACCUAAAAAAUUCCUCAAAGUCGACCGACAUUUAUCUAUCACCUGUAAAUUCAUCCUGUAAAUUACAACAAAAUAAUACAAUAGUGAUCACAAAACUUUAAUUUUGAUAAAAAUAAUUCUUAUCUGAGCCAAAAUUUUGAUCCUGAAGAAUAACUUGAAUGAAAAUAAAGAAGAUAUAUAUAUAUAUAUAUAUAGAUUCUUGACAAAACGGUGAAGAAGUUGAGGAUUAAAAAAUUAAGUAUCCACCAAUCUAGACAUGCAACUGAAUCAAGUUAGAUGGGCAUCAGUCAUAUUUUUUCAGUAACUAAACCGAUUUCUUCUCUAGUUUAACAUAUAUUUCAAUAUUUAUAGAAGUAUUUUCUUAAUAGAGUCCUAUUUUAGGAGUAUUUUUCUAUCCUAUUUUAUGAGUAUUUUUCUAAUAUAUUAUAGAUAAGAUUAGUUUUUUUUCCUGGGUUGAAUAUGAACAUGUAUUUUAUAAUUUAGUUAGAAUAGGAUUUUGAUUUCUGUAUAUAUAAAAGAAAAAUUAAAUUAUUUAAAUUACCUUCACACAAAUUAUACUCUUCAAACGAUUUUGUAUCUAAUACGCUAAUACACUUUUUUUUUUUUUUUACUUUUCACGAUUUUUUUCCACCUUGAGAUUUUUCGUUAGAACACCUUUUUUUUUCUUUUUUACACGCUAAUUUAGAAAUACAUAUUGAUUUAUUGGUUUUGUAUAGGAUUUUGUUUGUUCAAAUUUAGUUAGAAUAGGAUAUUGAUUGUGCAUUUGUAUUGUCGGUCAAAUUUAUAUUGAUUUAUUGGAUUUGUAAUUUAAAUAGAAUAUGCGAAAAGAGAAUUUUAUAGACUUUUAAUAAAGGAUAAAAAGUUCAAACGUGAUUUAUAAGGUCAUUCACACUUUUAAUAUAAUAGAGAUAGAGAUAGAGAUAUGUAAUCAAGGUGAUAAGUAAUUCUUUUUUAAAAGAAAAUCUCAUUUAGUGUCAGAUAUUGCGUUUAAGCUCGAUUAAUUCAAAUUCAUGUCGAGUAAAUAAGAUCUAUUCGGACGUAGCACUCUCGAUCAAGAAAUUUUUAUACUCAAGACUCAAAACGAGACAUUUGAUUAAAGAGGCAUAUUCAGCCGUAUCCGUUACACCGCCCAAUAUUCUUUGGUGGUAUACAUGAUAAUUAAUUCUACAAUAUUGAAAAACAUAAUAUUCCCUAGAAAACAAUUAAUAAUAUCCUCAUAUCUACUCCAUGAUUAGAUACCAAAUGGAUUAAUAUUUAAUUACUUCUUUUUUUUUCUUUUGCUUAUAAAGUAUAUGAAAAGGAGAUCGGAAAGAUCAUAUAUACUUUUAGAAUAAACUUAAUUAAUUAGUUAGUUAAACAGAUGCUUAAUUCCUCUAAUGAUGAAUUGAUUUAUAUUUAGUUUGGAUUGGAGUAAUAUUUACUAAUAUAUAUAUAUAUAUAUGAAGCUAAGUAGGAAUCUAAUUCACAUUAACAUACCAUGUAUUUUUGAGUGAUAGUCACCUAAAAUUCAGGGAUAUUUUUAACCUUUUUUCGUAUCUAUAUCAUUUCAUCUAAGAUCAUGUUCCCUCGAAUCACUUCAAUCUUCGACUCUAAAACUGCUACUCAACGACACAGAGAUAAAGAAUAAAAUACUUACUAUUUUUUCUAUCUCAAAUGUUACUUGCUUAUAUUGGUAAGUAAAUUUAUUUUAAAACAAAUGUCGUUUUAGAAAAAUAACGAAGUACUUAAUUUACUUUUCUUUCAAAUCUACAUUGUAAUUCUAAUUAGCAGUGUGUUAGUCAAAACCAAGAUAUUUAAAGAGAUUGAAGGAUAAUUUUCACAAAUAGUUCUAGAUAUUUUUCUCGAAAACAUAUUAUAUGGAAAUAAAUAAUUAGUAAAUAAGCUUAAGAUCUUGAAUUGCCUCCAUGUUAGCAAGCACGAAUACACAAUUUAUUAUGAAAAAUAGCACUAAAUAAUCAUUUUUCAUUCCAAUAUUUAAGAAAAUAGUUUUCAUUUUAGAAUUUCAAUUUUUACAAGUGAAACGCAUUAUGUGUCUGAAAAUGUAUACAUAUAACAAAUUGUGAAUCUAACGUAAAUAAAAUGAGAGAUUUAUUUAUUGUUAAGUGAAAAAUCAUGAACUCGUAAAGCAUUAAAUUGCAAAUCUAUGUAUUUUUACUCCAAGAGGGUUCUUAUUACUACUUAUUAUCCUUAAUAAUUUGUUAUAGUUGAAAAUGUUGAGAUAACAACAAAACAACGUAAGCCACAGAAUUCGAAUAACAUUUUUAUUUAAUUGCAAAUUAUUAUUAUCACUUAUCAGUGAAUAAAGUGAUUAUAGAUGACGUGUUAAGAUGAUGUCACAUGCAAUCCCCUUUGUUACGUUAUAUAAUUCACCCUUUAUUUGGCAUAUUUUUGAUUUAUCACGAUAUUUAAGUAAAAGAAUAAAGAUUUUUAAAAUUUAUGAUUUAAAAUAAUUUUUAAAUAUUUGUGUGAUUGUAAAUUACUUUCCUUAAAAAUAAAAGGAGAAUUUGAAAGUUAACUUUUUUCUAAUUAUAGUAACGUGACACUCUUUUGGAGAUGGAUUACUAACAAAGAAAGCUAAGAAGGAAUCUAAUUCUUUUUUUUUUAACCAACAUACCGGUGUAUCUUUUUCUCUUUUCUUUUUUAUUUAAUUGAGAAAAUAAAUUAAUGUUACUAAUUGUCACCAUCUCCACAUGAUUGUUCUUAAUUUUAAGAUAUAAAUAAUUGAAUUAGGCUUCCUAAUCACAACAAGUGUGAUAAGAAUAAAGUAAUUAUAGGUUUAAUUAGUUGCCAUAGCUAGUCAAUAUGACUGUACUUUAGUCAAAUUAAAUUAAACAAAGACCCAUAUUGCAUGGAAUAUUUAAUAAUUUGCACCGAAGUAUAUAUGUAAACAUAAUUCCAAUUCCCAAAAGAGAAAAAAUUCUAUGUCAUUGUUUUAACUUCAUUUUUAAUUGUAUAGUAAAAAUCAACAUAAAAGAUAUAUCUUCUGUUAUAAUUUAUAAUUUAUGUGACAUUUUUUUUUCGUAGUUUGUUAAAAAAAAAUGUCACAUUUAUAUAUUUAGAGUAUUCAUAUUAUACCUCUAAUGCGAUUAUUUAUAGCUAAAAAAUUAUUUAAGAUCAACUUGUUUUAGAUUAUAAGUUUUUAAAAUCUUUCGUUCUUCUUUAAAUAUAACGAUAAGCCAAAUUUUCUCAAAAAUAGUAUUUAUUUGACUGUGAUAUCUAGUCAAAUAAUAUAUAUCACAUAAAUUGAAACAUAAAAUAAAAAUUAAUUUGCAAAAAUUUAUGACAGAUGAUCGUGAAAUUUGGUAGGCCAACCACAGAGGUCAUCGUGGUAGGAUGACAAGUACCCCCGUCAUAUUUAAUCAGAAUCUCUAUAUAUACAAUAACAACAACCUUCAGUGCUUACCUUCAGUGGCAGAGCUAGAAUUUUCACUAACGAGUUCAAAAUUUGAAAAAGUAAGCAUUCAAACUAGCUGGAGGUGGUUCAACAUCUACUAUAUAUACAAUAACAACAACAUACCCAGUGUGUUUCCAUAAAGUGGGGUCUGGGGAUGGGGGUGGGGGUGGGAGGUAAAAUGUAACACAGUACCACUACCUCAUAUAAAGCAGAGAGAUUAUUUCCGAUAGACCCUCGGCUCAGUACAGAUAACAGUAUAACAAACAAAAAAACAAACAACAAACAGGGAUAAAACACCGCUAGAUAAUAAAAGAAACAAAACACCCACAAGAUUAUACUAUAAACCAGCUAUUCAAAAAUCAUAGUAGUAUUAUCCCCUGACCUAAAGGUGGCUCCGCCCCUACUUACUCCCUAAAUUGAGACUUUUCACCCCAAAAUCUAGAUUUAUCGAACCCUCAAAAAAAUACCGAACAACAUAGGAAAAAAAAAAAAGAAAUGUUGGCAAGGCAAGGACCAUUUAACAUUAUCUUUUUUGAAGUUUCCUCCUGUCACACCCUUUCUUAACUCCGAAAGAUUUGAUUUAGGUUUCGAAAGGGUUUUUAUUAUUAAUGUGACAAAGAUGAAAAUUUAUUUCGAAAAGGACUUUUAACAAUCAAAACUCAGAGUCGCCACUUGGCAUAAAUCGGGUGUGCUAAGUCACCCAUGGAUAUCCUUUUUCAAAAUGGUUUUGACUCUUUAAUAUUGGUUUGUGAACAGAGAUUCCAGCUAAGGAAUUCUGUUGACCGAGGGGAAGGUGUUAGGCACCCCUCGAUCCCGUGGUUUGACCACGGUCGCUUGGCAGAGCGUAUCGGCUAAAUUGACAUUACAAAUGCAUAAACCACACAAAGCACGCAAAAACAAUCACUCAAGCAAACAAAAACAAAAUAAUCCAAAAUAUAAUAUCCAGUCCAAUUAUACAGUCCAAAAAUAAAAUGCGUAAAAAUAAAUCUUACUCUAAAUUAAUUCUAGACUAAUACUCUACCCGACGCCUCGGGCCUUCAUCACAAAUGUCUUCUGCCAACAUAGUACGUCGGGGCAUUCCCCGGUGAAUAAAUACAAUAUGCCUCAGGGCAUUCCCUGGCUAAAUUAGUACAUUUUUUUUAUUAAAUACGAUAAACUAGAAAGAAACAUUCAUACGCACAUUCCAACAUUCCACCAUGUUUCAAACAUCAUUCCUAAAUUUGCCUACCCGAACCUAAACAUCUAUUUCCUAUCCAAUUCAACCUACCAUGAUACUAUCACUGUUCGACAUCAACAACAAAUCAAAAUUACUAUAAUAUUUACUCUUUCAAUUUAUGAUCCCCACCCCCAAAUUCCUUUUCGAUACAAAUCCAAAUUCAUAUUAUCAUCACCUUUAUACCACUGAGAUCAAUUACUCAAAAGCAAAAAUAUAUAUAUAUAUCGAACAUCACCCAAAUCAACCAACAAAUCGCACAAGACAUUGAAUCACACCCAUAAUCAUAUCGAAAUUAAAAUAAAGGGAGAAAGGAGAGAAUUGGACCUUAAGUGAAUCUUUCAAAUUCAAAUAAGAGAAAUAGGAGCCCAUCCAAGAACCUCGAAAAACCCCAACGAGAUCUCAAUCCUCCGAAUUAGCCGGGUAACAGUCCAAGAAUGCAAAUAACUCCAAUUUCUACUUUCCGGAUCAGUCAAGAAACAGCCAGCAAAUCAAUGACCAAAUUUCGAUUUGAACAAAAUAGAUAUAAGAAUAGAAUCAAUGAACGACCGAGCCCAAAUACCGAAGUCUAGCUCGCACAAAAUAAAACCCGCGUGGACCAAUGAGUACCAGGACUAGAAUUUUAGAAGAAAGAAAAUAAUAGAAACCCACGAUACCGAAGCUCCGAUGAGCUUGGCGGCAAGACGAUGGAACAGGGAUUGGAUUCCAAGAAACCCAGUACUUUCCGGCUAUAUUUCUCCCCAAAAUCGAGGAAAAACAAGACCCGCACCCCUAAUUCUUGCUGGAUUCAGUUUGAAAUUUGUCAAAAUCGACCCAAAUAAGCUGGAAUCGACCCGAACAAGCUUGUUUCAGGCUGAUUCGAUCAGCAAGUUCUAGUUCUUGGUGACGAGUGACCAGAAAACUUGAUUUUCAGUCAAAAUAUUCUCUUUCAAACUCCCGAUCUCAAUCUCACUCUUCGCGACUCUCUCUCUCAACUUCAGCUUGUAUCUCCUCUCCGAAACUCCAUCUCCCUUGAACUCUAUCAUGUGUGUGCGUAUGGUGAGGUUAGUGAAAAAAAAAAUCCUGAGAGUGUAUUGUGUAUGUGUAUAUAUGCCCCCAAAAUGGAGUGUGAUCCCUGUAUGUAUAAAAAAAUGAAAAACAAAAGGGUUCUUGGCACCUUCCUGGAAGGUUCCCUCGUGGGACCCCCUUUUUAGUGUAUGUUUAUCCUUUUUGCCUUUGUGGACAAGAAAUGGAGGGGUGGUGAGGUGUUGCCAUUUGAUAGGGUAGGUUGUUGGUUUGUUAUUUUUGUCUUUUUGCAGUGAAAUUAUCAUACGGAUGAGGAUACACGGUAGAAUAAGGUAAAUAGGCAAAAAAUAUCUUUCGGAGGAACAAAAUUACGUGUCUACAUCAUGCCCUCUUUAAAUGUAAACGCGCAGUGUUUUCAGACAAAGAAGUAGACAAUGAGACAGAAUUUUGUCUCAACUCUUAUUCAAAAAUGAAACAAAAAGAAGGAGGAAAACUAAGUAUUGAUUUAGGACAUCCUACCUACCCAAGUUAUGAAGGAAUCACAUGACGGGUAUCUCAAAGAAUUGAAAAGAGAUGGACUAUACCGAGUUGGAGAGUCGAGUGAGGUUCCAUCGAGGUUCUGGUCCGCGGCUCUGUCAUUACAUCAAAAUGAAAAUUAUAAGUUAAAACAUAAAUGAAAUUACAAAAUCCUAUCUAUGCAGUUUUCCUUGACUCUUGAUUCGAUUUUUAUCACCCUAUUCUUCAGGUGGACUCCUGACUUGCAAUUCCCUCAACUUGUUGUUUGGCUUUCAAUUGCUUCGCCUUAUUGCUUGACUUUCAAUUGUUUCACCCUGUUCUCCAGGCGGGCUCCUGACUUGCUAUUUUUGACUUCCAAUUUCUUUGCCUUAUUGCUUCACUUUUAGCUUCUUCAUCCUGUUCCUUUGAUGGGUUCCUAACUUGUAAUUUCAUCACCCUGUUCUUCAGAUGGGCUCCUGAAACCAGAAUUAAAACUAGAACGAAAAUUAUCCCAAACAAAAAUUAUAGUGAAGCAGUAUUUCAUUUUUGAAAGUGUAGUCCCAUUUUUCAAAAGGGUCCUGAACAGAAAGUAAAAUCCCAUUUUUCAGGAGGGUCCUGCACUGAAAGUAAAUUCCCAUUUUUCAGGAGGGUCCUGAACAGAAAGUAAAAUCCCAUUUUUCAGGAGGAAAAAAAAAAAAGUAAAUUCCCAUUUUUAGGAGGGUCCUGAACAGAAAGUAAAAUCCCAUUUUUCAGGAUAGUCCUGAACAGAACGUAAAAUCCCAUUUUUCAGGAGGGUCCUGAAUAGAAAGUAAAAUCCCAUUUUUCAAGAGGGUCCUGAACAGAAAGUAAAGUCCCAUUUUUCAGGAGGUUCCUGAGCAGAAAGUAAAGUUCCAUUUUUAAGGAGGGUCCUGAGUAGAAAGUAAAAUCCCACGGAUGUGCAUUUCCAAUGGUAGCUGAAUUAAGUGAAGCGAAUUUGCCCCUAUUUCAACAAAUAAAAUUUGUCAGUUAAAAACUUAGUGGUGGCUUGCAGCUCUUGGCUUCUCAGGUAUCUGCCCCAGCACUCCUUCCUUUCAUCUUUGUUCCAAAUUGCUGACACUUGCCCUGUCUUGCCGCAUCAUUGACCCUGAUCCAGAUUGAGGGAAAUGAGUUCUGACUCAAACAAUGGGUUUGCAUUUUACCAUGCCUCUGAGGUGCACUCUUUUCCCAAAUCUGACGAAUCCAACAGCCUGUCGGUUGAUAGACUCCCUUUGUUUCGUCUUGAAUUACGAUCAUAUUUCUUUUAUAUACUGGUCCUUGGCUUUUCCUCAUAUAAUUGGAAAGACUGGUAAUAAAUUUUGAAAUCCUUUCUCGCUUGUUUUGACACAGACUUGACUUAAAAUGUAAAGAGAUGAUGGUGACUUUUAUUUUGAUAAAUGACAUAUAAAGGACAAAAAGCAUGAAUAUGUAAAUGAAAGAAAAGGGCAAUGUCCCAUAUUCAAAAAGAAAACUUAUCUGAAUACGACAACCAACUCCAAUGAGUAUGACAUGCAUUUUGGAUUAAGCUGCCUGAUCUUCCUAUCCAAACUCCCUAUUUUCUGUUGAGUUCGUGCCUUUGCCACUGAGCUACUUCUUCGAAUCCAUUGGAAUCAUACAUCACAUUCAAUUGACGACAUCUUAAAGGACUUUCGCCAACAAAUCUCUUUCUUUUCACUUUUCACUUUUCUCUUGAACUCACCAUCGCCUUACGGUGCCCGUGAGGGUUUUCACCAAUAAGACUCUCUCAUUUUUAUUUCUCUCCACUCACCAUCGCCUUAUGGUGCCUGCGAGGGUUUUCACUAAUAAGACUCUCUCAUUUUUAUUUCUCUCAACUCACCAUCGCCUUAUGAUGCCCGCAGAGGUUUUUACCAAUAAGACUUUCUCAUUUUGUAUUUCUUUCAUUAUUUCUUAUGCUGAGGGAGACAAGUGAUACCUCACAAUGUAUCAUCAUAUGCAUUGCAUGCUUAGCCUUAACAUUAUCAAAAAUUGAUCUGAAGGACUUUCUUUGGUUGUAACUCAGCUUUCGGAUAAGGUUAGAAAAGGAUGGCAAGAGGUUCAUACGACACUUGAAAUGGGGGUGGGACUUACAACUUUUGGAAUCGACUCAAACAACACAUUAACUCAUGCCCUAGUUUUUGUUGACUGGGUGACUCUAAAAUCUUUAUUUGGUUGGACCGAGCCCAAAAUAGGGCAACCUACGUAUCUCACUCUCAAGAAAAGAGAAUCAGGUCGCACGAAGUUCCAUAAGCUUGUUCUUUGUUUUGAUUUGAUUUUUUUUUUCGAACUCUUUCUUUUAUUCUUAUUUUCUUGACAUUUAUCUUUGACUCUAUUUUGAUUCCAAAAGAGGAAUAUGAAAGAAAAAAUAAAACGAAGCUCAAACGGGUAAACAAAGGAUGACAUAAUGUUUGGAUAGAAGAAUAAAAUGCCUUCAUCAUAUCAAUCUUAAAAAAAGAAAGUACUAAACAUGCAAUAAAAUCAACAAAGGAUAAAAUAUCAUACAUAAUAUCUUUUGACCGCAUCAGCAUUGAUAGCCAUUUCUGCCAUUUUGCCUUCAAUAUCUGUCAAAUAUAAGGCUCCAUUGGGCAACACUUUCUUCACAACGAAGGGACCUUGCCAGUUAGGGAAGAACUUGCCUUUUGCUUCAACCUGGUGAGGAAGGAUACACUUCAAUACCAACUGACCAACUUCAAAAUUCUGGGGACGGACCUUUUUGUUAUACGCUCGAGCCAUCCUCCUCUGAUACAACUGGCCAUGACACACAAACGUUAGCCUUUUUUCCUCACUCAAACUCAAAUGUGCCAGUCGGGUUUUGACCCAUUCAUCAUUAUCAAUCUCUGCUUCUACAAUGACUCGAAGAAAGGGAAUUUCAACUUCUGUAGGGAUGACUGCUUCUGUCCCAUACACCAAUAAAUAUGAAGUUGCCCCUGUUGAAGUGCGAACAGUGGUACGAUAACCUAGCAAUGCAAACGGCAACUUUUCAUGCCACUGUCUAGAACCUUGUAUCAUUUUUUGCAGUAUCUUUUUUAUAUUCUUAUUGGCGACUUCUACAGCACCAUUGGCCUUUGGGCGAUAUGGAGUAGAAUUUUGAUGUGCGAUCUUAAACUGUUGACACACUUCUUGCAUCAAAUGACUAUUGAGAUUGGCAGCAUUGUCUGUAAUGAUCAUCUUAGGAAUUCCAAAUCUACAAAUGAUAUUGGCAUGAACAAAAUCUAUCAUAGCCUUCUUUGUCACUGACUUGAAAGUUACUGCUUCUACCCACUUUGUGAAGUAAUCAAUGGCUACCAAAAUGAAUCUAUAUCCAUUUGAUGCCUUCGGCUCAAUCGGUCCAAUCACUUCCAUUCCCCAAGCUAUAAAUGGCCAUGGAGCGGCCAUUGCAUACAACUCAGCAGGAGGGGAACGUAUCAGAUCACCAUGUACCUGACAUUGAUAACACUUUCAAACAAAUCGAAUAGAAUCCCUCUCCAUAGUAAGCUAGUAAUAACCUGCUCGAAGAAUCUUCUUUGAUAAGACAUGACCUUUCAUAUGCGGCCCACAUACUCCAGAGUGUAUUUCAACCAUGAUUGUCGAGGCUUCUCUUGCAUCUACAUACCUCAAAAGUCCCAGAUCUGGGGUUAUCUUAUAAGAUCCCCCCACUUAAGAAAAAUCCGCUAGCCAAACGCCUAAUAGUCCUCUUUUGAUCAUUGGUGGCAUAUGUUGGGUAUUCCCCUGACUGAAUGUAUCGCUUUAUAUCCAAGAACCAGGAUUCUCCAUCGAUCUCUUCUUCAACCGCAUUACAAUAAGCAUGCUGAUCACAACUCUGUAUAUGCACAGGAUCGAUGUAGGCUUUAUCAGGAUAUUGGAGCAUUGAAGACAGAGUGGCUAAAGCAUCAGCAAUUUCAUUAUGAAUCCUUGGAAUAUGCCUAAAUUUUACUAACACAAACCAUUGACAUAACUCCUGCAAGCAUUGUCGAUACGGGAUGAGCUUCAAAUCUCGCGUCUCCCAAUCUCCUUGAAUUUGAUGGACGAGCAAAUCUGAAUACCCCAACACCAAUAAUUCCUGGACUCUCAUAUCAACAGCUAACAUCAAACCAAGAAUGCAAGCUUCAUACUCUGCCAUUCUUCAGUCCAUUUUACCACAGCACUCUUUUUCAACAACUUGAAUAUGGGCUCACAAGUGGUUGUGAGUUGAGCAAUAAACCUGCUAAUGUAGUUCAGUCUACCAAGUAAACUCAUCANNNNNNNNNNNNNNNNNNNNNNNNNNNNNNNNNNNNNNNNNNNNNNNNNNNNNNNNNNNNNNNNNNNNNNNNNNNNNNNNNNNNNNNNNNNNNNNNNNNNNNNNNNNNNNNNNNNNNNNNNNNNNNNNNNNNNNNNNNNNNNNNNNNNNNNNNNNNNNNNNNNNNNNNNNNNNNNNNNNNNNNNNNNNNNNNNNNNNNNNNNNNNNNNNNNNNNNNNNNNNNNNNNNNNNNNNNNNNNNNNNNNNNNNNNNNNNNNNNNNNNNNNNNNNNNNNNNNNNNNNNNNNNNNNNNNNNNNNNNNNNNNNNNNNNNNNNNNNNNNNNNNNNNNNNNNNNNNNNNNNNNNNNNNNNNNNNNNNNNNNNNNNNNNNNNNNNNNNNNNNNNNNNNNNNNNNNNNNNNNNNNNNNNNNNNNNNNNNNNNNNNNNNNNNNNNNNNNNNNNNNNNNNNNNNNNNNNNNNNNNNNNNNNNNNNNNNNNNNNNNNNNNNNNNNNNNNNNNNNNNNNNNNNNNNNNNNNNNNNNNNNNNNNNNNNNNNNNNNNNNNNNNNNNNNNNNNNNNNNNNNNNNNNNNNNNNNNNNNNNNNNNNNNNNNNNNNNNNNNNNNNNNNNNNNNNNNNNNNNNNNNNNNNNNNNNNNNNNNNNNNNNNNNNNNNNNNNNNNNNNNNNNNNNNNNNNNNNNNNNNNNNNNNNNNNNNNNNNNNNNNNNNNNNNNNNNNNNNNNNNNNNNNNNNNNNNNNNNNNNNNNNNNNNNNNNNNNNNNNNNNNNNNNNNNNNNNNNNNNNNNNNNNNNNNNNNNNNNNNNNNNNNNNNNNNNNNNNNNNNNNNNNNNNNNNNNNNNNNNNNNNNNNNNNNNNNNNNNNNNNNNNNNNNNNNNNNNNNNNNNNNNNNNNNNNNNNNNNNNNNNNNNNNNNNNNNNNNNNNNNNNNNNNNNNNNNNNNNNNNNNNNNNNNNNNNNNNNNNNNNNNNNNNNNNNNNNNNNNNNNNNNNNNNNNNNNNNNNNNNNNNNNNNNNNNNNNNNNNNNNNNNNNNNNNNNNNNNNNNNNNNNNNNNNNNNNNNNNNNNNNNNNNNNNNNNNNNNNNNNNNNNNNNNNNNNNNNNNNNNNNNNNNNNNNNNNNNNNNNNNNNNNNNNNNNNNNNNNNNNNNNNNNNNNNNNNNNNNNNNNNNNNNNNNAAAAUAUAUUAGACACAAAACAAAAGGGACGUUGCAUUUCAUUAAAUAAAAAGAUAGAAGGGUUUAAGCAUAGAUGCCAACAUAACAUAAACAAACUAAGAUCCGAAUUACAACCAUAAAAUAACUCGGAUAAACACAAAGAAAAAUAAAAUAAACUACCAAAACUUCCUCCUGACGGGGAGAGGAGUGACUUCCCAAUUAUUAAGUCGGACAGCUGGACCUAUGAAUUACACGUCUGUCAUACUGGUACCUUCUCCUGCUUCAACCAUAUCAACUUCAAUAAAAAGGUUCUGGCAGUUAUCAACCAAUUCAACUUCAAAUUCCACAUGUUUCGUGACACCGCUCUUAACAAAUGAUUCACUGAGUAGUGGCAUUGGGCGAGGGAGUGACCAUGUUUCCUUUUUCAUUCCCUUGGCUUUCCUUAGAUCUUCAGCCGUAGGCUCAAAUCCCAGACCAAACAUGCCCACGUUCUCACUCGGAUAUAUGGGAUGAACUAUACCGUGCAGAGACGUUCCCAAACCCUUUCCUGGCUCAAAUCCAUAUUUCUAAAGUUCACUCACCAUCAUGAUAGAAGCGGAAGACAAUUGCGGUCCCAGUAUAACCUGCCAUUCAAGGAUAACAUUCACAGGCACUGUAUAAAAAAUUUGAUAGACAAAUAUCUCCUCUACGUUAUUUUCUUCAAUAAGUGACAAGGGAGAAUCUUCGCAGGCGGACAAAUCCCCUUCACCGUAAAUAACCACUUCUUGCCUGUCAUGCUCAAACUUAAUCAUUUAGUGCAGUGUAGAUGCAACCGCCUUGGCCUUGUGGAUCCACGGCCUUCCCAACAACAGAUUGUAAAAUGAGUCUAUAUUCAAUACUUGAAACUCUAUGACGAAUUCAACAGGCCCUAUGAUCAACAUUAGUUCUAUUUCGCCAAUGGAGUUUGAUUUUGCACCAUCAAAAGCCCUGACACAUACAUUGUUGGGCCUGAUCCUCUCAGCACUAAUAUUCAACUUUUUCAAAGUAGAAAUAGGGCAGAUAUUUGCACCUGAACCUCUGUCCAUCAUAACAUGAGUGACGUAGAAAUCUUCGCACUUCACUGUAAUGUAAAGGCCCCGGUUAUGCCCUUUACCUUCAACAGGAAAUUCAUCGUCGGAAAAGCUAAUCCGAUUGACCUCAAAGAUUUUUCCGACUAUUUUCUCAAGCUGAUUUAUUGUAAUCUCCCUAGGAACAUAUGCUUCAUUUAAUACCUUCAGUAAAAUAUCACGAUACUCCUUGGAGUGCAACAACAAAGAUAAGAGGAAAAUUUAAGCAGGGGUUUUCUUCAACUGGUCUAUUAUUGAAUACUUUGGCAAUUUAUCUUUUUCAAAAAUUCUUCGGGUUCUUCUUCGGUGAUAGGCUUUUUGAUAGAUGACGGUCCACUCACAAUUGGCUUGGACUUUCUUAAACUUUCAGGCACGAAGCAUCUUCCUGACCUAGUCAAACCCCCUACCUCAUCUACAUUUUCCACUACUUCUUUCCCGUGAUAGGUCAUCACAGUCCGCCCAAAAUUCCAGGGAACCCUUUUCGUAUCAACUAUCAGGGGUUGGGUCAUCGAUUUGAGGAUAAUAGGUGCUGCCAGUGCUCCUUUCACCAUCAAGAUGGGCUUACUCGAAGCUCCUACCACUGUCAACGUAGGUUUAUCCUAACUUAAAUCAACAUACCUUCUGGCACCUUACACCGUGAUCAGGGGUUUCUUUGUGCUUUCUUGGGUUUUAUCUUCUCUCAUUCCUUCCUGGCUCAAUGAUAUUGCUUUUAAAAACUCUGCUACAUUCAUCGAUUUCUCCUCAAUGGUCUGUAUCUUGACAAUAGGCUUAUAACUCCUCGAAGACUCCUUCCCAUUCCCGUCAUAUAUCAAUUCUAACAUAUUGGUUUCAGCAUGGGUUGGCAGCAAAUUCUGGUAAAUGUUUGGACCCUCUGGGGCCUGGACCAUCAUCUGAUUUGUGUCAAUUAAAUCUUGGACAGCUCUCUUUAAAUGCCAGUAUUUCUUGAUAUCAUGGCCUGGUAUGUCAAAAUAGUACGCACACCUUAAAGAAUAAUCAAGAUUCCUCGGUGGUGGAUUUGAAAGUCUUCCUUGAAUUGGGCUUAAGACCUUCAACUUUCUCAACCUAUCAAACAAGCUAGCAUAUGACACCCCAAGAAGUGUGAAUUGAUUUUUGACCGCCUUUUCUUUCUUAUACUCGAACCUAGUUUGAAAACCGGGUCUAGAGGGGUUUUGGUAAUUCGAUGAAGCGGGUGGGAGAUUUUGUGGAACCUGCGUUCCAUUGCGGGUAAAAAGGGGUUUGGGCAUAUGGCUGCGCGCUAUAUACUGGGUACGGAGGUGGUGGAAUAGAAUAUAAAGGGUUUUAUGGAGGGUAGUAAUGGUGGGGAGGAAUAUAUGGAGCUUGGGCGUAGACUUGGGAUUGGGAUUGGGGAUAGGGGCGAGUUGUCUUUUAGGAUAGGAAUGGGUUCCAGCUACGACAGUCGUCACGUCCUCUUUCUUCUUUUUACCUCCGAAUGUGCCAGAUCCACCUUGAAUCGCUUGUGUGGUGGCUUUCAAUGCGGCAAAACUCACUAUUCGGCCAGUCUUGAUUCCGUCCUCUAUCAUCUCUAUCAUUUUGAGGACUUCAAUAAAAGACUUUCCCAUUGCCGGAAGUAAAUGUUGAAAAUAGGUCUCAUCCUGUGCUUGAAUGGAAACCUCUACCAACUUACUUUCUUUCAUUGGAGGCUUUACCCUGGCGGCCUGUUUAUGUCACCUUAUCGCAUAUUCCCUAAAACCUUCAGUGCUUUUCUUCUUUAUGUUGACCAAGGAUUUUUCGUCUGGAAUCAGGUCGAUGUUAUACUGAAAAUGUUGCACAAACUCAGAAGCUAAGUCAUCCCAGUUGUUCCACUUGUCAAUAUCUUGAUUGAUAAACCACUCUGAAGCCAGAUCAGAAAGACUCUCGCCAAAGAAAGCCAUGAGCAGCUCUUCCCUGCCUCCUGCAACUCUCAAUUGGUUGCAAUAACGUCUCAAGUAUGCCACGGGAUCAACGUGCCCUACAUACUUCUCGAACUUGGGCAUUUUAAAACCGAGGGAAAGGUUGAUGUCUGGGAACAUGCAAAGAUCUUUAUAGGAAACACUCUUAUAACCUCCUAUUCCCUACAAAUUUCUCAUGGCCUGUUCUAAACUUUUCAACUUCCGUGCUAUGACUUCCUGUUCCUCUGUUGCGACAGGUUUCUUCGUAUCAAAUGAAAAUGCAGGUGGCUGAGUGUACCCAUACAGUUCAUUCUCAAAGUAGGCUCCGGGGCAUACUACUGACUAUCUGGAACCUUCAAUACUGGCUCAUUGGCAGACCUAGGAAGCCCCAUUAUCGGACGCACAGCAUAUGUGGAGCUUCAGGUGGUGGCGGAGCCAAUAAAAUACCGGUGUGAUUGGUGGCACUGGCUGAGCAGCGGGUCUUGAUUGGGGAGCUUCCAAGGGCACACCAGAACUGCUAGGAUAAUAAUGUCGCGGAGUGAAUCCUGGCGCGUGCUCAGGUGACUCAGUAGGAGCAAAGAAUUGCGCCUGAGAGAGUGGUGGGCAAUUAGAUAUAUUCCCAAGACCUUCAGGGAGCAGAGGAGGAGGCAUUUCGCUGGCCCAUGCCCGGUGCAAACUAUCAAUUGUUGUCUGAGCCUUACUACCUCAUCAUUGUGUUCUGAACUUUCUUCCCUGUGAUCCUGAUAAUAAGAGAAUUUUCAAUCUCCCUACUAGCCAUGGCGAGCUUUGCUUUGGAUCUAGUGAAGUAUGGGUGACUAGCCAGAGUGCUGCAAACCUACCACUGUUAUCUCAAAGAACAUGCUCAUCAAAGACGACAUCCGUUAGGAUUAGGGCACACAACAAGCAUGGGAAUCACAUUGGAAAAAUUAUCCUAAAUUCAUGUUCAUUUCUACCAGCUUUUGAGGGUAGCGAGGUCAUUUCACAUCAUCCCAAUUUUUAUAUGCACUUAUUUUUAUCUACACUUAUUAUUAUUAUUAUUAUUAUUAUUACUCGCUCUCCUUUCCGUCUCUCUUCUUUUUUUUCGUAUCAAUCUCUGUUCUUUCCCUUUAUUGUCUCAUCAUCAUUUCUUUCUUUUCUUCUCUCGCUAUCUACCUUCAUUGUAUCAUUCUUUAUGGCUUUUGUUUUUUUUUUCUUUAAAAGAGAAAAAAUAAUGAAAAACAAUGAAACAAAAUGAUUAGAUCGAACCCAAAAGUAGGUUGCCUACGUAUCAUGUUGUACAUGAAUUAGAUCUUGCAUAGUUCGGGCUGCAUAUGCAUAAACAUCACAUAAUUAAAGUUUUUUUUUUUUACAAAAACGAAAACAAACAAACAAAAGAAAGAUGUAACAUCAUAACAUUUUGAUGAAAGAAACAACAAAAACAUACAAAGAAUUUAGGACCACUUUAAAACUAAACAACAAAUACAAAACAACAUUCUAAACCCCUAAGACAACAUACGCGAAAUUACUAAUAAAGACCCUAAUAUCAAAAACAACUUGACUUUGACUUAAAACAGACACCACCCUACAAUGACAGAAACAUAAAAGACUCAAACUGAAUUAAGAUAAGAAAUACUCUUUCAGACUGGUGCUCUGCAUGAUGACCCUGGCUGAGAUGGACCUGCCUGUGAAGUUCUCUUUCUCCCAUUCAAACUUUGUAGCAUAUCCUGUAAAUACACCCUGAUAUUAGGGAAGAAGCUUCAGGCCCGUAUUCCUGCCUCAUGAGGAGUGCACUUGGAAAGAUUAUUCUGACACCUUUCUACCGUUUUGAACAAUCUGCUAACUGAACUCUCAAUGUCUCCACUUUGGACCCCGCACUUUUAUCUUGAUGAUCGUCAACUAUGCAUUCUUCCUGUAUUUUUCCCCUAAGCUGUGCUGGUAAGGGUUGGCUGAUACCCCGAGGGAUAGAUUGAAGCCAGACCCCAUAUCCCUGAGUGUACCCCGGAUUAUCCAAACUUUCUUUGAGAGUGUCCACACCUAGAUUUGUUGCAUGCUUCCAGAACUGAUCGUAUUUGCUUUCACCUAAGGCUUGGUCCUUGAAGUACUCAACAUCCUUUAGAAGAUCUACUACUGGUGGCACGUCCUGCGGCCUACCCAACUGGCGCAUUACCCUAGAAGGACUGUAUGGUAUAGUGCAAUUGAGCCCUAACAUAACUAGAAGGAGUUGCAUUUGACAACCAAGCAAGAUUAUCUUUGGUCGAAGCCACAGACAAGUCCACAAAAUGUUAUCCCCGGUUCUUGACUCAAGAAAUUCAAUCCAAGCGUCGACUCCCAUGGGUAGCGAGAAUUUAUACAAACGCAACCUGAGGUCCAUGGCUUUCACUCGAUUGGGAAUACAACGAUCAACCACGUCUGGUCUAACUAAAAAAGGCGCAUCCAAAUGCUCCAUCAUCUAUAACUAUAAUAUCAGGUUACUGCCCUCAAAAAAUCUCAUCCGCCCCUUCACUUCGGUUAAUGCCUUAUAUAUUUCUAUUAAGAUCAUGGGUACGAGAGUGAACCUGCCCUUUUGAUUAAUGACCUUGCACUUUUGAUUAGUGCCCUUGUCAUUUUGAUCUUUGUGAAAUAGAGCCGUCACCACAGAUUACAAACGUGUAUUAAUACGUCUUUCUUCUAGCGGAAACACUAAAGUACCUAACAAAGCGAGGGUGAAGACUUCAAGAUGCUUUCUCUCCCACUUCUCCUUAGUCAUGUGAAAUUCAUUCCAAAAGCAAUCAAAACCUUUCGAGGGCCCGAAUCUAGUGAACAAAAAAUCUAAGGAAAUCCACAAAUCACUUAAACAACCCAAAUGCAUACCCUUACUUUUUAAACCACAAGACUGCAAAAACCUCACGCCAGUAUGAUUUCGUGUUCGAAUCAUAUCCUUCUCGAUAUAGGGCAAAUGCAACAAACUGGAUAUUUCUGCUAAAGUAGGAGUCAUUUCACAUUCCCUAAACCUGAACACCAAACUACUUGGAUUCCAAAAGGUCAACAAAGCCUCUGUUAAAUCUGGACGAGGGGUAACAUGCAGAAAUUUAGUAAGAUCACCUAAUAUUUUAAUCAGUUUCUGCUGAUCAACAUAGUUAAACAUUUUGCACCACUUGAUUAACUUUUUGGGCACCUUGACAACCAUCAGGACUCUAGACUUGGUGGACAAAUCUAUCCUGUAAUAACACAUAAGGCGUUAUCUCAAAAAUUCGACAGGAGUAGAAAAUUCCCAACCCUUGGGAUUUUUGACGCAAACAUAUGUCGAUGAGACAGACCACUUCAUGACUCCAAUUUUCUGAACAGAAGUACUGAACAAAAUCAGUCUACUUGGCUAACAACUCUAGAUUACGGGGCGAGAGACCUAGGCUAAUAAUAAGACAAAGGCCAACACAAAGAUUACCGAACCCACCGAGGGUUACCUACGUAUCCCAACCCGAGGGAAGGGAAUCAGGUAUGCGUAGUUCAUCCAGAUUGGACAAUUAACGAUUAACUAAUAAAUUGACCCGGACUUAAGAGACACAACCAAAAACAAACGAAUAAAAACUUUUUGGAUUUUCAACUAGACACUUCAACUAAGACAUUCUCCACCAAUUAUGAAGAAAAAUCUUUUUGGUAUUUUUGCUUUUGACAAAUAAGUAGAAGAGGCAAACAAAACCCUUUUUUUUGUUGAACUUACGGUACUUUAAGAAGACAAAUGCAAAACGUAAAAAAAAAUCUUUUUGAGUUUUUGGAUCGUGAAGAACAAAAGCCAUAAAGAACUCUAAAAUAAACUACGACACUCCUUUUGAUUCAUUCUUUUCGACUCACUUUUUUCUAUUUUUUUCUUCUUUUUUUUUUUGUUUUUUGCCUACGCACCUUACUCCUAACAAGUGUUUUUUUUUCAAAUCAGUCCGUCAAAUGACCACGUUACCCUUAAAGAUGCAACAAUUAGCACGUAGGAAUGCUUUAGAGGUGAGUCUCCUACAAAGGGCCAUGUGGGUCCNNNNNNNNNNNNNNNNNNNNNNNNNNNNNNNNNNNNNNNNNNNNNNNNNNNNNNNNNNNNNNNNNNNNNNNNNNNNNNNNNNNNNNNNNNNGGCUGCUUUGCUUUCCACCUACUCCAUAACACCGACGGCUCCCCCCCUAAAAUAAGGGUGACUCAACUAGAGGUCGUGUACAACACGUGUACUACGGACUUGUUGCAGAAAGAAAGCCUGGGGUUAGACACAUGAUGCCAGAUAUAAAAGCGAAAACACAUAGGAUAAAUACUUUACACAAAGAGCACGAAAACGCACAACAGUGAUAAUAAUAACACAAACAAUGUUUAUACACCCAUAAUGUCAAACAAAGCCGAUACGACUCCAAAAAUAAGCUCGAAUUCUGAAAUGGUCCCCAGUAGAGUCGCCAGAGUUGUCACACCCUUUUUUAACUCCGAAAAGAUUUGAUUUAGGUUUCGAAAGGGUUUUUAUUAUUAGUGACAAAGAUGAAAAUUUAUUUCGAAGAGGACUUUUAACAAUCAAAACUCAGAGUCGUCACUUGGCAUAAAUCGGGUGUGCUAAGUCACCCAUGGAUAUCCUUUUUCAAAAUGGUUUUGACUCUUUAAUACUGAUUUGCGAACAGAGAUUUCGGCUAAAGAAUUUUGUUAACCGAGGGGAAGGUGUUAGGCACCCCUCGAUCCCGUGGUUUGACCAUGGUCGCUUGGCAGAGCGUAUCGGCUAAAUUGAUAUUACAAAUGCAUAAACCACACAAAGCACGCAAAAACAAUCACUCAAGCAAACAAAAACAAAAUAAUUCAAAAUAUAAUGUCCAGUCCAAUUAUACAGUCCAAAAAUAAAAAUGCAUAAAAAUAAAUCUUACUCUAAAUUAAUUCUAGACUAAUGCUCUACCCGACGCCUCGGGCCUUCAUCACGAACGUCUUCCGCCAACAUAGUAUGUCGGAGAAUUCUCCGGUGAAUAAAUACAAUAUGCCUCGGGGCAUUCCCUGGCUAAAUGAGUACAUUUUUUUUAAUUAAAUACGAUAAACUAGAAAGAAACAUUCAUACGCACAUUCCAACAUUCCACCAUGUUUCAAACAUCAUUCCUAAAUUUUCCUACCCGAACCUAAACAUCUUUUGCCUAUCCAAUUCAACCUACCACGAUACUAUCACCGUUCGACAUCAACAACGAAUCAAAAUUACUAUAAUAUUUACUCUUUCAAUUUACGAUCCCCACCCCCAAAUUCCUUUUCGAUACAAAUCCAAAUUCAUAUUAUCAUCACCUUUAUACCACUGAGAUCAAUUACUCAAAAGCAAAAUAUAUAUAUAUAUAUCGAACAUCACCCAAAUCAACCAACAAAUCGCACAAGACAUCGAAUCAUACCCACAAUCAUAUCAAACUUAAAAUAAAGGGAGAGAGGAGAGAAUUGGACCUCAAGUGAAGCUUUCGAAUUCAAAUAAAAGAAAUAGGAGCCCGUCUAAGAACCUCAAAGAACCCCAACGAGAUCUCAAUCCUCCGAAUUAGCCAGGUAACAGUCCAAGAAUGCAAAUAACUCCAAUUUCUACUUUCCGGAUCAGUCAAGAAACAGCCAGCAAAUCAAUGACCAAAUUCCGAUUUGAACAAAAUAGAUAUAAGAAUAGAAUCAAUGAACGACCGAGCCCAAAUACCGAAGUAUGGCUCGCACAAAAUAAAAUCCGCAUGGACCAACGAGUACCAGGACUAGAAUUUCAGAAGAAAGAAAAUAAUAGAAACCCACGAUACCGGAGCUCCGGUGAGCUUGGCGGCAAGAUGAUGGAAGAGGGAUUGGAUUCCAAGAAACCCAGUACUUUCCGGCUAUAUUUCUCCCCAAAAUCGAGGAAAAACAAGACCCACACCCCCAAUUCUCAUUGGAUUCAGUCUGAACUUUGUUAGAAUCGACCCAAAUAAGAUGGAAUCGACCCGAACAGGCUUGUUUCAGGCUGAUUCGAUCAGCAAGUUCUGGUUCUUGGCGAUGAGUGACCGGAAAACUUGAUUUUCGAUCAAAAUCUUCUCUUUCGAACCCCCGAUCUCGAUCUCUCUCUUCGCGACUCUCUCUCUCUCGACUUCAGCUUGUAUCUCCUCUCCGAAACUCCAUCUCCCUUGAACUCUAUCGUGUGUGUGCGUAUGGUGAGGUUAGUGAAAAAAAAAAAUCCUGAGAGUGUAUUGUGUAUGUGUAUAUAUGCCCCCAAAAUGGAGUGUGAUCCCUGUAUGUAUAAAAAAAUAAAAAACAAAAGGGUUCUUGGCACCUUCCUGGAAGGUUCCCUCGUGGGACCCCCUUUUUAGUGUAUGUUUAUCCUUUUUGCCUUUGUGGAUAAGAAAUGGAGGGGUGGUGAGGUGUUGCCAUUUGAUCGGGUAGGUUGUUGAUUUGUUAUUUUUGUCUUUUUGCAGUGGAAUUGUCAUAAAGAUGAGGAUACACGGUAGAAUAAGGUAAAUAGGCAAAAAAUAUUUUUCAAAGGGACAAAAUUACGUGUCUACACCUCUUUUUUUUAAUUAAUUAGUUAUUAAAUGUUUCUUAUAAAUAGGAGUCCUGUCCAUUAGUUCCUCACAAUAAACACAACCAACAAGUCUCUCUUUUCUACUAGUAAUCAAAAUAUCAAACUCUUUACACAUAACAAAUAUUAGAAAUUAACCAAAUCUCAAAUUAAAUGGUACCAAACAAGAAAGACAUAUCAAAGAUAGGCCAAGAAGGUUUUGCUCAUCUUGAUGAACAACAACAACUCUAUGGAAAAAAUACAAGGUCUUAUUACUAAGCAAAAGCGAGUUCAGAAUCUAGAGUAGUUAACAAGUUCAGCUAUGUGUGUGAUCAUAUUUCUCCGAUACGGACACAUAAUAUGUAAUAGUAGGUACAAUGAAUCUGCAUGCAGAACCCGCUCCAGAGCCGCGUGUUGCUGUAUUUUAGUUUGUCAACACACCUUUUGUAUAUAUGUAUGGUCGAUGAAGCUACUUGUGCUUGUAUAAUUAUGGUCUAGUAUAUGAGUGAUGUGAUAUAUAUAUUUCACUUUAAAAUGCUAAACUACGUUCUUCUCUAGUUUUUUUUUUUUCUUUUGGUAACAGUGUUCUAGCAAUGUUUCCCUUUUUCACUUUUUGCGCGAAUCUAGAAUUUCUAGAAUAUGACCGGUAUGCACUAUUUAUAAAAUAAAAAAUAAUGUAUUAAGUGAAAAUCGAUCCUUGUUCCUCAAGGAGUCAAGGUAAGUAAAACAACUUUUCAAUCAAUAGCGCUACUUGUCAGGAAUUUUUUCAAUUAUUUAAAAAUGAUUUAUUUAAUAUUAUUCAGCAACAGAAGUUGUCCAUCACUAUUUUCUUAAGUAUAUGUAAUUAUGCUGAUAAUUAAUCCUCUUUUAAAAAAAAAAAAUAUUAUCUCAUUUAGUAUCCGGUGUCGCAUUGGAGCUCGAUAAAUAUUCAUAUUACCUCAUGAAUCUUGGAGAUAAUUAAGUUACGUGAAACUUAGUUUGAAGGAGGUGUUUAACGAACGACGAUUUUCAAUGCAUUAGAGUUCUUCUGCAAAAAUCAAACUAGGUUCGUUUUUGUGUGAUAGUCACCUAAAAUUCAGGGAUAUUUUUAAUCUUUUUUCGUAUCUAUAUUCUUUCAUCAGAAAUCAUGUUCUCAAUAAAAACUACAAAUAUAUCAUGUUCUCUCUAAUCACUCUAAUCUUCCACACGUAAAUAAUUGAUUUCUCUAAUGAUGAAUUAAUUAAUUUAUUUUAAUUAGUUUGGAUUAAUGGAUUACUAAUUAACAAAGAUCCAUGCAUGGAAUAUUUAAUGAUUUGCACCGAAAGUAUAUAUGUAAACAUAAUUCCAAUUUCCAAAAGAGAAUAAAUUCUAUUUCAUUGUUGUAACUUCAUUUUGAAUUGAAUUAUUUCCAAAAGAGAAUAAAUUCUAUUUCAUUGUUGUAUCUUCAUUUUGAAUUGAAUUAUUUCCAAAAGAGAAUAAAUUCUAUUUCAUUGUUGUAUCUUCAUUUUGAAUUGAAUUAUUUCCAAAAGAGAAUCAAUUCUAUUUCAUUAUUGUAACUUCAUCUUGAAUUGUAGAAUAAAAAAUCAACAUAAAAUAUAUUUCUUCCGUCAAUUUUUGUGACACUUUUUUCUCGUAGUUUGUUAAAACAAAAUGUCCCAUUUGUAUAUUUUGAGUAUUCAUCUUAUACCUCUAAUGCGAUUAUUUAUAGCUAAAAAAUUGUUUAAUAUCAACUUGUUUUAGAUUAUAAGUUUUUACAAUCUUUCGUUCUUCUUUAAAUAUAAUGUAUUAUAAGAACGGGAAGUUCCAAUGGAUGUUCCCGUUAGAAAUAUGAGAUUGCCGAUAAAAAUUACUUCGUCGGAAGUGUUCUCAAUAAUUCAAAUUUUCUCGAAAAUUGUAUUUGUUUGAUUGUGGCGUCUAGUCAAACGAUACCACAUAAAUUGAAACAUAAAAAGCAUUUCGAAUCGCGGAAAUUCAUGAGAGAUGACCGUGAAAUUUGGUAGGCCAACCACAGAAGUCGUCGUGGUAGGAUGACAAGUACCCCAUUAUAUUUAAUCAGAAAUCUCUAGUUCGAGUUAUGGGAAUAGAGUCAUGAUUAAGUGCUUACCUUCAGUGGUGAGGCCAGAAUUUUCACUAAGGAGAUUCAGAAUCUGAAAAAGUAAACAUACAAACAAGCUGAAGGUGGUUCAACAUCUACUAUAUAUACAAUAACAACAACAACAUACCCAGUGUGUUCCCACAAAGUGGGAUCUGGGGGGAGGUUAAAGUGUGCGCAGUCUAUACCACUUUAUCAUAUGAAGUAGAAAAGUUGUUUCCGAUAGACCUUCAACUCAGGACAGAUAACAGUAUAACAAACAAAAAACAUAAAAGCAAACAACAAAAAGAGAUAUCCCACCACUAGAUAAUAAAGAAAAUAAAACACCCACAAGUUAAGAUAAUACUAUAAACCAGCUAUUCAAAAUCAUAGUAUUACCCCUUGACCUAAAGGUGGCUUUGCCCUGCUUACUCCCUAAACUGGGAUUUUCCAAUCAGAAUCUAAAUGUUGGCAAUGUAAGGACCAUUAUUUAACAUUAUCUUUUUAAAAGUGUCCUUUUUCUUAUUAAUUAGUUUAGUUAAAUGAUUCCUAUAAAUAAGAGUCCUAUCCAUUAAUUCUCACAAUAAACACAACCAACAAGUCAUUCCUUUCUACAAGUAAACAAAAUACCAAAAUCUUUACACACAACAAAAAUUAGAAAUUAACCAAAUCUCAAAUGGCACCAAACAAGAAAGACAUAUCAAAGAUAGGCCAAGAAGCUUUUUCUCAUCUUGAUGAACAACAACUCUAUGGAAAAAAUACAAAGUCUUAUGCUAAAACAACCAAUAAAAAUUACUUGUCUUAUAACCAAUAUCAACCACAAAAAUCUCAUGUUGUUCAAUUCAAACCAAGUGAAGAGAGAGUUAUGAAUAGCUAUGAAGCUUUGAAGUUGCAUGGUGGGGUUCUUAUUUGUGAUUAUUACACUAGAAAACUGAAACCCAUGACUUAUUACCAAGCAGAAGCGAGUGCAGGAUCUAGAGUCAAGUGAGUUUGAUUAAAAUUAUGUAAGUGAUCAUAUAUUGUAUCAGUACGUACACAUAAUUAAUAUGUAGUAGGUUCAACUGAAUCUGUAGAACCCGUCUAGAUCGGCGUGUUGCUUUCUUUUAGUUUGUCAACACACCUUUUGUAUAUGUAUGGUCUAUUGAGUCUGCAGAACCCGCUCUAGAUUCGUCUUUGUUAAUCAGUGUCUCAAGUGUUUUCUUUUUAGUUUGUUAACAUGUACACCCUUUUGCAUUUGUAUGGUAGAUGAAACUCUAUAUAUGAGUGAUAUUAUAUAUUUCACUUUCAAAAUUAUGUUCCUUUUUUAAUUCUAGUCAUGAUUUAAUCUAC